ACAUCUGAAUUACCAAUCUUUAUUAUUAUUGCAAUAAACACACAGAUUACACUAAAAGCUAGUGAAUCAUAAACUUGCAGAUGACUUAUCCAAACACAAAGAUAAGACAUGAGUUUAUUAUUGUUGCUAUAAACACAUGGAUUAUAGCGAAAUUCAAAAACUAAAAACAAGGAAAAAAGUAGUGAUGAAAACCAAUGCAACUUUUGUAGGGAACACGAUUGCAUUCGCACAUGCAACAAGCCUUUUAAAUCCAUAGGUGACCCAAAUGGGACGAGUGAAGUCUCGUGAGGGUUUCCAGAGACGUUACCCACAAACAUCAUGCAUACUGAUCAUCAACAUCUACCUUGGGAGACUGAGUAGAUAUCCACCCCUCCGGCAUCGGGUGUUUUUUGGUUGAGGCGCAAUUCGAAUCUGUUUUCAAUGAACGGCCUGGUUAAGAGGUCGCUUUGCAAGUGACGUAAUCGACAGCGCGUGAUUAGGUUGUUGCUGUCAGGUGGUCCGACAGGCUCGACCUUGAACAAUGUGCAAGCCCAAUUGUCUUUGGUUUCAUUUCGGUCAGCAGCUGCGGCCAGGACCAAUAGCCUGUUUUGGUCCACCCUUCUCAAGUAGUUGCCGUUGUAGGAGCAUUUGAUAUGCACGUAAUUCUUGUCGGCGUAGUCCUCAUUGUUUGGCUUCUCCGUGGUGAACUUUAUGAACCUGCUGUUUUCAUUGUCCUCGGAAAAUUGGACAAUCUCAUUAAGGUCGCUUUCUGCAUCAAGUUGAUAACGCAAAUACUUGUUGUUGGUAUCUGCUUUCAGCAGAAAGGGGCUUGGUAGUACAGGUGGAGCCAUGUUGUAUAGUGUAGUUGGGAUUGGGAUGAUCUCUCUUUUUUUCUUCUCUCUUGAUGGUUUAAUUUACUUGCUGCGAGUGUGUUGCUCUGUUCAAACCUGCUAUCCUAUUUAUAAGAAAUUAAGCACAAGCUAGCUCAAGUUAUGGUCUUUAAUUAAUAUUAUUUUCGACAAAUCAGUUUCCCAUCUCUUUCAUUGAUAUGAACAUGGCUGAUCUCAUUGGUGUGACGCAAGAUUUGUUAAAAUAGCUGAUCGGAUUGAUUUCUUUGUAUAACUCUUCUGCCAAUUCUGCAACUUGUAGAUGCAAUUCCCAUUACAAAAUUAAAAAAAAAAAAAAAAAUCCUAAACUCAUAUAAGAUAAAUAAAGACUUUUUAUAUCAUAAAAUAAGAUUUUCUAACUUGUACACAAGACUUUAGUUACGAGAUCGAAUAUACAUUGAUGGGUGCGCAUUUUCCUUCGUCAUCUUUUCUGUGCUAUUAAUUUGUGCGAUUGUCGACUUUCAUAAAUUACAACGGCUACAGGUAAAAUGUCACUCCAGUUUUGAUAAAUAGUGAAGGCAUAUGGCAAAGUCUGUGCGGUCGUUUUUCAUGAAGCAAAUUCUUGUAGGUCUAAUGAUGGGGCAUAUGACAAAAACUUCUUUCUUGUUUAAAACUGAGCACAAAUUUUAAAUUUUGUUAUAACAUUUCACAACUAUUAAAGGUUAACUCAAUGACCGUAAGCACCAAAGAGAAAAAUGGUUAAGUGAAUGUUAUUAGAAUUAUAUAAAACUGCUUGCAUAGUAUUUUACGAAUAAGAAAUUUUAUAGAAUAUAGAAUAAGUAUUUCUUUUAAAAAAAAAAAAUUGGGAUGGUAUAUUACACUAAAAUAUUUGUUGUAGAAUUUAGAUAUGAUCAUAGAAAAAGACUUUGCCAAAUGUCAAAAAAAUUUAUACCACGUGGAAUGACUAUAAUUGCCAGAUAGUUAAAAGUUUUGCAACAUGUAAUCGACAUGGUUUCAUAGGACCUACAUCUAGUUGACUUGGUUGUUAAAAUUAAUGUAAGACUUUUAGUUGAUAUUUCUUGAGGGUGAAACACCUUUUGAGAAACGUUUUGGGCCUCAUUACAAUUUUUUCACUUAUUUUUAUGUUUCAACUUAAAUAUUCUACUAUAAAUACAUUUGGGCCUUAACAACUGGUAAAACCAUUUCCAAAUGUAUUUUAAAGAUUUUCUUAAUGUCACGGAAAAUAUUUUAUGAAAAUGAAAGAUUUGAAUUUCCACAAAAAAACGUGGGUUAACUCACGGUUUUUUGUCGGUUUUGUAAAUUCGUAUAAAUAUCUUUGUUAAAUCUAUUUGUUUUCACAUUAACCUUACCGUGAGGUACUUAAAAUUAAUGUAACUUUCUGUCGAUAUUCUUGAGUAUUGACCCUUGUUAAGGCAAAGAUUUGUGCCUCACUACGAUUUUUUUCAUUUAUGUCUUAGGUUUCGUCUUUCACAAAACACAUGGCUGUAGACCUGAAGUUUUGAUUAAAAAUAUUUGUAACAUGACAGCAUAUGGCUAUAGGCGUGGAGUCUUUGUUAACAAUUAAAAGUUUUGUAAUAAAAUAUUUGACUUGGUUUUAUAAGGCCUACAUCUAGAUGAUUUGGUUUUUAAAACAAAUAUAAGACUUUUUGUUGAUAUUUCUUGAGGAUGAAACACCAGUUGAGAAACGUCUUGCAUCUCAUUACAAUUUUUUUUUCAUUUAUUUUUUAGGUUUCAACUUAAAUAUUAUACUAUAAAUACAUAUGUGGCUCAAUAAUUGGUAAAAUCCAAAUCUCUUGUAAACAUUUUCUUAACGUCAUGGAAAAUAUUUUACAAAAAUAAAACAUUUGUAUUUUUCACAAAAGACAAAGGUUAACAAUCACGGUUUUUUUAUCGGUCAUAUAAAUUCAUUCGAAAAUCAUCAUUAAGUCCAUUUGUUUUCACAUUCGCCUUAUCGUGAGGUACUUAAAAUUAAUGUAUAGCUUUCCGUCAAUAUUCUUGAGGAUAGAUCCUCGUUAAGGCAAAUAUUUGGGGCCCACUACCAUUUUUUUUCAUUUAAUUUUAGGUUUCGGCUUAAAUAUACCAUUCAAACUAAAUCUUGGAUCAAUAAUUGGAAACAAAUACUCUCCCCAUGCGAGAUCCUUCGUCAAUUCCCCUGGCGAACUCUGAGUGCCUCUGAAGAAAUGAUUAACUGAAAUUAGAAUUUUUUAAACCUUGUGUUUGGUUGUAUCUAACGAUCCCUAAUACCAAAUUUAAGGUUUAGAUAUAUAAAAAAGAUAUCUCGGGUACUUCAUUGCUAUCCAUUAUGCUCCCUAGUUUCAAGCAAAGCAAAAAAUUCUAAUUGAGUUGAUUUUUGAACAUACAGAGUAGUUAGACAUCUGAAUUACCAAUCUUUAUUAUUAUUGCAACAAACACACAGAUUACACUAAAAGCUAGUGAAUCAUAAACUUGUAGAUGACUUAUCCAAACACAAAGAUAAGACAUGAGUUUAUUAUUGUUGCUAUAAACACACAGAUUACAGCGAAAUUCAAAAACUAAAAACAAGGAAAAAAGUAGUGAUGAAAACCAAUGCCACUUUCGUGGGGACACGAUUGCAUUCGCACAUGCAACAAGCCUUUUAAACCCAUAGGUGACCCAAAUGGGACGAGUGAAGUCUCGUGAGGGUUUCCAGAGACGUUACCCACAAACAUCAUGCAUACUGAUCAUCAACAUCUGACUUGGGAGACUGAGUAGAUAUCCACCCCUCCGGCAUCGGGUGUUUUUUGGUUGAGGCGCAAUUCGAAUCUGUUUUCAAUGAACGGCCUGGUUAAGAGGUCGCUUUGCAAGUGACGUAAUCGGCAGCGCGUGAUUAGGUUGUUGCUGUCAGGUGGUCCGACAGGCUCGACCUUGAACAAUGUGCAAGCCCAAUUGUCUUUGGUUUCAUUUCGGUCAGCAGCUGCGGCUAGGACCAAUAGCCUGUUUUGGUCCACCCUUCUCAAGUAGUUGCUGUUGUAGGAGCAUUUGAUAUGCACGUAAUUCUUGUCGGCGUAGUCCUCAUUGUUUGGCUUCUCGGUAGUGAACUUUAUGAACCUGCUGUUUUCAUUGUCCUCGGAAAAUUGGACAAUCUCAUUAAGGUCACUUUCUGCAUCAAGUUGAUAGCGCAAAUACUUGUUGUUGGUAUCUGCUUUUAGCAGAAAGGGGCUUGGUAGUACAGGUGGAGCCAUGUUGUAUAGUGUAGUAGGGAUUGGGAUGAUCUCUCUUUUUUCUUCUCUCUUGAUGGUUUAAUUUACUUGCUGCGAGUGUGUUGCUCUGUUCAAACCUGCUAUCCUAUUUAUAAGAAAUUAAGCACAUGCUAGCUCAAGUUAUGGUCUUUAAUUAAUAUUAAUUUCCUCAAUCAGUUUCCCAUCUCUUUCAUUGAUAUGAAUAUGGAUGAUCUCAUUGGUGUGACGCAAGAUUUGUUAAAAUAGCUGAUCGGAUUGAUUUAUUUGUAUAACCCUUCUGCGAAUUCUGAAACUUGUACAUGUAAUUCCCAUUACAAAAUAAAUAAACAAAAUCCAAAACUCAUGUAAAAUAAAUAGAGACUUUUUAUGGCAUAUAUAUAAAAUAAGACUUUCUAACUUGUUCAAGCUUAUAGUCACAAGAUCGAAUAUACAUUGAUGGGUGCGCAUUUUCCUUCGUUAUCUUUUCUGUGCUACUAAUUUGUGCGAUUGUCAACUUUCAUAAAUUACAAUGACUACAGGUAAAAUGUCAGUCUAGUUUUGAUAAAUAGUGAAGGCAUAUGACAAAUGUCUACAAUUUGGUAUCAAAGCCAAACUCUGGCCGGGAGUGUGUCAACGAGGACGUCGGGCCCAUAAGGAGGAUGGAUUAUAACAUCACACAUCGUUCAGGGGAAUGGAUUCUGUAAGUCUUAUAUGUAUAUUCCUAUCUCUACCUAGCACGAGGCCUGUUGGGAGCUCACUGGCUUCGGGUUCCAUCAGAACUCCGAAGUUAAGCGAGUUCACACGAGAGCAAUCCCAUGAUGGGUGACCCACUAGGAAGUUCUCGUGUGAGUUCCUAGAAAUAAAACUGUGAGGGCGUGGUCGGGGCCCAAAGCGGACAAUAUCAUGCUACGGCGGGGCCUGGGAUGUGGUAGGGGCCCGGGCUGGAAUGUGACAAUUUGAACCCGAAGCCAGUGAGCUCCCAAAAGGCCUUAUGUUAGGUAGAGAUGAGAAUAUACAUAUAAGACUUACAAGAUCCACUCCCCUGGGCGAUGUAGGAUGUUACAAUCCACCCCCCUUACGGCUCGACGUCUUCGUCGGCACACAUCCGGCCAGGGAUUGGUUGUGAUACCAAAUUGUCACAUCCCGGCCUGGUCUCCCACCACAUCCCUGGUUCGACUUCACCGUAGCAUGAUAUUGUCCACUUUGGGCCCGACCACACCUUCAUGGUUUUGUUUUUGGGAACUCACACGAGAACUUCCCAGUGAGUCACCCAUCAUGGGAUUGCUCUCGCACGAACUCGCUUAAUUUCGAAGUUCCGUUGGAACCCGAAGCCAGUGAUCUCCCAAGAGGGCUCGUGCUAGAUAGAGAUGAGAAUAUACAUAUAAGGCUUGCAGGAUCCAUUCUCCUGAGCGAUGUGAGAUAUUACAAUUAAUGUUCAGUAAAAUAUUUUGUGAAAAUAACAAAUUGCAUUUUAGACAAAAAAAAAUGGCACGAUUUUUAGACGGUUUUGAAAAUUUGUUUAAUACAUCGAUAUUUUUACACUAAGGGGACGAGGAGUUCGGCUAAGCCACACAAAGGGCAGCCUAAUUUGGUUUCAAAUUCGCCAUUCACAAGAUUCAAACUUAGGACCUCCCACUUCCAAGUAGAGAGGAAUACUACCAGAUCGUAGUACUGAGUGGCAAAAAAUCUCAUUAAAUCUACUUGUUUUCACCUUAGCCUUUCCAUGAUGUUUUAAAACUAAUGUAAGGCUUUAUGUUAAUAUUCUUAAGUACUAGCCUCAAUUUAUGCAAUGUUUCAGGCCUUACUUGACACGCCCCAACCUCGAUAUCCCCACAUACCAAGGUAAGCAUAUGCUGGUCGACACCCAACGGUGACAAAGCCAUUUUAAACAUGCAUACAAAUAAAGAAUAUGCAAUUAAAAUGUAAAAUUAUAUUAUAGGAACAUGUAUAGAGCAUACAACUACUAAUAAUAAUAUGGAAGAAUUACUAAGAAACGAUACGAACAAGGAAAUGAUACUUAUACUGAGAAGACUCGAGGAUACCUAUGCCAAAUUACCAUGACGCCGGGAUCAUGUGCCUCGAUCCUAACUCCUGAAGGGGUGCAAAACAGAAAAAGUGAGUGGACCAAAGUUUAUAAUAAUAAUACUAAUAGUAGGAAAACAUUUUAUUUUUGAACAUAAUAACCUCAUGUUUUGAAAACACAUUUAUAAUACUACAUAGAGGUUUUAUAAAAACCCCAGCAUGCCAUAUAAAACAUUCGUAAAACAUGUAUGUAAAACCAAUGUUGAAAAUGGUAAUAACGCCCGAAGGUAAAUCCGUAAAUCUCAUCAGUGAGGUACUUAACUAGAGGUAUCAUAGUCGUCCAAAUGCAGUACCUGUCCAUCACCCGAAGGUGAAGCUGAACAACCUAUCCAUCACCCAAAGGUGAAGCUGUUUAACCUGUCCAUCACCUAAAGGUGAAGCUAUAUAAAAUAACAUACAUCCACACUGACACUAGCCGUGGCUAAUGAAUCUGUUCGACAUUGCUUUUAGUAGUGAAGCUAGGGGUGUAUAAUAUAUCAUAUCUCACUCCUCCAUCCUCUGUGUCAUACGACCAUAGACAUUUAUACCUGUGGUGUGCGGAUGUGCCAUAUGAUAAACCACUAGGUAGUACCAAAAACUUAUUUCCAAAACUCGUAUCAAAAUCUGGAGCUCGCUAGGUCAAACCUCAUCUCAUAAAUCCAAGAUAAAUCAUAUUCAUGAAAUCCAUAAAAUAAUUCAUGUUUGUAAAACUGUAAUAUAAAUCGUAUUCGAAAAUCAUAGAAAUCCAUAUAUGCAAAUCCAAUAAUUCAAUACCUUUAAUGAAAUGUAAUUUCGAUAAAUCAAACUAUUUCGUAAACCAUAAUUAUAAAAGUCUAUAAAGCAUAUUAUAAAUCAUAUUCAAAUCAUGAAAUAUGGAAUGCAUGCUAGGCUAAUAUUUUAUAAAAACAAGUAAGUUAAGAAGGGGUCCACUCACUGAUUUUAUUGCCCGAGAACUGCUCGUACUAGUGAGGAUGACGUCGCUUCCCGCCAACAUGCCUAAACACAAUUAGGGACCAUUUAAUAAAACUAUACUAAAAUGUUAGAAUGUAAAAGGAAUGGAAAAUUCGGAUCCGGCAAGUAGAAAAACCUAAGGAGGGACCUCAGGUUUUCGCUCACGUAUUGUUGUACGAGCAGCCAUGAGGUUAUGGUCCAGAAGGCCAUGUGACGCCAUAUGUGGCGGUAGGCCACCUAGACUAGUCGAAAAAUUCAACAAUUCUAAAAAUUCCCAAAUUUUACAGGAAUGAAGAUCUCAAUGAAAUGAACAACUUUCAUACUUAGGUUGAGGUCCAAUUUGACUGGGAAAUAGCUCAAAUUGCCCUCGAUCCCGUCAAAAUCCUAGAAAUGGGUGCUCUCCAAUUCGUCCUCAAAUCGAACCAGACGCCCCCAAACUUGUGUGGGCUUUGUUCCUGGGUUCAAGGUGAGUGGUUUGAUGGUGGUGGUGGUCGACGUAGCUUUCACGAUCGGCGAAUCUUUGCCGUGGCACCCCUGGAACCCACGGGUUUCGUUCUGCAUGAAUUCAAGGUUAAACCUAGUGAAAUUUGGUUGGAGAUGGAAGAGGAGAAAAUGAUGGUUAGUUUGCAGGUGGUGGCGAGUUUGGAUCGCCGAAAAACCAGUGGAAACACAUCGGAAAGGUCACGCUACGGGUUGGGUUAGCGGGGAGGAACUGACUUAAGGGUGAUCCAGUGCUCCUCCAUUCUCUCAUUUCCCCUCAAUUCUCUCCUUUUUUAUUGGUCACUCUCUCUCUCUUUCUCUUCUUUCUCAUUGGGCGUCCACCCUUAUUUCUCUCAUUUCUCUCUUCUCUCCUCCAUCCAUCUCUUUCAUUUCUAUUCUUUCUUUUCCAUCAUCGCCACAUACAUGGUACAGACUGAUGCUCCAACAAAAUCUGGAGCCUUCCAGAUUUAUGGUCAAUUGACCAUUUUGCCUUCGACUUCGUUUGUUAAUAACUCUUUCGUUAUAACUCCAAUUUACGUUCCGUUUACGCCCACGCGUUCGUUGUGACAAGUACUACAAGUAUACACUAAGAAAAUGGAUCUUAAAAAGUCAACAUAUUUGCCUCGAAGGGUAUUUUCGUAAUUUCACAUUUUAAAAUUAUAAAAACCGUAAUAAUUGGGGAUGGGUCGUUACAUUACUUCAACAACAACACACAACAACAACCAAACCUUAUGCUAUUAAGUGGGGUCAACUGUACUCCACUAUGAUCGAGUUUGCACCAAAUCUUUCGUUAGCUACAAAUACUUCAUAUCAUUUCCUAUAGUAUAUUUCCAAGUCUUAGUAACUUUUCCUCCACUCAUUUUGCCCUAAGCCUUCCUCUCAUAGUUGCCUAUUCUACCAUAGCAUUUUUAGAUUUUCGGUUCAUGUACCAAAACCAUCUUAACCGAUUUUCUUUCAUCUUAUCUUCAAUGGAGACCACUCAUAUUUUACCUCGGAUGUCCUCGUUGUUAAUCCAAUCAUUUUGACACCCUGACCGCAAUAAUACAAGUUACAAGGCCGAGAUAUCUUGGCCGUCAUGAUAUUGACCAUAUGGCCCUAUUCAGGAAUGACUUCACAAGCCAACUUAAUAACGAAGCCAUAGUAAGAUAAUUACGAUGUGAGUGAAUUUGAAUCAAAACAUUCAUUAAUAAUAAAUCAAAAGGUGCUACAAAGUUUCCUAAUCAACCUCCCUGAUUGGGAACAUAUAUUCAAGGUUUAGAUCACAUUGUUAUCACAUCACAUUAGAGCAGCUAGAAGUUUCAUACAAUAGUAAACACAUAAAAGUGUAGUGCUAUGCAUAAUCAAGAGUGUGAUCAUGCAAAUAUUAUUGACAAAAUAAAUAUGCAGUAGAGGAAUCAUCACUAAAAUCCAAGGGAUGAAACCUCAUUGCCAAGCCCACUUGCCACCACUGAGGUUCUCCUGAUUCUCACUACGUCUUGAGGGAUUGAUACAUAAAGUAUGAGUGGAUCAAGUUUUAUCUCGUAAAAAAUCAAUCGAAUAAUCUCUGUUUUGAAAACACCUAUUGUUGAAUUAUACAGGAGAUGACCUUAGGGCCCACAUCCAACCAUAUCGAUAUAGCCCAAACUUGGUAAUUAUUGCCCGCACAAUCUGUCAGGUGUGAAGUUUUAUCACAAAAGGCCUCGGUGUUAGAUGAAGUGAGGACAUGAUAUUUAAACUCUUAUCUACUUAGAGAUAUGGCUGAUGUGUGAUAUUUCAACACCUAUAUAUAUAUAUAUAUAUUAAAAACUACAUGCAUAAUAAUAUUACCAUAAUAGUGGUCACAAUCAAUUCAUCUUGCACGUCAUAUCAAAGAAAGUAAGUCAUUCAUAAAAUCAAAGUAAUAGAAUAUGAUUUUAUCAAUAUUGUAGAUGGUUCUUAUAAUGAUGUAUACGCACGUUGGUGCAACUUCAAUUCCAAUGAUCUCUCUCUUUUAACAACUAACUAUAUUUAUUUCAUAAAUGCUAUCAUUUGUAUAUAUAAAAAAAAUGAUUUGAUCAUAUUAAUUCUGCAUAGUCCCCUCAAGUUGGAUGGUAAAUGUCAUAAAUCAAGUUUUUUAGUCACAAUUGAGUCCUUGAGAUUUGCCUAACUCAUCAUCUUGGUCCCUGAGAUUCAAAAUCAAUAGGAGCGGUCAACAAAAGUCAACGUAUUUGCCUGGAAGGGUAUUUUCAUAAUUUCACAUUUUAAAAUUAUAAAAACCGUAAUAAUUGGAGACGGGUCAUUACAUUACUAUAACAACAACACACAACAACAACCAAGCCUUAUGCUAUUAAGUGGGGUCAACUGUACUCCACUACGAUCGAGUUUGCACCAAAUAUUUCGUUAGCUACAAAUACUUCAUAUCAUUUCCUAUAGUCUAUUUCCAAGUCUUCCUAACUUUUCCUCCACCCCUUUUGCCCUGAGCCUCCCUCUCAUAGUUGCCUCUUCUACCAUAGAAUUUUUAGAUAUUCGGUUGUUGAUGCACAAAACCGGAGGGGUCUUGGAACAACGUAAAUCCGACAGUGAAUAUGCAAGAAAGUAAAUAACACAAGAUGUAUCGUGGUUCACCCCAAGGUUUGGGCUACGUCCACACUGAAUAUGUAUUUAUCUGAGAGGUGAGGGAGAAAAUGUGAGAGCCUCUGAGAGUGAUGCUUUGAGAGGGGGUGAGGAGCCUUAGGAAUUGGUCUCUUCCAAUUGUGAGGGUGAGAGGUCAUUUUAUAGAAUAAUAACUCCUCACUUAUUACAUAUUUGCCCCUUCCUUUAUCACAUAAUUACAUUUAAGUCCCUUGAGUAUUUGUACGAGAUCCAAAUACAAGGCCCUAAAUAUGGUAUUAACAGUAGUCCCCUAAGUCUUCAGUCAAGAGAGUCUUUUGGCUGGAGACUUGAAAUUUAGUCCAUAUGUGGGCCGAAGUAACUAGAUGUUGUCUUAAACUGAUGUUCGAUAUGAGGCGGUGCCCAAUCUGAAAUGAUGCUCAACUAGAAGUAGCACAUGCUGUGAGGCUGCUCGACUCGUGGCUUAUGUUGCCUUGGUUGGCUCGGCUUGUGGCGUUGAAGGUGAGGGAGUCCCUUUUAUAGAAUAAGGGCUCACUCCUCAAUACAUGAAUGAUGGGCUAGAGUUGAUGCUCUCUAAUGAUGGUGAGGGAGUCCCUUUUAUAAAAUAAGGGCUCGCUCCUUAGUACAUGAAUAACGGGUUAGGAGUGAUGCUCGUGGCGAGGCGAUGCUCUCUAACGAAGGUGAGGGAGUCCCUUUUAUAGAAUAAGGGCUCGCUUCUCAGUACAUGAAUAAUGGGUGCUCUCUAAUGAAAGUGAGGGAGUCCCCUUUUAUAGAAUAAGGGCUCGCUCCUUAAUACAUAAAUAAUGGGCUAAGUCCCCCAAAUAUUUUUCAUGAGGCCUCCACACAACAUUCCAGCCCAUUUAUUUUGGGCUUUGCCUUUUUUUUUGUUUUUUUAUUUUUUUUUAUUUUUUACCUUUUGAUGGGGUUUAUACAAAUGUCUCCAAAAGAUAGGAAAAAUAAAUUACAUCAUACAAAAACCAGAAAAGUAAAUCACAUCAUUUUGGUGGGGUGUUUAUUCUUCACUUUUGCUUUUUCAUUAACAUCAUGGUGUCGUAUGUGAAGAGUGGGAACAUGCAUGAUGAAAGUUUGUGGGCAUCUUCUGCGUUGUCAUCGUGCCAAGUUGAUUCCCUUAAUCAACGUAGAGCUUGGGCUGCUGUGCAUUAGUGGGUAGCCAUGCUUUCUGCUUUUCUCUUUUUGCUUUCUGCAAUUAUCUCCGACCCAAAGGUUAAUGCACAAAACAGAAUCCUAAUUCAGCAUCAAGCAGGUAAGCUUGAAAAUCCACUGAGCUGUGCUAGUGCAGUAGUAAGAGCGUUUGUUCCCUGUUUAUCAAUCAAUCUAUGUGCUAUUGGUGUGAAAAACUGUACAGAUUCAGGAUGCACUCCACUAAGAGUAGCAACCACCUGCUACGCAGAUGACUCCAAAACCUUCUCAAUAGUUGGUGGACUAGCAAACUCAAACUUUCACCCCACAUCACGCUCAAACGUUUUAAUUGUUCUUCUCUGGUUGUUAGUAAACAUCAGAACGGCAAUACCUUCUUUCCCUGCGCGUCUAGUAUGCCCAAAGCAAUGCACAAAUGUCUCUCGAUCUUGCCACACUCCCCCCCACCUACUUCAUCGAGUUCUUAAUCUUGCCAAAUGAUGUCGUAGCUGAGUCACUCGCCAAGUCUAGAUUCAGCAAGGUCUUGAGCGACGCGAUGACCCUUGACAUGUUCAGGCUCAAGACGAUUCCUUCACGGCUUCCUCCAUGUCUGUGCCCGUGCUCACUCUCUCUCUCUCUCUUCCCCUUUCCCAAAAGCUGAUAGCUUUAAUUGUACUCAUUAAAAGAGUGGCUUGCAAAAGGUGAGCUUUCCCCUGAAAAAUUGGUGUCACAGUUUGCUGCUGAUCCUCAUAAUGAACAUGCUUGAUUAAAUCUGCCCCCAAUCCCAAAGAUACCGGCUUUGAUAAGACCUCUUUUUGGUGGGACAUUGGUCGAGUCUCUCCCUUUUCCUUUCCUCUUCACUGGGUUGCUGCUGCUGCUGGUGAAUCGCGUCUGACUGGAGCAGCAGAAGAAGUCUAGGGAACGGAUAUUGAAGCAUCAACAGCAUCUGGGUUUGUUCUUGCUUUUCGCCUUGAACUUUCCUGAGGCCCUGUGCUACUAUCAGUCAUAUUCUUCCAUUUUCCUGACAAGAAGAUGACCGACAAGCGGAAGACCGAUAUUUUCAGUAACAUUUUCUCUCGCCAUUGUCGGCGGCGCGUGGACUCGGUUCUUUGAUCUCGGCGAUCUCAUUGGAGACUAGGGUGGCGAUAACAGCGUGGAGUUUGAGGUUGAAUAAUGAGGUUUUGACGGUGAUGUUGUGGGAGAGGGAGUGUCUUGAGAGAUUUAGUGGGUUUGUUUCUCAUACUUCAGUUCUUGAAUUUUUGCCAAAAAGUAGAGAGAGAGAAAGAGAGAGAGAGAGAGCUGAUGAGUGUUUGAGAUUUGGUUCUUUUCAGUUUCUGGGUUUGUUUUUGUGAUUUUGCAGAUUGACGGUGGCGGUGAAAAAAAAUGAAAGAGAACCGACAUAGUUUUUUGUGUCGAUUCCCACAGACGGCGCCAAAUGUUGAUGCACAAAACCGGAGGGGUCUUGGAACAACGUAAAUCCGACAGUGAAUCUGCAAGAAAGUAAAUAACACAAGAUGUAUCGUGGUUCACCCCAAGGUUUGGGCUACGUCCACACUGAAUAUGUAUUUAUCUGAGAGGUGAGGGAGAGAAUGUGAGAGCCUCUGAGAGUGAGGCUUUGAGAGGGGGUGAUGAGCCUUAGGAAUUGGCCUCUUCCAAUUGUGAGGGUGAUGGGUCCUUUUAUAGAAUAAGGACUCCUCACUUAUUACAUAUUUGCCCCUUCCUUUAUCAUAUAAUUACAUUUAAGUCUCUCGAGUAUUUGUAUGAGAUCCAAAUAUGAGGCCCUAAAUAUGGUAUAAACACGGUUCAUGUACCUAAACCAUCUUAACCGAUUUUCUUUCAUCUUAUCUUCAAUGGAGACCACUCAUAUUUUACCUCGGAUGUCCUUGUUGUUAAUCCAAUCAUUUUGACACGCUGACUGCAAUAACACAAGUUACGAGGCCGAGAUCUGGCCCUCACUAAAUUGACCAUAUGACCCCAUUCAGGAAUGACUUCACAAGCCAACUUAAUAACGAAGCCAUAGUAAGAUAAUUACGAUGUGAGUGAAUUUGAAUCAAAACAUUAAUUAAUAAUAAAUCAAAAGUUGCUACAAAGUUUCCUAAUCAACCUCCCCACUUAGGAACAUAUAUUCAAGGUUUAGAUCCCAUUAUUAUCACAUCACAUCAGAGCAGCUAGAAGUUUCAUACAACAGUAAACACAUAAAAGUGUAGUGCUAUGCAUAAUCAAGUGUGCAAUCAUGCAAAUAUUAUAGACAAAAUAAAUAUACAGUGUAGGAAUCAUCACCAAAAUCCAACGAUGAAACCUCACUGCCAAGCCCACUUGCCACCAUUGAGGUUCUCCUAAUUCUCGCUAUGUCCUGGGGGAUUGAUAAAUAAAGUAUGAUUGGAUCAAGUUUUAUCUCGUAAAAAAUCAAUCGAAUAAUCUCCAUUUUGAAAUAACCUAUCGUAGAAUUAUCAAAGAGACGAAGGGCCCACAUUCAACAAUAUCGAUAUAGCCCCAACUUGGUAAUUACUGCCCACACAAUAUGUCAGGUGUGAAGUUUUAUUACGAAAGGCAUCGGUGUUAGAUGAAGUGGGGACAUGAUAUUUAAACUCUUAUGUACUUAGAGAUAUGACUGAUGUGAGAUAUUUCAACACCUUUAUAUAUAUAUAUAUAUAUAUAUAUAUAUAUAUAUAUAUAUUAAAAACUACAUGCAUAAUACUAUUACCAUAAUAGUGGUCACAAUCAAUUCAUCUCACACGUCAUAAGUAAGUCAUUCAUAAAAUCAAAGUAAUAGAAUAUGAUUUUAUCAAUAUCGUAGAUGGUUCUUAUAAUCAUGUAUACGCACGUUGGUGCGAUUUCAAUUCCAAUGAUCUCUCUCUCUUUUAACCACUAACUAUAUUUAUUUAAUAAACACUAUCAUUUGUAUAUAUAAAAAAAUGAUUUGAUCAUAUUAAUUCUACAUAGUCCCCUCAAGUUGGAUAGUAAAUGUCAUAAAUCAAGUUUUUUUUAGUCAAAAUGGAGUCUUGAGAUUUGCCUAACUCAUCAUCUUGGUCCCUAAGAUUCAUAAUCAAUAGAAGUGGUCAAUGAGAUAGUCCACCAACAAUCAUUUUGGUCAUUUAGUGAAAAAUUGGUUAAAUAAAAAUUAAAAUGACAAAAUUACUCUCAAUGUAAUAAACAAUAGGCCAACAUGAUUUGACAAAAGUUGAGGGCAUUUUUGUCAUUUAUCCUUAUUUUAUGGAGAUUUUUGACGGAAUGACGAAAAUGAUUGAUUGUGGACAAACUCAGGGACCAAUUCUAUCGAUUUCAAAUCUCAGGGACUAAAGUGAGGAGUUAUGCAAAUCUCUCGAGAACCAUUUUAACUAAAAAAUGAUUAUUCCUAAUUUCCGAAAGCCCUCGGGAAGAUAUCUGCCAAUUGUACUUGAGAAGAAAUGCAGGAAUGAGGAAUUUAUAAAGACAAUCUCAUUAAGGUCGCUUUCUGCAUCAAGUUGAUAGCGCAAAUACUUGUUGUUGAUAUCUGCUUUCAGCAGAAAAGGGUUUGGUAGUACAGGUGGAGCCAUAUCGUAGUGUAGUUGGGAUUGGGAUGCUCUCUCUUUUUCAUUCUCUGUUGAUGAUCUAAUUUGCUUGCUGUGAAUGUGAUGCUUAGUUCAAACCUGCUAUCCUAUUUAUAAGAAAUUAAGCACAAGCUAGCUCAAGUUAUGGUCUUUAAUUAAUAUUAAUUUCGACAAAUCAGUUUCCCAUCUCUUUCAUUGAUAUGAACAUGGCUGAUCUCUUUGGUGUGACGCAAUAUUUGUUAAAUUAGCUGAUCGGGUUGAUUUCUUUGUAUAACUCUUCUGCCAAUUCUGCAACUUGUAGAUGUAAUUCACAUUACAAAAUAACAAAAAUAAAAUCCAAAACUCAUAUAAGAUAAAUAAAGACUUUUUAUAUCAUAAAAUAAGACUUUCUAACUUGUACAUGACUAUAGUUACAAGAUCGAAUACAUUGAUGGGUGCGCAUUUUCCAUCAACAUCUGUUAUGUGCAUGUAAACUGAGCGUGGAGUCUUUUUUAGCAAUUAAAAGUUUUGUAUCAUUUGAUUGACUUGGUUUGAUAAGAUCUACAUCUAGAUGACUUGGUUCUGAAGACUAAUGUAAAACUUUACGUUGAUAUUUCUUGAGGGUGAAACAUUGUUUGAAAAACGUUUUGGGCCUCAUUUCAAUUUUUUCAUUUGUUUUUUAAGUUUCGGUUUAAAUAUUCUACUAUAAAUACAUUUGUGGCUUUAAUAACUGGUAAAACCACUUUCAAAUAUCUUGUUAAGUUUUUCUUAACGUCACAUAAUUUUUUUAACGAAAAUAAAACAUUUGCAUUUUUCACAAAAGAUGUGGUUUGUCAGUUUUGUAAAUUUGUAUAAAAAUCUUCAUUAAGUCCAUUUGUUUUCACAUUCACCUUACCAUGAGGCACUUAAAAUUAAUUUAUAACUUUCCAUUGAUACUUGAGUAUAGACCCUUGUUAAGGCAAAGAGUUGGGCUUCACUACAAUUUUUUUUCAUUUAUUUUUUAGGUUUCGUGUCAUAUCUUGGCCCGGGCCACUACCACAUCCCGAGCACGAUUCCGCCGGAGCACGAUAUUGUCCGCUUUGGGCUCCGACCACGCCCUCACGGUUUUGUUUUUAGGAACUCACACAAGAACUUCCCAUGGGUCACCCAUCAUGGGAUUGACCUCGCGCGAACUCGCUUAACUUCGGAGUUCCAAUGGAACCCGAAGCCAGUGAGCUCUCAAAAGGCCUCUUGCUAGGUAGAGAUGAGAAUAUACAUAUAAGGCUAACAAAAUCCACUCCCCUGGGCGAUGUGGGAUGUUACAUUUCGGCUUAAAUAUUCUAUUAAAACUAAAUUUGUAGCUCAAUAAUUGGUAAAACUCUUUCCAAAUGCUUUAUAAAUAUAUUGUCUUAAUGCUAAUGAAAAAUAUUUUGUGAAGACUAAGGAUUUGCAUUUCUCACAAAAAAUGUGGUUGCUCACUAUUUUUCUUCGGUUUUGCAAAUUCGUACACAAAUCAUAAUUAAAUCUAUUAGUUUUCAUCUUUGCCUCAGCGUGAUGUUUCUAAGAUUAAUGUAAGAGUUUUUGUUGAUAUUCUUCAGUAUAUACCCAGUUUAGGCAAUGUUGGACCUCACUACUGUUUUUUUUUUAAAAUUAUUUUUUGGGCUUGGACUAAAAUAUUCUAUUAGAAAUAUAUUUGUGGCUCAAUAAUUGGUAGAAACACUUUUAGAUGCCCUAUAAAGAUUUUCUCAAUGCUCUUGAAAAAUAGAAAAUUUGCAUUUUUCACACAAAAAACGUGAACACUCACGAUUUUUAGGCUAUUUUGCAAAUUCGUAAAAAAAUAUUAUCAAAUCUUAAGCCUUUUAUAAUUCUUGUUCUAAAUGGAUUGUCUGUCAGUCAUACAAGAUUAUAAUUACAUGAUAAACACACUGAUGGGUGUGUAAUUUCCUGCAAUAUCUUCAAAGUGCGAUUAAAAUGAGCGAUUGUCGACUUUCAUAAAGUAGUAUGGGUAUAGGUCUUUUAAUAUUGCAAGCUUUUAUAACUCUUAUACUAAAAAUUUGUACAAGUUUAUAAAUGGAUUAACAGACUAAUAUUUUGGGUAUAAAUGAAGACUAAAUGAGGGACUUGAUUCUCAACCUGCACACUACAUAGGUGUGAAGUCUUUUGGUAUAAUUAUAGACUUAAUGUCUCGUUCAUUAAGGUAUUGUGCCUAACUAAUAUGUUUUCAGUUAAUUUUUAGGUUUCAGCUUAAAUAAUCUAGAGUGAUGAUAGACCCACCCCCAAGAACCGAUAUUAUCGUUUUUUUGAUAUAACGAUAUUUCGUGACUUAUCCUUUAAUUAUCGUUAAUAUAUCGCGAUAAUAUCGAUAUUAUUACGAUAUGAAAUCCAAAAAUACUUGAAAAUUUCUGAAAAGUCUCAAUUUUGAGCAUAGAAGGAUUCGAACCCCUCCCAUUUGACUCCUUCAACGCCUUAACCACCAUAUCACUUAUGUUUUUGUGAUAAUAUGCUAAAAUAUUUAUAUAUAUGGUUUUGUUUUGAAUUCUUUUUACAAGAAACAAAUUUGCACAUAUUCCAAUUUUUUUGUGGUAUUAUAUUUUAAAUUGUGUCAAUUAAUUACUUAGUAAAUGGCAUGUGGUUUUUAAUUUUUCUAUUUUUUAUUUGGUCACUUACAUGGUAGGGCUGGAAAAUUCCCGAAAAUCCUAAACCAAACCGAAAAAGUCCCAAACCCAAACCGAAAAAUCCGAAACCAAAACCAUCCCGAAGUUCGGGAAUCCCAUCUUGAAAAAGAUCGAAAUUUUCGAUAUGGGAUUGGUUUCCAAAUCCCAUUUGUUUGGUAAUUCCGAAAUCCCAAAAAAUACAGAAGUAUUCAGUUUCCUAUUGACUUUUGGGUUUUGGUUCUUGAAAGCCAUUGCCAUGGUUGCUGACUAUUCUUCACAAUACACUUACUUCACACAUAGAGAUGAUGAAGAUAGUGAAAAUUUUGAACCUCAUAGGAACUCUAUGUGGUACUAAGUCACUCAUGUAUCUUACCAUGCAAUGUAUAAAGUGUAAAAUAUUGUACUAAUUCAUUAUAUAUAUAAAUGAUUAUGGUGUGUUUAAAUUUCUUUCAUUAACUACUACAUAUUUUCUACACUCACAAUGUUUGCCAGCUCGCUAUAUAUCAACUUAAAUCAGUUAAAUCCAUCAUGCAGUGCAUUUCCUUCCAAUUUUUUUGUGAUAAACUAAUAGAUAAUUGACUAAAUAAACAUCAUGCAAAGUUUCAAUAAAAAUUUCCAAGUUUUUCUUACAAUUUCCGUGGUUUUUAUUCAAUUUUUAUCGAUAUCAAUAAUAUCCCGAUAUUUCCAUCGAAAUUUUCGUGUUUUUAGACUACCGAUAUUUCCGAUAUCAUCGAUAUUUUAUACCUUGCCCACCCCAUUAUCCUAAUUUCACCCACCAUAAAAAUUAAAAAAAAUUAAAAAAUUAUUUCUCCACCCACCAUUAUUCCUAAAAUAACCAAUGUCUACUUUUUCAAACAAUAAUAUUAAUAUUUAAAAAAAAAAAAAACCUUCAUGCUUCCUUAAUUGCCAUUACCCUAAACACACAAGAACGUCCUCCCACCCCCAUAAAAAACCAAAACCUUUGACACCUCCUUGGCGGCAUCUCCUUUGGAAAGAGAGAGAAAUCAAAGGGAAAGGAAGAGAGAAGCACAAGGGGAGUUUUCCAAUACAGAGGUAGAUUGCUCCAAAUCGAUUUAUUCCAACUAGAAUUGGGUAUUCUUUGAUUUUAAAAUCUGGGUUCUCGUCAUAGUUCGUUUAUGAGAAAAAGGAGGAGAUGAUGGAGGUGGUAGUACCAUAAUUGAAAGGGAGAGUCAGGUGGUGUUUGUUGCUGGGGAGGGUAAUGGAUGAUUGGGGAUUUGAUAGUCGUCGGUCCAUCGUGGAUGAUUUAGGAGGAUGAUGGAUUUAUUUUUACUUUUUUUAGUUUUAGUUUUUCUUUAUUCUCUUUUAGUUUAUUUAAUUAAAGUUAUAACAAAUUUAUAAAUGUUGAUUUAAAAGUCUUUUGCUAAAAGGAUAAUUAUGUGAUUAACAUUUUGAUUAAAAGGUGAGUGGGAAAAUAAGACAAGGGGGUGGUUUUAGUAGCACUCAUAAUCUAUUAGAAAUGCAUUUGUGGCUCUGUAAUUGGUAGAACAACUUUCAAAUGCCUUAUAAAUAUUUAAUUAAUGUUCAGUAAAAUAUUUUGUGAAAAUGAAGAAUUGCAUUUUAGACAAUAUAUAUAUAUAUAUAUAUAUAUAUAUGUCACGAUUUUUAGACGUUUUUGAAAAUUUGUAAAAAAAUUAUCAUUUUUUUAAUACAUCGAUGUUAUUACACUAAGGGGAGGAGGAGUUCGGCUAAGCCACACAAAGGGCAGCCUAAUUUGGUAUUAAAUUCACCAUCCACGAGAUUCAAACCUAAGAGCUCCCAUUUCCAAGUUGAGAGGAAUACCACCAAACCGUAGUACUAAGUGGCAAAAAAUCAUCAUUAAAUCUACUUGUUUUCACCUUCGCCUUUCCAUGAUGUUUUAAAACUAAUGUAAGGCUUUACAUUAAUAUUCUUGAGUACAAGCCCCAAUUUAUGCAAUGUUUUGGGCUUUACUUGACACAUCCCAACCCCGAUAUCCCCACAUACCAGGGUAGGCACGUGCUGGCCGACAUCCGAGGGUGACGAAACCAUUUUAAACAUGCAUACAAAUAAAGAUUAUGCAAUUAGAACGAAAAAUGCCAUUGUAAGAACGUGUUCAGAGCAUACAACUACUAAGAAUAAUAUGGAAGAAUUACUAAGAAAAGAUAUGAACAAGGAAAUGAUACCUAUACUCAGAAAACUUGAGGAUACCUAUGCCAAAAUGCUCUGACACCGGGAUCAUGUGCCUCGAUCCUAACUCCUGAGAGGGCGCAAAACAGAAAAGGUGAGUGGACCAAAGUUAUAAUAAUAAUACUAACUGUAGGAAAACAUUUUAUUUUUGAAUAUAAUAACCCCCUGUUUUGAAAACACAUAUAUAAUACUACAUAGUAGGUUUUAUAAAAACCCUAGCAUGCCAUGUAAAACAUUCGUAAAACAUGUAUGUAAAACCAGUGCUGAGCUCGAAGGCAAAUCCGUAAAUCUCAUUAGUGAGGUACUCAACUAGGGGUAUCAUAGUUGCCCGAAGGCAAUACAUGUCCAUCACCCAAAGGUGAAGCUGAAUAACCUGUCCAUCACUUGAAGGAGAAGUUUUAUAACCUGUCCAUCACCUGAAGGUGAAACUAUAUAAAAUAGCAUACAUCCACAUCGACACUAGCCGUGGCUAGUGAGGCUGUCCGACACUGCUUUCGGCAGUGAAGCUGGGGGUAUAUAAUAUAUCAUAUCUCACUCAUUCAUCCUCUGUGUUCUAUGGCCAUAGACAUCUACACCCGUGGUGUGCAGAUGUGCCAUAUAAUAACCACUAGGUAGUACUAAAAACAUAUCUCCAAAACUCGUAUCAAAAUUCGGAGCUCGCUAGGUCAAACCUCAUCUCAUAAAUCGAAGAUAAAUCGUAUUCAUGAAAUCCAUAAAAUAAUUCAUGCGCGUAAAGCCGUAAUAUAAAUCGUAUUAAAAAAUCAUAUAAAUCCAUAUAUGCAAAUCUAAUCAUUCAAUACCUUUAAUCAAACGUAAUUUCAAUAAAUCAAACUAUUUCGUAAACCAUAAUUAUAAAAGUCUAUAAAGCAUAUUACAAAUCAUAUGCAAAUCAUGAAAUAUGGAAUGCAUGCUAGGCUAAUAUUUUAUAAAAACAAGUAAGUUAAGAAAGGGUCCACUAACUGAUUUUAUUGCCCGAGAACCGCUCGAACUAGCAAGGAUGACGUCGCUUCCUGCCAACGUCCUAAACACAAUUAAGGACCAAUUAGUAAAACUAUACUAAAACGUUAGAAUUUAAAACGGACAGUGAAUUUGGAUCUGGCACGUUGAAAAACCUAAGGAGGGACCUUGGGUUUUCCCUAAUGCAUCUUCGUACGAGCGGCCAUGAGGCGACCGCCCGAAAGGCCACGUGUUGCCGCACGAGCCGCCACACGUGGCAGUCGGCUGCCUCUACUCGCAGGAAAAUUCAACAAUUCUAAAAAUUCCCAAAUUUUACAAGAAUGAAGAUCUCAAUGAAAGGAACAACUUUCAUACCUGGGUCGGGGUCCAAUUCGACCAGGAAAUACCUCAAAUCGCCCUCGAUCCUGCAGGAACCUUAGAAAUAGGUGCUUUCCAAUUCGUGCUCAAAUCGAACCCGACGCCUCCAAACUUGUUUGUGCUUUGUUCCUGGGUUCAAGGUGAGUGGUUUGAUGAUGGUGGUGGUGGUCGACGUAGCUUUCACCAUCGGCGGAUCUCUACCGUGGUACCCUCGGAACCCACGAAUUCCAUUCUUCACGAAUUCAAGGUUAAACUUAGUGAAAUUUGGUUGGAGAUGGAAGAGGAGAAGAUGAUGGUUAGUUUGCAGGUGGUGGCGAGGUUUGGGUAGCCGGAAAACCAGUGGAAACACGUAGGAAAGGUUAUGCUACGGGUUGGGUCGGCGAGAAGGAACCGACUCAAGGGUGAUCCGGUGCUCCUCCACUUUCUCCUUUCCCCUCAUUUCUCUCCUCUCUGAUUGGUCACUUUCUUUCUCUUCUUUCUCAUUGGGCAUCCACCCUCAUUUCUCUCUUCGUUCCUCCGUCUAUCUUUCUCUUUUAUAUUCUUUCUUUUCCAUCACAGCCACACACGUGGCACAGAUUGAUGCUCCAACAAAAUUUGGAGCCUUCCAGAUUUAUGGUCAAUUAACCAUUUUGUCCUCGACUUGGUUCGUUAAUAACUCUUUUGUUAUACUCCAAUUUACGUUCUGUUUGCGCCCAAGCGUUCGUAGCGACGAGUACUACAAGUAUACGCCAAGAAAAUGGAUCUUAUGUGACAUGACAAAGCGGUCAACAAAAGUCAACAUAUUUGCCUCGAAGGGUAUUUUUGUAAUUUCACAUUUUAAAAUUAUAAAAACUGUAAUAAUUGGAGACGAGUCGUUACAUUACUCCAACAACAACACACAACAACAACCAAGCCUUCUGUUAUUAAGUGGGGUCAAUUGUACUCCACUACGAUCGGGUUUGCACCAAAUAUUCCGUUAACUACAAAUACUUCAUAUCAUUUCCUAUAGUCUAUUUCCAAGUCUUCCAAACCUUUUCUCCACUCCUUUUGCCCUGAGCCUCCCUUUCAUAGUCACCUCUUCUACCCUGUUUUGCUUGUGCUCGUCGGGGAAGGAGGCCGGAGCCUUCCUAGCUCCGGUCGACGACAAACCAACAUCUAGGGCAUGAUUCACUUACCAAAACAAAAAGUCGGAAGAGAGGAAGAGAUUGAUACCUUUAAUUCGUUGUGAAAGGGUUGGAGGUGGCCGAACUUGGGCUCGCACACCCAUGGCUCGCCGGGAACUGGGUUUAGCACCCCUGGUAUCUCUGUGCAACUCGUCGUCACAAAUACAAAAUCUAAGUUAGAAAUAGGCCACGAGGACAAGAAUGGAGAGAUUACAUGUGUUCCCGAGGCUUACCAAUCGUCGGAAAGAUGAGGGACUCGUGAGAGUUCCUCUGUGCUCCAGAGAGAGAGAGAGAGAGGGAGAUAGCGAGGUGAUGAUGCCGUUAUGGGUAUGUAUGUGUGUUGUGUGAAGCUCGUGGAAGGGGAGGGUGCAGCGAGGGAGAGGGAGAGAAUUGUGAGAUAAAGAGAGAGCUUUGAGAGGUGUAAGAUGCAUGGGAACAUGAAAGAAGAGAGGGACAGGGAAUUGGGCCCGGGGGACAAAACUAAAACAUGUGGGCCUCACAGGCACACACAUUAAGACCCAAUACAAUUUUUAAAAUCGGGGGUGGGGUUUUAGAAGGGAGGAAGGGUGGGGGGAGACAAGUGGGAUAAAGGUGGGUGGGUCCCGCAUUUUUUUUUAUAAAAUAUUUAAAUAAUUGUAUUUUAAUUUUUAAUAGAAAGUUGGCUCCGCCUCAAGCCACGUCAGCAUUUAACAGAAGAAUUAAUAGACAAACUGAACUUAAUUAGAUUUUUUUGCUUUAUGGUUUAGAUUUUUUUGCUUUAUGGUUUAGAUUUUCUUAAUGUCACGGAAAAUAUUUCUUAAAAGUUUUGCAACAUGCAAUCGACUUGGUUUCAUAAGACCUACAUCUAGAUGACUUGGUUGUUAAGAUUAAUGUAAGACUUUCAGUUGAUAUUUCUUGAGGGUGAAACACCGUUUGAGAAACGUUUUGGGCCUCAUUACAAUUUUUUCACUUAUUUUGUAUGUUUCGGCUUAAAUAUUCUACUAUAAAUACAUUUGUGGCUUAACAACUGGUAAAACCACUUCCAAAUGUAUUUAAAAAUUUUCUUAAUGUCAUGGAAAAUAUUUUACGAAAAUGAAAGAUUUGCAUUUCCACAAAAAACGUGGGUUAACUCACGGAUUUUUGUCGGUUGGUAAAUUUGUAUAAAUAUCUUCAUUAAAGAUAUUUGUUUUCACAUUAACCUUACUGUGAGGUACUUAAAAUUAAUGUAACUUUUCGUCAAUAUUCUUGAGUAUAGACCCUUGUUAAAGCAAAGAUUUGGGCGUCACUACAAUUUUUUUCAUUUAUGUCGGCUUUCACAAAGCACAUGGCUGUAGAUGUGAAGUCUUUGAUUAAAAAUAUUUGUAACACAACAGCAUAUGGCUAUAGGCGUGGAGUCUUUGUUAACAAAGAAAAGUUUUGUAACAAAUAAUUGACUUGGUUUUAUAAGACCUACAUCUAGAUAACUUGGUUUUUAAAACAAAUAUGAGACUUUCUGUUGAUAUUUCUUGAGGGUGAAACACCGGUUAAGAAAUGUCUUGGAUCUUGUUACAAUUUUUUUCAUUUAUUUUUUAGGUUUCAGCUUAAAUAUUAUACUAUAAAUACAUAUGUGGCUCAAUAAUUGGUAAAACCAUUUCCAAAUGUCUUGUAAACAUUUUCUUAAUGUCAUGGAAAAUAUUUUACAAAAAUGAAACAUUUGUAUUUUUCACAAGAAAACAAGGGUUAACACUCACGAUUUUUUUUAUCGGUUUUAUAACUUCAUACGAAAAUCAUCAUUAAGUCCAUUUGUUUUCACAUUCACGUCAUCAUGAGGUACUUAAAAUUAAUGUAUAGCUUUCCGUUGAUAGUCUUGAGUAUAGACCCUCGUUAAGACAAAUAUUUAGGGCUCAUAUUUAGGGCUCACAACCAUUUGUUUUCAUUUAAUUUUAGGUUUCGGCUUAAAUAUACCAUUCAAACUAAAUCUUGGCUCAAUAAUUUGAUUUUUUUUUUAAAUUUUGUGUUUGAUUGUAUCUAACGAUCCCUAUUCCAAAUUUAUGGUUUAGAUAUAUAUAUAUAUAUAUAUAUAUAAAAGAUAUCUCGGGUACUUCAUUGCUAUCCAUUAUGCUCCCUACUUUCAAGCAAAGAAAAUGUGAUUGAUGGUACAAAUAGAUACAAUCUUAUACUUGCUUGUUUUUGAACCUGCUUUGAUUUAGGGGUGGGUAUAAAAAUCGGGUACUUCAUUGCUAUAUAUUUCGUCAGUUGUAUGUCAAUUCUUCUGUUAGAUGCUGACGUGGCUUGAGACGGGACCAACUUUUGUUAAAAAAAAUUAAUAAAAUAUUAAAAAAUUAAAAUACAAUUAUUUAAAUAUUUUUAUAAAAAUAAUGUGGGACCCACUCACCUUCUUCCUAUCCCACCGGUCUCCCCCCACCCUUCCUCAUGUCGCUCCAAAACCAAAACCCCCUUCUUCCCCAUCCACCUGUGUCCCCCACCCCCAACCUUUCUUCAUCACCAAAACCAGAGCCCCAAUCACCCACCACUUUCUCCUAAAAAUCCGCUUUCCCAAAAAAUCCCCUUUAUUCUUCUUCUUCUUCUUCUUCUGAGCAACCCAACACAAAAAUCCCCUGAACCCAAAAAUCCCCUGAACCCAAAAAUCCGCCAUCUCCCUUUCCCCUAUCUCCCAUCACUCGCCUACUCCCUUAUCUCCAAAUAUGUGGAUGGAGACCAAGAGCAUGAGACAAAGCGGACUUGAGAAACGAGAGCUCCUUCCCGGUCAUGUGUUGACAACGAAAAUACGAACUGAUGGCAAGGUGGGUUUUUCGAUGGACAAGUCGUCUAGGUGGUGGUGUACUGGGGGAAGAGCUCGGCAUGGAGGUUCUCGUCGGAGAUGGAUGUGUAAUGGGGAAGGAAGUGGUUGCAGGUGAAGCAGAAAGGGCAGAUCCAUAUCUUGGCGGUGUAAUCAACGGUGGUGAAGGGGUUGAGGACGGAGCAGCAUAUGCGGCAGCAGAUUGGGGGGGGGGGCAUAGGGGAGGACGUGCAUGGAAGGGAAUUGCUUGAUCGGAGUGUAGAUGGCUGGGUGAUUAGGUGAAGAAGAUGAUCGAGUGGGGAGGAUGAGGGUGAGGGAGAGUCACUGUGGGGUUCUGGUUUUGGAGUGAAGGAAUGAAGGGUAGGGGAGACAAGCGAGAUAGGAAAACGGUGGGUGGGCAUCACAUUUUUUAAAUAUAAAAAUAUUUAAAUAAUUGUAUUUAAUUUUUUAAUAUUUAAUUAAUAGAAAGUGGCCAUCGCCUCAAGCCACGUCAGCAUUUAAUAGAGGAAUUGAUAGACAAACUGACAGAAGGUAUAACAUUGCAACAAAUUUGAAGAUAAUGUAUGACAUUGAAAUGUUUUAAAGAUGAGGGUAUGAAACUAUGGCUGACCCAAUAGUUGAGGUAGAUUUUUGUAAUUUACCCUAUAUUUGUUAGAAUCGUAAACUGACGUGAACCGAACUAGAAAUGGCGUAAACCGAAGCGUACGGUUUUAGUAAUAAAUUUAAGCGAAACCGCACCGAACUGAACGGUUGAUACUUUCCGAUAUUAGUUCUGGUUCGAAAGUGAAACUGGAUUGAACCAAACCAUGGCCACCCUUUUGAUAUGAGAUAGUUCAUUUACAUAUUUUGGAUGAAAUGGUUUAAAUAGGAGUCCAACAACUUUGCUGAACCUUGAGAUUAGGCUAGAAAAAAAUACCAAAAAUCCCAAACCGAACCGAUCAAAAUUUCGGUACAGAAAUCGUUCUCAAGUUUUUGGGAUUUCUGUAAUCCCAAACCGAACCGAAAUAUAUAUAUAUAUAUAUAUAUUAUUGAAUUUUUAAAUAUAUAUUUAGAAUUUUAAUCUCAACCGUUGAAUACAAAUCAAAAUUCAAACCCUCAGACUUUGACUUGGCCUUACUCUCUCGCUCCGUCUCUCGACUUUGACUCGACCUUGCCUCAGAGUCUCGAACAACCUCACCACCACCCUUCUCGACCUCACCGCAGACAACCUCACCAGUCACCUCAGAAUCCGGCCACACCCUUAGACCCUUUGAUCUCUCUUUCAACUUCUCAUCCUUCAAACCCUCACUGUGGAGGAGCCUUCCUUCAUAGCACAGAGGCAGAGCUAUGGCCACCGGUGCCGCUCACCUAUCUGAUCUCUCUCUCAACUUCUUCAUCCAUAUUCCAGUGCACUGCGCACUGAUUCUCACCAAAUCAGAUAAAUUUUGGAAUUAAUUUUGGGUUUGUGAAAUUUAGAUUAGGGUUUGUGAAAUUUAGCACUUUGAGCAUUUUGUUUGAAUAUUGAAAUUCUUGAAACGAAAUUAUUUGGAAGAGUAGGAAUGCGAUUCUAGGGUUUUGUUAGCAGAAAUUCUAGUUCGCAAUUUCAAUUGACUUUAAUUUUUGAUGGCCACCACUUUGAUCAAGAACAUAAAGACCAGGUUUUUUCAUGUAUGUCUUUCAAAAACCUCUUUUUUAGCUUGAUUUUUUGCUUAAUUUUGUGAUUCUGAUUAAUCUGUUGCGAUUAUGAAUUAAUGAAAGACUCGUUGUAUUAGGUUGAGGACAUCCAAAAGAAAGUUUAAGGAGCUAAUAAAGUGCCAUAACGACACGGUUUCCAUUCGGUAAUUUGCGUUAGUCGUGUCUUCACUUUACAUUAUAGCGAUAACUUCCUGUGACUUGGUCUGCACUAGCAGUUUAGAGUACAUAUUUCCAGAUUAUGCUUUCAUUUGCUAAAUACCUGCUUGAUUCUUUAGUUAACCUCUGGGAAUCCCAUCUCAUAUUCUUGGGAAGUCCCUGAUUUGCUUUUGACUUGGGUUCAAUUACUUGCUAAUUACUUAAUUGGGUAUAUGAAGAAAGAGUUGUUAAUUACUUACUUGGUGCAUCAAUUUGUUCAGUCUGGAUUGCUGCUCAAGGGAAUUAUUGUUUUUGUACUCUGUUUUUAGGGUAUUUUGUAUAGGAAAUGGUGGUUGUGAUGAAGCCAAUUGAACUACUACUCUGCUUGUGAUGAACAGAUUUUAGUGGAUGUUUUUGCAGAGAAAUUGUUGUGAAAUUACGUUGUUUGUGGCUUAAUUUCAUUUACUUGGAUGUUUUGAUGGUCUACAUUUUUAUUCUCAAAGAAGUUAGCAUCUUGGUUGGCUACAAUAUUUUAUGAUGAUUUGUUGUGUGAUUGUUGCAAGUUUCAUGCUUUAGUUUCUUUUGAGAUGAUUGAAUUUUGCAGAUGCAAUUAGUUUCUGCAGAUUGAAUUGGAUUGGGAAUUUGGGUGUCCUAAGUUCUGUAGAUGCAUAUCAGAUACAAUUGUAGCAGUCUGCCUGCAAUUUUGUGUGAAUUUUAUUUCAGGAUUCCCGAUUUGUCUCGAAAUCCUAAAACUAUUUUGGGAUUCCCGAAAAUUUGGUUUGGGAUUGGUCUUGAAAUUAGGAUUCCCGAAAACUUCGGUUUAGGAAUCGGGACAAAGUUUUUGGUUUGGUAUCCCAUACCGAACUAGCCCUAAGAUUAUUUAGCGAUUUUGGUUGCCAUAGAAUCUCAGCGUUUUGUACAUCUUGCUUAGGCAGGUUGAUCAAUAGGAUUUAAUAUUUGUUGGAUUAUGGAAGUUGUACUAAAUCCUGUAUGAUUUGCAGUGGUAGUCUUACUUUAACCGAAAUAGAAGGGGGCGAAAGAGUUAUACGAAGAGUUCUAGUAAAACCAUAGCUUUGUACUCCGAUUAUAUAGACUGGUAGAUACACUGUAACAACACACUUAGCUACUUGAUGCAAAUAUUCUACUAAUCCCUUCAUUUUUUUGUUAAGUUUGAUUUCUUUCCACCUUGAUUCCAUGUAGUUACUCGAAUUCUCUGGUACGGCAUAUACACCACAUUUGAAAUGCAGGUCCCCUGGUCCUUGAUCCUUCACCCCAAACUUCUUGACACCAUCGAUGAAAACUAUAAUGUUCCAUUUGUCAACGUUGUGGAUUAAGUUUACCCCAAACCACUUGUCGUAGAGAUGCGUAACGACUUUGUAUUUCUAGUAUUUGAUAUCUCCCGCACCCAUCCCUUUAAUAAUAAUAAGAUGCGUAACUAUACAAAGUAUUUCAUAUCUCCCCCACCCAUCCCCUUAAUAAUAAUAAUAAUAAUUUUUUACCAAACAUAGACCAUAUGUGCCAAGUCCGUCUUCCUCUGCUUGAUGAUCUCAAUAAUAAUAAUAAUAACAAUAAUAAUAAUAAUAAUAAUUUUUGGUUUUUUAUAUUAGCACCCCACAAAAUGUUGAAUGCAUCACACAUUAAAAUUUAAUAUUAAAUAACUUAUUUAUUCUACUAUGCAAUGACAAUUUUGACCUUAUUAGGUUAAAAAAAAAAAUAAUUCUAUAUACACCCCCAAUCACUUUUAACGUAUUAUUUAUCUUCUUCAACUAUCAAAAACCCUUCGACUCUCUAUUGUUGAACAAAAACCUAACCAAUGAAACUACAAACAUGUUGAUUGAGAAAAUUAUUUUUGAUUAAUGAAACACGAAAUCGAUGUUUCUGAAGCUUCACAUGUUGUAGACUUCGCAUUAUUUAUUGUUUUAGUGAUUUUGACAACAUCAAUAAUUAUUUAAUCUUGCUUUUGAUGUGUUAUUUAAGCUUCUAUGUUCGUAUUCAUCUUUUAGGGAUCACAGGGAUUACAUGAAGAAUUAAACAUCUAAAAUUACCACCAAAUAUUAAAAACAGACGACAUGAGUUUUAAUGGUGGAAUUAAAAACAACCCACAUAUGCUUUAAAUCCCAGGCGGCAUCUUUUGUCAAACUUUUAAUCAACAUUAUUUGUCCAAAUUAAAAGGUUUGUAAGAUUUAAGAAAUGUGGGGUGUAUAGAAAAUAUGGGAUGCAUAUAGAAAAUGUUAGGUGUAUAUUAAGAAUGUGGGGUGUGAGGAUAUUAUGGGAAAGUAUGUGGGGUGUAUUAAGAUAAUUUUUAAAUAAAAAAGCAAAUGUGGGGUGUAUUAAGUAUGUGAGGUUUAUUUAAUAAUUUGUAGGAUGUUAAUAUAAUAAGCCUAAUUUUUUAAUAAACAUAGACUAUGCCAAGUUCCUCUUCCGCUGCUUGAUGAUCUCUCUACUCACUAUUCAAUCAAGGGAGUUGACUUCUAUUUAUGGAAAAUAUACAAAAUAAUAGAAUAUGAUUUGAUCAACAGCGUAGAUGGUGCUUAUAAUCAUGUCUAUGCACAUUAGUGCGACUUAGAAGAAAUGCAAGGAGGAAUUUAUAAAGACAAAGGUUACUUGCUGUUCGCUGCAAAAAAGGGCAUUCAAAGGACAAUUUUCCCAAGUUUUUCACCGCCGUUUUUACCAUUCGCUACAAAAAAACAAAUACUCCCCCCCCCUGCGAGCUCCUUGUGUUUGGUUGUAUCUAACGAUCCCUAAUACCAAAUUUAAGGUUUAGAUAUAUAAAAAAGAUAUCUCAGGUACUUCAUUGCUAUCCAUUAUGCUCCCCAGUUUCAAGCAGAGCAAAAAAUUGUAAUUGAGUUGAUUUUUGAACAUGCAGAGCAGUUAGACAUCUGAAUUACCAAUCUUUAUUAUUAUUGCAAUAAACACACAGAUUACACUAAAAGCUAGUGAAUCAUAAACUUGCAGAUGACUUAUCCAAACACAAAGAUAAGACAUGAGUUUAUUAUUGUUGCUAUAAACACAGGGAUUAUAGCGAAAUUCAAAAACUAAAAACAAGGAAAAAAGUAGUGAUGAAAACAAAUGCCACUUUUGUGGGGAACACGAUUGCAUUCGCACAUGCAACAAGCCUUUUAAACCCAUAGGUGACCCAAAUAGGACGAGUGAAGUCUCGUGAGGGUUUCCAGAGACGUUACCCACAAACAUCAUGCAUACUGAUCAUCAACAUCUGCCUUGGGAGACUGAGUAGAUAUCCACCCCUCCAGCAUCAGGUGUUUUUUGGUUGAGGCGCAAUUCGAAUCUGUUUUCAAUGAACGGCCUGGUUAAGAGGUCGCUUUGCAAGUGACGUAAUCGGCAGCGCGUGAUUAGGUUGUUGCUGUCAGGUGGUCCGACAGGCUCGACCUUGAACAAUGUGCAAGCCCAAUUGUCUUUGGUUUCAUUUCGGUCAGCAGCUGCGGCCAGGACCAAUAGCCUGUUUUGGUCCACCCUUCUCAAGUAGUUGCCGUUGUAGGAGCAUUUGAUAUGCACGUAAUUCUUGUCGGCGUAGUCCUCAUUGUUUGGCUUCUCAGUGGUGAACUUUACGAACCUGCUGUUUUCAUUGUCCUCGGAAAAUUGGACAAUCUCAUUAAGGUCGCUUUCUGCAUCAAGUUGAUAACGCAAAUACUUGUUGUUGGUAUCUGCUUUCAGCAGAAAGGGGCUUGGUAGUACAGGUGGAGCCAUGUUGUAUAGUGUAGUUGGGAUUGGGAUGAACUCUCUUUUUUUCUUCUCUCUUGAUGGUUUAAUUUGCUUGCUGUGAGUGUGUUGCUCUGUUCAAACCUGCUAUCCUAUUUAUAAGAAAUUAAGCACAAGCUAGCUCAAGUUAUGGUCUUUAAUUAAUAUUAUUUUCGACAAAUCAGUUUCCCAUGUCUUUCAUUGAUAUGAACAUGGCUGAUCUCAUUGGUGUGACGCAAGAUUUGUUAAAAUAGCUGAUCGGAUUGAUUUCUUUGUAUAACUCUUCUGCCAAUUCUGCAACUUGUAGAUGCAAUUCCCAUUACAAAAUAAAAAAUAAAAAAUAAAAUCCUAAACUCAUAUAAGAUAAAUAAAGACUUUAUUUACGGGAUCGAAUGCACAUUGAUGGGUGCGCAUUUUCCUUCGUCAUCUUUUCUGUGCUAUUAACUUGUGCGAUUGUCGACUUUCAUAAAUUACAACGGCUACAGGUAAAAUGUCACCCUAGUUUUGAUAAAUAGUGAAGGCAUAUGGCAAAGUCUGUGCGGUCGUUUUUCAUGAAGCAAAUUCUUGUAGGUCUAAUGAUGGGGCAUAUGACAAAAACUUCUUUCUUGUUUAAAACUGAGCAUAAAUUUUAAAUUUUGUUAUAACAUUUCACAACUAUUAAAGGUUAACUCAAUGGCCGUAAGCACCAAAGAGAAAAAUGGUUAAGUGAAUGUUAUUAGAAUUAUAUAAAACUGCUUGCAUAGUAUUUUACGAAUAAGAAAUUUUAUAGAAUAUAGAAUAAGUAUUUCUUUUUAAAAAAAAAAAAUUGGGAUGGUAUAUUACACUAAAAUAUUUGUUGUAGAAUUUAGAUAUGAUCAUAGAAAAAGACUUUGCAAAAUGUCAAAAAAUUUAUACCACGUAGAAUGACUAUAAUUGCCAGAUAGUUAAAAGUUUUGCAACAUGUAAUCGACAUGGUUUCAUAGGACCUACAUCUAGUUGACUUGGUUGUUAAAAUUAAUGUAAGACUUUUAGUUGAUAUUUCUUGAGGGUGAAACACCUUUUGAGAAACGUUUUGGGCCUCAUUACAAUUUUUUCACUUAUCUUUUAUGUUUCAACUUAAAUAUUCUACUAUAAAUACAUUUGGGGCUUAACAACUGGUAAAACCAUUUCCAGAUGUAUUUUAAAGAUUUUCUUAAUGUCACGGAAAAUAUUUUACGAAAAUGAAAGAUUUGAAUUUCCACAAAAAAACGUUGGUUAACUCACGGUUUUUUGUCGGUUUUGUAAAUUUGUAUAAAUAUCUUCGUUAAAUCUAUUUGUUUUCACAUUAACCUCACUGUGAGGUACUUAAAAUUAAUGUAACUUUCCGUCGAUAUUCUUGAGUAUUGACCCUUGUUAAGGCAAAGAUUUGGGCCUCACUACAUUUUUUUUCAUUUAUGUCUUAGGUUUCGGCUUUCACAAAGCACAAGGCUGUAGACCUGAAGUUUUGAUUAAAAAUAUUUGUAACAUGACAGCAUAUGGCUAUAGGCGUGGAGUCUUUGCUAACAAUUAAAAGUUUUGUAAUAAAAUAUUUGACUUGGUUUAUAAGACCUACAUCUAGAUGAUUUGGUUUUUAAAACAAAUAUAAGACUUUUUGUUGAUAUUUCUUGAGGAUGAAACACCAGUUGAGAAACGUCUUGCAUCUCAUUACAAUUUUUUUUUUCAUUUAUUUUUUAGGUUUCAACUUAAAUAUUAUACUAUAAAUACAUAUGUGGCUCAAUAAUUGGUAAAACCAUUUCCAAAUCUCUUGUAAACAUUUUCUUAACGUCAUGGAAAAUAUUUUACAAAAAUAAAACAUUUGUAUUUUUCACAAAAGACAAAGGUUAACAAUCACGGUUUUUAUAUCGGUUAUACAAAUUCAUUCGAAAAUCAUCAUUAAGUCUAUUUGUUUUCACAUUCGCCUUAUCGUGAGGUACUUAAAAAUAAUGUAUAGCUUUCCGUCACUAUUCUUGAGUAUAGAGCGUAGUUAAGGCAAAUAUUUGGGGCCCACUACCAUUUUUUUUCAUUUAAUUUUAAGUUUCGGCUUAGAUAUACCAUUUAAACUAAAUCUUGGAUCAAUAAUUGGAAACAAAUACUCUCCCCAUGCGAGCUCCUUCGUCAAUUCCCCUGGCGAACUCUGAGUGCCUCUAAAGAAAUGAUUAACUGAAAUUAGAAUUUUUGAAACCUUGUGUUUGGUUGUAUCUAACGAUCCCUAAUACCAAAUUUAAGGUUUGGAUAUAUAAAAAAGAUAUCUCGGGUAAUUCAUUGCUAGCCAUUAUGCUCCCCAGUUUCAAGCAAAGCAAAAAAUUCUAAUUGAGUUGAUUUUUUAACAUACAGAGUAGUUAGACAUCUGAAUUACCAAUCUUUAUUAUUAUUGCAAUAAACACACAGAUUACACUAAAAGCUAGUGAAUCAUAAACUUGUAGAUGACUUAUCCAAACACAAAGAUAAGACAUGAGUUUAUUAUUGUUGCUAUAAACACCCGGAUUACAGCGAAAUUCAAAAACUAAAAACAAGGAAAAAAGUAGUGAUGAAAACCAAUGCCACUUUCGUGGGGAACACGAUUGCAUUCGCACAUGCAACAAGCCUUUUAAACCUAUAGGUGACCCAAAUGGGAAGAGUGAAGUCUCUCGUGAGGGUUUCCAGAGACGUUACCCACAAACAUCAUGCAUACCGAUCAUCAACAUCUGACUUGGGAGACUGAGUAGAUAUCCACCCCUCCGGCAUCAGGUGUUUUUUGGUUGAGGCGCAAUUCGAAUCUGCUUUCAAUGAAUGGUCUGGUUAAGAGGUUGCUUUGCAAGUGACGUAAUCGGCAGCGCGUGAUUAGGUUGUUGCUGUCAGGUGGUCCGACAGGCUCGACCUUGAACAAUGUGCAAGCCCAAUUGUCUUUGGUUUCGUUUCGGUCAGCAGCAGCGGCCAGGACCAAUAGCCUGUUUUGGUCCACCCUUCUCAAGUAGUUGCCGUUGUAGGAGCAUUUGAUAUGCACGUAAUUCUUGUCGGCGUAGUCCUCAUUGUUUGGCUUCUCGGUAGUGAACUUUAUGAACCUGCUGUUUUCAUUGUCCUCGGAAAAUUGGACAAUCUCAUUAAGGUCGCUUUCUGCAUCAAGUUGAUAGCGCAAAUACUUGUUGUUGGUAUCUGCUUUCAGCAGAAAGGGGCUUGGUAGUACAGGUGGAGCCAUGUUGUAUAGUGUAGUUGGGAUUGGGAUGAUCUCUCUUUUUUUCUUCUCUCUUGAUGGUUUAAUUUGCUUGCUGUGAGUGUGUUGCUCUGUUCAAACCUGCUAUCCUAUUUAUAAGAAAUUAAGCACAUGCUGGCUCAAGUUAUGGUCUUUAAUUAAUAUUAAUUUCCUCAAUCAGUUUCCCAUCUCUUUCAUUGAUAUGAACAUGGAUGAUCUCAUUGGUGUGACGCAAGAUUUGUUAAAAUAGCUGAUCGGAUUGAUUUGUUUGUAUAACUCUUCUGCCAAUUCUGAAACUUGUACAUAUAAUUCCCAUUAUAAAAUAAAUAAACAAAACCCAAAACUCAUAUAAAAUAAAUAGUGUUGUGAAAUCGACUGUGGGUGCAGUGGAAUAAAUGAAACAAGACCCAAAAUUUACGAGGUUCCUCUACAGUCAGUGUGACUGGAGUACGUCCUCGGGGCAGCAGUGGUGCUUUCAUUAUAAUUUGAAAUAAUAGGAGUACAAAGAUAACUCUCUUUAUAUCUCCCCCUCAUCUUCCUCUUCUUCCUCUCUUCCUCUUCUUUCCUCUCUCUCUCUCUCUUCCUUUCUUCCUUUUCCUUCUUUUCUCAAGUGAACCCUUAAUCACUUCAUCUCCUCUUCUUCCUUUAUAUAAACAAAAGAAAGCACUAUUCACUUUACAAAUUUUCCACAAAUGAAUAGUGAAAAUACUGUGCAUAAAUAGUAACAAACUAUUCAUGUGGACCAUCCACAUAAUAUUUACAACACUCCCCCUUGGAUGGCCACAAGUCUUCGAUUGACUCGUUAAAAUCUUGAUCUGUCUUGGAUGCUCCCCCUGAUGAGUAUCUCCCCCUGAUUUCAAAUCAUUUAGGUUGAUCGUUGAUCGUUCUGCUUUAGUCUCUUAGUAAGAAGAGUUGCUGAAAGAGUUGCUUUACUUGUUGUUAACUUUCCACAUGCUUUUUCUUGAACUGGGUUGUAGGACUUUCUGCUAGACUAGCAUCGAAGAUCUGAAUUUACUCCUUUUAUCUGGAGCGGAAUUUGAUUCAAAAGUGGUGGACACUUGAUCUUGAAUCGGACUUAUGAUUUUUUUCAAAGACUUCGAGGCUUGAUCUUGAAUGAAAUUGUACCGUUAAGAGCUUCAUGUGGCAAGUGAUCUUCGGUUUUGUCGGGGAUGAAUCAGCACGUGUUUGUUGCGCUUGUCUCCACAUGCUUCAAUGUAUCAUUUUCACUUGUCUUACUUGCUCCCCUUGCUUAAGUGGUAUUUUCCCUGGUUUUCCCCUACAUGUGUGGCAUCUUUUCUUGUAGGAUUUGUCCCCUGAUGCAGGAGAGGAAUGCAAACCCUUGCAUUUGAAUGGUUCAUCACUUCUUGGUGACUGGAGACCCAGCUCCAACCGUUGAAGAUGACUACUCGAGAGCAAUACUAGGUAAGUAAUCAGGAAAGGUUCCAGGCAGUCGGUUCCUUACCGGGAGUUUGAGUGGAGGUUCCGACAUAUUGCUUUCUUUAUCCUUAUCUUUGCAGGCAAGAACAAGGACAAAGGAAAGGACAGGGAGAUUGCAUGAUAUGAGAUAAUCUUGCUCUGGUCCCUGAAGAUAUGUGAUAAUCUUGCUCUGGUGUGACAUGUUUGAAGAGGUAUUCUCGGAGAGGAAGAAAACUGAGUAUUCCGAGAUGCUAUGUUGAAGAUGCAUUCUCGGAGAUGAGGAAGAGUUAGGUAUUCUUGCAGUGUUGCGGGUCUGCCUUGUUAUGGAGAACAUAUGUUGACAUAUAUAGAGAUUUCUCAAUAGCAAAUGGUGGUGCUGUGCUUUUACUCUUGUCAGCAACUGUGGUGUAAAUAGAACAGUAAGAUUUACGCGUUUUCAACUUUGUCAGAGAUCUUUGACAAAGUUGCACGCGAUAUCUGAAAAGCUGAGAUUACGUCUGAAAAAUGCCAACGAAUUUUAUUCAGGAAAAUCUGGCUUUUGAAAUUCGAAGAGCGGUGCCUCAUCGAUCUUUGAACAAGUGGCUAUGCGGCCUCUUCUUUUAUAGAGACAUCAAUUGUGUUCAAGAGUAUGCUCAGAAAGUUGCUGCUUGUAGAAAUUUCCCCUAUCUUGCACCUUUGAAAUUUUAUUUGACCUCUGUUUUUCCUUUAUUAUUUCUGAAAAAUGACUUGCCCAUCUAACAUUUGCUUAGAUUUGAGUCUUAGGAGUGAUAUAGACGAGCAGCGUCAGGAUAAUAUAUGGCGCCCGUCCUUCUUAUCUUCUAAUGGUCCUCUUACGGUUGAGGAUUCUGUGAUGAAGAAUAACAUAAUCGCUACUGUGGUAGCUAGGAAUCUUCUCACUCCAAGGGAUAACAAGAUCCUUUCAGAACGGUCUGAAGAGUCGGCCGUUCAAGACUCCUUGGCUCUCAGUGUUCAGUGUGCUGGCUCUGUGUCCAAUAUGGGCCAACGCCUACUUGCUCAAACUCGCCAAGUUGAAUCAUUGAUGGCGGAGGUGGCAAGUCUUAAACAAGAUAUCAGAGGGCUCAAGCACGAGAAUAGGGUGUUACACGUGCUUGCAAAUAAUUACUCUACGAGCAUGAAAAGAAAGCUCGUCCAACUGCAGGAAUCCGAAAGUCGGAUUCAAAAUGAUCACCAGAGGUUCGUUGCUAGAUUCCGAAAGCAACUGAUGCCUUCCCCUUCUGGUGUUUUGCUAAGUACUGGGGUGCCACAUGAUCAAUCUCCAGUGCCUCCCCCUUCUGGGGUACUUCCGAGUACUGAGGCUUCACAUGAGCAACCUUUGUGAAGGCUCCAUCCUGUUUGUUUGUUUUAACUCAUGUGUAUGUCAUAUAUUGUAUUUCUUGAGUAUAUCUGUAAUUUCUUGGAGAUUAAUAAAUAAACUUUAAUUUCAAUGUAUUGUGCCAAAUACAAUAAAGCAUAUACUUCACUAAGAUGCGGUACUUCUGGACCAAAUAUUAAUUUAUCUUUACCUUCACAAAGAUAAAUGAUUAUUCUUAGUGUCUUCAUCAUAUGAGUAUUCAACUCAUAAUCUUCAAUCCAUAUGGUUCUUUUAAUAUCAUAAAUAUCAUGGAUAAGAUUCGUGUUGGUAGAUUGUUCGAUCUGCAGCUCGAGACAAUAAUUCUUUCAACACUUUAUAAUUUUUCUAGACUCUUCAGGAGUCCCAAUUUAAUAUUAUCAACUCUUCAAGAGUUAUAAUUUAAUGUCAUUGACUCUUGCAAGAGAUUUUAGUAUGUUGCAACAAUAUCAUAAUGAUAGUACUCACUAAGGCAAUUUAUAUCAUCCAUUGGUAUUGAGUACAUAUUUUAUGUUUUACCCUUCAGAGGCUUACUUCAAGCAAUUUGAAUCCUUCAAGGGUUUUCUACACUUCAUGACACAUUUUCCUUUGGAAUUUAUACAGAGCAAUUUGCUCCCAUGUAUACUUGAGGGAUUUACUUAUGGAGAUAUAAUGUGGGUGACUCACAACCCUUCGUAUAUAAUUCUCCAUUUAUAUGAACUUGUUUACAAGAGUAUAAUUUCAGGUUUCAAUUAGUAACCUUAUGUCAUAUCAUGUGAGUGUAUUACACUGUAUUACAAAUGCCCAUAUGUAACCUCCUUGAUUCAACAUCUUUUGGCUAUUUGUAUUGUAUUCAAAUAUAUAUAUAGGUUCAUUUGCCCACGUUCUUACAAAAUUGUAAUGGAAUUGCCUUUCUCCAUUUUGGCCAAUAAUUUUUCUUUUGUCGACGAACAAAAGAACGUGACUCAAUAUUAACACAGCUCAUUGAUGAAUUUAGUAGUUACUUGUAAAAACCAAAAUUACCAUUGGUUAUCAUCAAUCCGUGAUCCCAUAUUCUCAUGUGCAUGCGCAUGCAUAAAAGCUUUUCAUUUCUUUGGAUAUCCAUUGCCUCUUCAAGGGCAUGACGCUAUCUCUUCCAGGAUAGUCAUAAUUUAGAGAAUGUGGAUCAUAACCUCCUCUUGAGCGUUAUAGAGCUUGGAUUUUAAUCUCCACUUCCGGGAGUUGAGUCAUUGGAACCUAUAUAUCUAUUAUGCUCCAUGUAUGAGACAUCAACAUUCCCAUGUCUGUGGAUUGUCCUAUCUGGGACGUGUAUCCAUGCGGCGACUGUCAUGCUUCUGGCAUGCAACAGUUAUGCUUCGGGAAUGCAAUAGUUCAGUAGUACCAUAUUAUUCUUCUUUCGAAUAACUAAACCUUUUGAGUCUAAAAAUCUGCCACGCUUCAGGCGUGCAACAGAUAAAUCAUUUACUGUCUCAUUAUUUUAUCCAACAGAGACAUCAAUUCUUGUAGGCACAUUUGCAGUAAGUAUAUAUGAUUUCAUCACUUUCGUUGCAUCAUUCAAUUAUUCAUAUUUCAUUUUCUCAUUGAUUGCUUCGUGAAUCAAAAUAAGACAAAUUAUCUUCGUUCUUCUGGAACGGUCUUUUCUCAUCAUUCUUUUGGAAUGAUAUUUUCUCAUCGUUCUUCUGGAACGACGUUAUUUUCUCCCCUAAUGGCGGGAAAACUGUCUUAUCAAAAUCAUAGUCCGCAAAUCAUGCGGUAGACAUAUCCCCAGUCAAGGGUUCCAAAUAUUGAAUGAUAGAUGGUGUUCAACAUCAAUGCCUAAUCUGCAAUGAUGCCUCAUUUCAGUAUGUUGUGGCAGUCUUACAGGCACAUAGACAACACAACAAAAAACUCAUAAAUGUAUAAUGUUUGGUUGGUUCCCAAACCCGAGUUGUACUGAGAAGUAUUGAUGGUUGAUAACAUAUCUCAACCGAAUUAAUAAUGCAUCAUGUAAAGUUUACAUGUCCCCAUGUAGAAAACUGGCAAUUUCGUUUUCAUGAGCAGAGCGUUGGUAAUCAAUUUCACCCACUUAAUAAAUGCUUCUGCUAAACCAUUUUGAGUAUGGACAUGAGGAACUUCUGGUCCUUGUUUAAUAGUCUGUGAACUGAGACUCUUAUGUCCUUUAUUAUGGUUAAGUUGAGGCACUGCGGCACUUUAAACUUACGGUACUCAUCAAGGAAUUUCAUGUCCUGAUCUUCAUGAUCAAAGGACUUCAUGCCUGAUCUUUUUGUUUAAUGGAACUUCAGGUCCAAUCAUUUGUAUAUGAUGAGGAUCAAGAAACUGCAGGUUCUGAUCUGAUCAAUGAACUUUAGGUCUUAUAUAUACUCAUUGUAACAAAAGAUAAGUACAAUAAAUAAAUUAAAGCAAUAGGCGGUAAUUCCAGCCAUAGUAAAUGAAUUGAACAAUAAAUAAAUUAAAGCUUAUGACAAGGGCUUUAAUUCAGCACCAUUCACAUAAAUCAAAACUUAAAGCAGUAGGCGGUAAAACCGUCCAUGAUAAAUAAAUUGCUUUAAAGUAAAUAGAACUUGUGACAUGGGCUUUAAACCAACACCAUGCACAUAAAUAAUAUAUACAUAUUUUCUUCUUUCUUUUCAGAUGGUGUAACACCAUCGAAAAUCCUUUACCUUUAUUAUUAUUUUUCUUAUUCAUUCACAUGCUACAACAUUCCAAAAACUUUUGGUUUUAUUUCUUUUAUUUUACAUGGUGCAACGCACCUUUCUAAAUCAUUGGCCACAUUUCCCCUUUUCUUUGUCUAUCUCUACUAGUCUCGAAACCCAGUACCAGCUGGGUUGUUGUGGGGGUUACACAAAACCAAUUCAAUCCAAAAAGGCUACCAGAGACUGGCGUUGUUCUUGCAUGGCCCAAAGAACAUGGCAUCGCAAAGCAAGAACCUCUCCAUAGAGACAUAGAUGACAGUGAGGUUGACGAAGGCACAAGAGAGGAAGGCCUGUGUGAAGUCAGUCAUGCCAUCACCAUCUCAGACAACUGAGGAUUCAUGGAGGUCCUCGAGAUCCAUUGAGAACGACACGAUCUGGGUUUCCAAGUCUAAUGAGAUUCUUCUGGAUCUCUGGAAACCAGUUGUCAGGUACGAGUUUUCUUAUCUCGUGACGACUUCAGGUCGUUGUAAAUUUCAAUUCGCACCGGAAUUCGGUGGGGCGCUUCUGGCGCGGUGGGAGAAACGAAAAAUGGACAUACCUUUGCUUGUUUUGCUGUACUUUUGUUUGUCUAUAAGAUCUCUCCAUCUUUCUUGUCCACGAGAGAAAAAAUAGAUUGCAGAUCUAGCAGGGAUAAGGAUUAGCACAUCAAUAGUUAGAGUGAUAAAAGAAAAGUGAUAAAAGAAAGGUUGAUGUAAUUUUGACAAGAUGAUCUUCCCUGUUUAACAUGUCUGGCUUGCCGUCUCUACUCUGUGAGAUUUUAGCUGACCGAGGUGAGAGGUAGAUAAUGCUUUACCAGAUUUAUGAUGUUGUGCUUUCCACUGACAUGAGAGCUUUUCGUGCUGAUAACGUGUUGUGAAAUCGACUGUGGGUGCAGUGGAAUAAAUGAAACAAGACACAAAAUUUACGAGGUUCCUCUACAGUCAGUGUGACUGGAGUACGUCCUCGGGGCAGCAGUGGUGCUUUCAUUAUAAUUUGAAAUAAUAAGAGUACAAAGAUAACUCUCUUUAUAUCUCCCCCUCAUCUUCCUCUUCUUCCUCUCUUCCUCUUCUUUCCUCUCUCUCUCUCUCUUCCUUUCUUCCUUUUCCUUCUUUUCUCUCGUGAACCCUUAAUCACUUCAUCUCCUCUUCUUCCUUUAUAUAAACAAAAGAAAGCACUAUUCACUUUACAAAUUUUCCACAAAUGAAUAAUGAAAAUACUGUGCAUAAAUAGUAACAAACUAUUCAUGUGGACCAUCCACAUAAUAUUUACAACAAAUAGAGACUUUUUAUGGCAUAUAUAUAAAAUAAGACUUUCUAACUUGUUCAAGAUUAUAGUCACAAGAUCGAAUAUACAUUGAUGGGUGCGCAUUUUCCUUCGUCAUCUUUUAUGUGCUACUAAUUUGUGCGAUUGUCAACUUUCAUAAAUUACAAUGGCUACAGGUAAAAUGUCACUCUAGUUUUGAUAAAUAGUGAAGGCAUAUGGCAAAAAUAGUGAAGGCAUAUGGCAAAUGUCUACAAUUUGAUAUCAGAGCCAAUUCCUAGUCGAGAGUAUGCUGACGAGGACGUCGGGCCCCUAAGGGGGGUGGAUUGUAACAUCCCACAUCGCCCAGGGGAGUGGAUCAUGUAAGCCUUAUAUGUAUAUUCCCAUCUCUACGUAGCACGAGGUCUGUUGGGAGCUCACUGGCUUCGGGUUCCAUCAGAACUCCAAAGUUAAGCGAGUUCGCAUGAGAGCAAUCCUAUGAUGGGUGACCCACUGGGAAGUUCUCGUGUGAGUUCCUAGAAACAAAACCGUGAGGGCGUGGUCGGGGCCCAAAACGGACAAUAUCGUGCUAUGGCGGGGCCUAGGAUGUGGUAGGGGCUCGGGUCGGGAUGUGAUAAUUUGAACCCGAAGCCAGUGAGCUCCCAAAAGGCCUGGUGCUAGGUAGAGAUGAGAAUAUACAUAUAAAGCUUACAAGAUCCAUUCCCCUGGGCGAUGUGGGAUAUUACGAUCUACCCCCUUAGGUGCCCGACGUCUUUAUUGGCACACAUUCGGCCAGGGAUUGGCUCUAAUACCAAAUUGUCACUUUCCGGCCCGAGUCCCCACCACAUCCCAGGCUCGACUCCACCGUAGCAUGAUAUUGUCCACUUUGGGCCCUGACCACACCCUCGCGGUUUUGUUUCUGGGAACUCAUACGAGAACUUUACAGUGGGUCACCCAUCAUGGGAUUGCUCUCGCGCGAACUCGCUUAACUUUGAAGUUCCGAUGAAACCCGAAACUAGUGAGCUCCUAAAGGCCUCGUGCUAGGUACAGAUGGGAAUAUACAUAUAAGGCUUACAUGAUCCACUCCCCUGGGCGAUGUGAGAUGUUACAAUUAAUGUUCAGUAAAAUAUUUUUUGAAAAUAACAAUUGCAUUUUAGACAAAAAAAAAAUGUAACGAUUUUUAGACGGUUUUGAAAAUUUGUAAAAAAAAACGACAUCGAUAUUUUUACACAAAGGGGAUGAGGAGUUUGGCUAAGCCACACAAAGGGUAGCCUAAUUUGAUAUCAAAUUUGCCAUCCACAAGAUUCAAACCUAAGACCUCCCACUUCCAAGUAGAGAGGAAUACUACCAGACCGUAGUACUGAGUGGCAAAAAAUCAUCAUUAAAUCUACUUUUUUCACCUUGGCCUUUCCAUGAUGUUUCAAAACUAAUGUAAGGCUUUACGUUAAUAUUCUUGAGUACAAGCCCCAAUUUAUGCAAUGUUUCGGGCCUUACUUGACACGCCCCAACCCCGAUAUCCUCACAUACCAGGGUAGGCACGUACUGGCCGACACCCAAGGGUGACGAAGCCAUUUUAAACAUGCAUACAAAUAAAGAAUAUGCAAUUAGAACGAAAAAUUCCAUUACAAGAACAUGUUCAGAGCAUAUAACUACUAAGAAUACUAUGGAAGAAUUACUAAGAAAAGAUACGAACAAGGAAAUGAUACUUAUACUGAGAAGACUCGAGGAUACCUAUGCCAAAAUACCAUAACGCCGAGAUCAUGUGCCUCGAUCCUAACUCCUGAAGGGGUGCAAAAUAGAAAAGGUGAGUGGACCAAAGUUUAUAAUAAUAAUACUAAUAGUAGGAAAACAUUUUAUUUCUGAACAUAAUAACCCCCUGUUUUGAAAACACAUAUAAUACUACAUAGAGGUUUUAUAAAAACCCUAGCAUGCCAUGUAAAACAUUCGUAAAACAUGUAUGUAAAACUAGUGUUGAAAAUUGUACUAACGCCCAAAGGCAAAUCUAUAAAUGUCAUUAGUGAGGUACUCAACUAGGUGUAUCAUAGUUGUCCAAAGGCAGUACCUGUCCAUCACCCGAAGGUGAAGCUGAAUAAAAUAGCGUACAUCCACACUGACACUACUAAUGAUGCUGUCCGACAUUACUUUCGACAGUGAAGCUAGGGGUAUAUAAUAUAUCAUAUCUCACUCCUCUAUCCUCUGUGUCCUACGACCAAAGACAUCUAUACCUGUGGUGUGCGGAUGUGCCAUAUGAUAACCUACUAGCUAGUACCAAAAACUUAUCUCCAAAACUCGUAUCAAAAUAUGGAGCUCGCUAGGUCAAACCUCAUCUCAUAAAUCCAAGAUAAAUCGUAUUCAUGAAAUCCAUAAAAUAAUUCAUGUUUGUAAAACCGUAAUAUAAAUCAUAUUCAAAAAUCAUAGAAAUCCAUAUAUACGAAUCCAAUAAUUCAAUACCUUUAAUGAAAUGUAAUUUCGAUAAAUCAAACUAUUUCGUAAACCAUAAUUAUAAAAGUCUAUAAAGCAUAUUAUAAAUCAUAUUCAAAUCAUGAAAUAUGGAAUGCAUGCUAGGCUAAUACUUUAUAAAAACAAGUAAGUUAAGAAGGGGUCCACUCACUGAUUUUAUUGCCCAAGAACUGCUCGAACUAGCUAGGAUCACGUCGCUUCCCGCCAACGCACCUAAACACAAUUAGGGACCAUUUAGUUAAACUCUACUAACAUGUUAGAAUUUAAAACGGACGGCGAAUUCGGAUCCGGGGCGUAAAAAAACCUAACGAGGGACCUCGGGUUUUCCCCCACGCAUUGUCGUACGAGCGGCCAUAAGGUUACGUUCCUGAAGGCCACGCAGAGCCACACGUGGCGGCAGACCACCUCGACUCGCUGAAAAAUUUAACAAUUCUAAAAAUUCCCAAAUUUUACAGGAAUGAAGAUCUCAAUGAAAGGAACAACUUUCAUACUUAGGUCGAGGUCCAAUUCGACUGGGAAACACCUCAAAUUGCCCUCGAUCCCAGCAGAACCCUAGAAAUGGGUGCUCUCCAAUUCGUCCUCAAAUUGAACCCAACGCCCCCAAACUUGUGUGGGCUUUGUUCCUGGGUUCAAGAUGAGUGGUUUGAUGGUAGUGGUGGUCGACGUAGCUUUCAUGAUCGGCAAAUCUCUACCGUGGCACCCCCGGAACCCACGGGUUUCGUUCUGCACGAAUUCAAGGUUAAACCUAGUGAAAUUUGGUUGGAAAUGGAGAAGGAGAAGAUGAUGGUUAGUUUGCAGGUGGUGGCGAGGUUUGGAUCGCCCGAAAACCAGUGGAAACAGGUCAGAAAGGUCACGCUAUAGGUCGGGUUAGCGGGGAGGAACCGACUCAAGGGUGAUCCAGUACUCCUCCGCUCUCUCAUUUCUCCUCAUUUCUCUCCUUUCUCAUUGGUCACUUUUUCUCUUUCUCUUCUUUCUCAUUGGGCAUCCACCCUCAUUUCUGUCAUUUCUCCUCCAUCCAUCUCUCUCCCUUCUAUUCAUUCUUUUCCAUCAUAGCCACAUACAUGGUACAAACUGAUGCUCCAACAAAAUCUAGAGCCUUUCAGAUUUAUUGUCAAUUGACCAUUUUGCCAUCGACUUCGUUCGUUAAUAACUCUUUCAUUAUAACUCCAAUUUACGUUCCGUUUACGCCCACGCAUUCCUAGUGACAAGUGCUACAAGUAUACACCAAGAAAAGGGAUCUCAUGUGACACAACAAAGCGGUCAACAAAAGUCAACGUAUUUGCCUCAAAGGGUAUUUUCAUAAUUUCACAUUUUAAAAUUAUAAAAACCGUAAUAAUUGGGAACGGGUCGUUACAUUCCUACAACAACAAAACACAACAACAACCAAGCGUUAUGCUAUUAAGUGGGGUCAACUGUACUCCACUACGAUGGAGUUAACACCAAAUCUUUCGUUAGCUACAAAUACUUCAUAUCAUUUCCUAUAGUCUAUUUCCAAGUCUUCCUAACUUUUCCUCCACCCCUUAUGCCCUAAGCCUCCCUCUCAUAGUUGCCUUUUCUACCAUAGCUUUUUUAGAUAUUUGUUUCAUGUACCCAAACCAUCUUAACUGAUUUUCUUUCAUCUUAUCUUCAAUGGAGACAAGUCAUAUUUUGCCUCAGAUGUCCUCGUUGUUAAUCUAAUCAUUUUGACACCCUGACCGCAAUAACACAAGUUACGAGGCCGAGAUAUCCUGGCUGUCAGACCAUAUGGCCCCAUUUAGGAAUGACUUCACAAGCCAACUUAAUAACAAAGCCAUAGUAAGACAAUUACGAUGUGAGUGAAUUUGAAUCAAAACAUUCAUUAAUAAUAAAUCAAAAGGUGCUACAAAGUUUCCUAAUCAACCUCCCCACUUGGGAAUAUAUAUUCAAGGUUUAGAUCCCAUUAUUAUCACAUCACAUCAGAGCAGCUAGAAGUUUCAUACAACAAUAAACACAUAAAAGUGUAGUGCUAUGCAUAAUCAAGAGUGCGAUCGUGCAAAUAUUACUGACAAAAUAAAUAUGCAGUAGAGGAAUCAUCACCAAAAUCCAAAGGAUGAAACCUCACUACCAAGCCCACUUGCCACCACUGAGGUUCUCCUGAUUCUCGCUAUGUCCUGAGGGAUUGAUAAAUAAAGUAUGAGUGGAUCAAGUUUUAUCUCGUCAAAAAUCAAUUGAAUAAUCUCCAUUUUGAAAUCAUCUAUUGUAGAAUUAUCAAAGAGACGAGCUUAGGGCCCACAUCCAACAAUAUCGAUAUAGCCCCAACUUGGUAAUUAUUGCCCACACAAUCUGUCAGGUGUGAAGUUUUAUCACAAAAGGCCUUGGUGUUAGAUGAAGUGGGGACAUGCUAUUUAAACUCUUAUGUACUUAGAGAUAUGGCUGAUGUGGGAUAUUUCAACACCUAUAUAUAUAUAUAUAUAUAUAUAUAUAUAUAUAUAUAUAUAUAUAUUAAAAACUACCUGCAUAAUAAUAUUACCAUAAUAGUGGUCACAAUCAAUUCAUCUCGCACGUCAUAUCAAAGAAAGUAAGUCAUUCAUAAAAUCUAAGUAAUAUAAUAUGAUUUUAUCAAUAUCGUAGAUGGUUCUUAUAAUCAUGUAUACGCACGUUGGUGCGACUUCAAUUCCAAUGAUCUCUCUCUUUUAACAACUAACUAUAUUUAUUUCAUAAACAAUAUCAUUUGUAUAUAUAUAAAAAAAUGAUUUGAUCAUAUUAAUUCUGCAUAGUCCCCUCAAGUUGGAUAGUAAAUGUCAUAAAUCAAGUUUUUUAGUCAAAAUGGAGUCCUUGAGAUUUGCCUACUUCGUCACCUUGGUCUCUGAGAUUCAAAAUCAAUAGAGUGGUCUAUGAGAUAGUCCACCAACAAUCAUUUUGGUCAUUUGGUGAAAAAUUGAGUUAAAUAAGAAUUAAAAUGACAAAUUUACCCUCAAUGUAAUACACAAUAGGCCAUCAUGAUUUGACAAAAGUUGAGGGUAUUUUUGUCAUUUUAUCCUUAUUUGAGAUUUUUUACGGAAUGACGAAAAUGAUUGAUUGCGGACAAACUCAGGGAUCAAUUCUAUCGAUUUCAAAUCUCAAGGACAAAAGUGAGGAGUUAUGCAAACCUCAAUAACCAUUUCCACUAAAAAAAUUAUUAUUCCUAAUUUCCUAAACCCCUUGGGAAGAUAUCUACCAAUUGUACUCGAGAAGAAAUGCAGGAAUGAGGAAUAUAUAAAGACAAGCGAUACUUGCUCUUUGUUGCAAAAAACGACACUUAAAGGUCAAUUUUCCCAAGUUUUUCACCGCUGUUUUUACCGUUCGCUGCAAAAAAAAAAAAGACUAUCCCCUUGCGAGCUCCGUCGUCAAUUCCCCCCGCGAACUCUGAGUCCCUCUGAAAUAAUGAUUAACAUAAAUUUGAAUUUCUCAAACUCUGUGUUUGGUUGUAUCUAACGAUCCCUAAUUCCAAAUUUAUGGCUUAGAUACAUAAAAAAGAUAUCUCGGGUACUUCAUUGCUAUCCAUUAAGCUCCCCAGUUUCAAGCCAAGCAAAAAAAUCUAAUUGAGUUGAGUUUUGAACAUGUAGAGUAGUUAGACAAUUGAAUUACCAAUCUUUAUUAUUAUUGCAACAAACACACGGAUUACACUAAAAGCUAGUUAAUCAUACACUUGCAGAUGACUUAUCCAAACACAAAGAUAAGACAUGAGUUUAUUAUUAUUGCUAUAAACACACGGAUUACAGCGAAAUGCAAAAACUAAAAACAAGGAAAAAAGUAGUGAUGAAAACCAAUGCUACUUUCGCGGGGAACACGAUUGCAUUCGCACAUGCAACAAGCCUUUUAAACCCAUAGGUGACCCAAAUGGGACGAGUGAAGUCUCGUGAGGGUUUCCAGAGACGUUACCCACAAACAUCAUGCAUACUGAUAAUCAACAUCUGACUUGGGAGACUGAGUAGAUAUCCACCCCUCCAGCAUCGGGUGUUUUUUGGUUGAGGCGUAAUUCGAAUCUGUUUUCAAUGAAUGGCCUGGUUAAGAGGUCGCUUUGCAAGUGACGUAAUCGACAGCGCGUGAUUAGGUUGUUGCUGUCAGGUGGUCCGACAGGCUCGACCUUGAACAAUGUGCAAGCCCAAUUGUCUUUGGUUUCGUUUCGAUCAGCAGCUGCCGCCAGGACCAAUAGCCUGUUUUGGUCCACCCUUCUCAAGUAGUUGCCGUUGUAGGAGCAUUUGAUAUGCACGUAAUUCUUGUCAGCGUAGUCCUCAUUGUUUGGCUUCUCGGUGGUGAACUUUAUGAACCUGCUGUUUUCAUUGUCCUCAGAAAACUGGACAAUCUCAUUAAGAUCGCUUUCUGCAUCAAGUUGAUAGCGCAAAUACUUGUUGUUGAUAUCUGCUUUCAGCAGAAAGGGGCUUGGUAGUACAGGUGGAGCCAUAUCGUAUAGUGUAGUUGGGAUUGGGAUGCUCUCUCUUUUUUAUUCUCUGUUGAUGAUCUAAUUUGCUUGCUGUGAAUGUGAUGCUUAGUUCAAACCUGCUAUCCUAUUUAUAAGAAAUUAAGCACAAGCUAGCUCAAGUUAUGGUCUUUAAUUAAUAUUAAUUUCGACAAAUCAGUUUCCCAUCUCUUUCGUUAAUAUGAACAUGGCUGAUCUCAUUGGUAUGGUGCAAUAUUUGUUAAAUUAGCUGUUCGGGUUGAUUUCUUUGUAUAACUCUUCUGCCAAUUCUGCAACCUGUAGACGUAAUUCCCAUUACAAAAUACAAAAAAAUAUAAAAUCCAAAACUCAUGUAAGAUAAAUAAAGACUUUUUAUAUCAUAAAAUAAGACUUUCUAACUUGUACAUAGUUACAAGAUCGAACACAUUGAUGGGUUAGAUAUUUGGGGCUCACUACAACUUUUUUUCACUUAAUUUUAGGUUUUGGCUUAAAUAAACCAUUCAAACUAAAUUCAAUAAUUGGUAGAAACCUUUCCAAAUGCUUUAUAAAUGUUCUCUUAAUGCUAACGGAGAAAAUUUUGGGAAGACAAAAUAUUUGCAUUUCUCACGAAAAUGUGGGUGCUCAUUAAUUUUAGUUGGUUUUGCAAUUUUGUAUAAAAAUCAUCAUUAAAUAUAGUUGUUUUCACCUUUGCCUCACCGCUAUAUUUCUAAAAGUAAUGUAAGACUUUCAGCCUUUGUUCAUUAGUGAGGAUCUUAUCAAGAUAGAGCAGCCAUAAGAAACUCUUAACUUGGAGGAAUAUGAAGUUUCCAAAUGAGAUUCCAUCACCAAUUAGGAAAAGCACUAGGCCUAAUGGCCCAAAAAUAAGCAGAUUUAACUGAAAAAUUACCAUCAUUUAUUCCACUUCAGACACACUUGGCAGUCAAAGCAUCAAAACUAAUUGGAAUGCUAAGAAUUUGUUCAACCACCUCUUUAGUAAAACAAGUAAUAGUGGAUCCAAACCAUUAUUGUAACAAUAAUUAGCUACAGUAGCCUUAUACAUAUUGUCGGUGUCACGCCCCGAUCCCGAUAUACGUCUAGGAUCGACAUGUGAUGUCAUCAAAUACCCAUAUCUCUAACUUCCCCCACCUCCGGGAUAUGGCAAAGUGAUGAGUCAAUAUUUUACCAUAUAUUUUACCCUAAUCUUAGUAUUAAUUUAUUGGUUAUUUUGGUAGAAUUUUGAUACUUUGUUGUAUAUUUCUAAUGUAGGACAUUCGACUUCAUCUGGAGAAAAAAGUAACCAAAAGGAUGAAUUUUGGAGUGAUUCUAAUUAGAGGAUGUUCGUGAGUCUUUCAAGAUGAUUGUAUCAAAAUUCCAGAUUUUUCUACCAAGCCGUUUGACCGUGGCGAUGAAAUUAAGGCCCAAUGCGCAGCUUUCUCAGAUUGACAUUUUUGGACGUUUUUUGUAUUUUGAAGGUCAAGAUGUCAUAUUUUGAGGAAGAUUCCUUCUGAGGAUUUGUAUGGGACGUCUCCAGCUUUCAAAAGAGACAUUUUGGGAUCAAAUAGGAGUUAAUUUGGUUGGUCAGAAGUCUGAUUUUCUGAGAACUCCGAAUUCUAGUUCACAUAGGAAACCUUUUAUUUUCUGUUUUAUUAUUUUAUUAUGUUUCAUGGUUUUAUUCUAAGACCUUUUUGGGUUUUAGUUUGUAUUAGUAUAAAUAAGAUAUUUAGCCAUUAGGGUAAAAGAGGAGGAGAGAACAUGAGGAGAACGCACACAAUACUUUGGAGGAUUCAAGUUUAUUUUCAAGGUGUUUUCUAUCCAUGUUCUUAAUAAUAUUUUGUUUUAUGGUUGUUAGUAACUAGUUUCAUUUGCUAGGGUGAGGCACGACCCUUAGCAAGAAUAUGUAGUUUCUUUUUAAUCUGCUUAUGAUAUUAUGCAUGUAAGUUUUGAAUUAUUAAUCAUUGUGCUUUAAACUAUCUAAUUGUAUUGAUGAUUGGCCACCAUUAGGAUAUUUAGAAAAGUAAUUUGAUGCAAUUUUGGCGGAGGGCUAUCCGUAGAAUUGGCGUUGGCUUCUUGUGGUUAAUAUGUGUAACUUCUUAGGAUGGACAACACGUCUUAAGGGUUAUAUGGUUUUUCAAAAGGAUUUCACAAAACUUUAUAAGUCUUGCAUAUUCACAUUUGAUCUGGACACCACAGACGGGUUGCAUGUUAGAUAUACGUUCUAUGUUGGAGGUUCCAAGUAGGGCAUACUUUAGGAAAACCUAACCUUCAAAAUAUGCAUGUUUAAUUCAUAAGUAAAUGGAAGAACUAUGUAUGAUUGUUAAGGUGAUGGCGAAACCCUAGUGCUUAAAUUUAUUUUCAAAACUAUUUUCUUUGGUUUUCUUUACUUUCCCAAUUUAUUUAAUUGUUUUCAAUUAAAUUCAUUUUUAAUAUUUUAAGUCAUAAAAUCAACCUCUUCUAAACUUUGUUUUCAAAUAAUUAAUUAAGAUUUGGAUUUAACAUAAAUUAUUCAUUCAAUCCCUGUGGAAAACGACCUUCAUUGUGCUGCUAUACUAUGACAACCUUGUACUCUUGCAAGUAUUUUUAAGUGUUUUUAUCCCUACUUUUGCAAGUGGUAAAAUCCCUAUCACAAAGCACAACUCGAGAAUCGAAUCGCAUAGUAAUUUUUUGUAUAAUUUAUGACUACAUCUAACCUCCUCGUUAGAUUGCCUACGUACCCUAAAUAGGGAUCAAGCCAUUCGUAGUUCACUUCACUCAAACAUUCAUCACAUAUCUCACUACGUCUCAUCAUAAUACCACAAUUCAAGCAUGUAGCACCUCAAAGAACAUUCAACAAAGCACAAUAAUAUUCUCUAGCCAUCUAUCCAUUCACCCACACAUGCAUUCCAACACUAUCCAAUAAUCACACCAAUCAAUAACACAUACAAUACAUCGAAAUGCAGGGCUAGAGCGACACAGUUCGACCGAAACCUACAUCGCUGAAGCUGAAAUUGAAUCCAAGGAACCAACAAGUCAAAUGAUGUGAUUUCAAACCACUCAAUGAAAUCCAUCAAUAUCGGGUCCUAGACCAGUCAACGGAACCAAAACACCAAGUGGGAUUCCAGGCCACUCAACGGAAUCUAUACCAGGAUACGAUUCCGGACCACUCAACGGAAUCGCAGAGUAGAAGGGAUUUUGGACCUCUCAACGAAAUCCGAGUGGAUAUGAUUAUGGACCACUCAACGGAAUCGCAGAGUAGAAGGGAUUUUGGACCUCUCAACGAAAUCCGAGUGGAUAUGAUUAUGGACCACUCAACAGAAUCGCAGAGUACAAUGUGUAUCGAACCACUCAAUGAAAUCCAAGCAGGAUACAAUUACAGUCAUACCUUCCGUCAGUUGUCUAUCAAUUCCGUCAGUUGUUGCAAUGACAUUGAAACUUUUUAAAGAUGAGGUAUUGUUAAUGACCCAAUAGUUGAGGUAGUUUUGUGUAAUUUACCUUUUUUUUUUUACUUAUUUUUUGGGUUUUUCUAUUGGAAAUACAUUUGUGGGUCAUUAAUUAGUAAAAACACUUUAAGAUACGCUAUAAAGAUUUGCUUACUGCUCACAAAAAACGUGGGUAACACUCACGAUUUUUAGACGAUUUUGCAAUUUUGAACAAAAAUCAUUAUUAAAUCUAUUUGUUUUAACUUUCGCCUCACCAUGAUGUUUAUAAAAUUAAUGUAAUACUUUUUGUUGAUAUUUCUUGAGAGUGAAACCCCAUUUUAGCAACAUUUUGUGCAUCACUUAUAUGUGUUUAGUUGGUAGAACUACUUCCAAAUGCCUUGAAAAUAUUCCAUUAAUGCUAAAAUUUUGCAUUUUACCCAAAAAAGGUGUCACGAUUUUAAAACUUAUUUGUUUUCACCUUCGCCUCUCUAUGAUGUUUCAAAACUAAGUUACUUAAUUAUAUUUAUCUAGUUGCGAAAUUGAUGUUUUGGCAAAAAAUUAGGAGAGAAUUUUUAGGUUUGCCCAAUGAAUAUAUAAGUGAUGGCUGACGAAUCGUUAGAAGUUGAUCUGACAACUUGCACCUAAUUCGUCAAGCAAAAGUGAAAAAAUUAUUUUUUUUCCCUUAUAUUUUUAAUUUAAUUUCCAAAGGUAAAUCAUCGAAUUUGAUGAUCAAGACAAUUCAGUGUAUGGUUUUACUCUAAAUUACUGUUUUUUCAAAAAAAUUAUCAAAACCAAAGGUCCUAUAUAUAGCCUUUUAAUCUUGAUUUUUCGUUUCUAACAUGCGAAGGAUUUCACCUCAUUACCAAAUCUUGAAAUGUUUGUUUUGGAUGAUUUUUGGUAUAUGCAGUCUCGGAGUAUAUACAAACAAGUUUGAUAGUUGGAUCGUGGAAACUAGUUUUGUAGAUUGCUUAUGCCGUCAAAACAAUAGAUUCAACAAACAUUUAAAGUUUAUUUUGUACUCACAUUAAGUAGAACGUAAGCUUUUGAGGUAUCCAGUAGUGUAAAUAUUUCGAAGUUGAUGAUUGGGUUCAUUUUUUAUAUUCUUCUAGGAUUGAGGAAUGUAGUUUAAAAAAUACAUCAAAAUCGGAGCUAAAUGACCGUUAAAUUGUGAUUUCCAUUUCCAACCGUCGAUGAUUUCGUUUCAUUACCUAAUCUUCGAACGUUUACUUUUGAUGAAUUUUGGCGUCUCUAUGUCAGUCACAUCAGAACUUACUUUUUGGUUUAAAAAUAAAGUUGCUGUUUGAUAGGCACGUAUUUAUUACAAUUGUUACCCUGUUAUUUAUAUUUGUUAGUGCCUCAUUCAGACUAUUUUAAUUAAAUUACUUUAGUUUUUGUAAUUUAUAAGGAUUAAGAUGCUUAUUGAUAAAAGUGGAAUUUAACAAGUUUUUGACACAUCUUAUAUGUUUUAGUCUUCCUAAUUACAUUGGCUUCAUCCAUUUAAUUAAAUGUUAUUUUAUUCUUAGGUUGAAGACCAAUAGGCGGUGGAGAUAUCUUAGGAAAGAAUUUCAAAUUGACUGGAAUUCCUAUUUUUUGGAAGACUUGGGCGCAAAUAAAAGCAGACAGGGUAGCAGUGGCAGCGAGGAUUUGAUUUGGUUCUUCUUCUCUAGUUUUAUUUUAUGCAAAAUUUCCUUCUUAGAAUUACUAUGAAUUCUUCGUUCAUGGGGUUCUAAAUUCUUAGCUAAGGCUAAGAGGAAGCCCUAAUUAUGAUUAUUCUAGUUAUUUGAUUAUUCAAUUUGUGAAUUUCAUAUUGAUGAUUAGUUUUCAUUCAUUAGUUGACUUGCAAUUUUGAUAUUAGGUUCUUUGUGCUUGACCAUAGCUUAGGAUUUUGAUAUCCAAAUUAUUUGCAUAUGAAUUUAUUUAUGACCAUUAAUUGGAUACUAUCAAUGCUUUGUGAAUGAGAAUCAUGAACUUAUAUUUUGAUUCGACUGUAGACGAAUAUUGGUUUGUGUGGCUUCCUAGAAAUUAGCUAUUUGUUUGACGUGACCAAGUUGAUAAGUGGUUAAUUUGUUUCUCACCACACUUAAUUGGAUUUCUACAUGUUUGUGUAUACUGGACCAAGGAAAUGUAGACUAUAGAAAUAGUUGAGUUUAAGCCUGACGACGGUAAAAUUCACAUCUCUUUGGGAAAUUAUUGGCAUGUGUACCUGACCACGGUCAUAUGCACGGAAGUUGUUUUCAUUAAUUUGAUAAUUCAGGAGUUGACAAUUUGAUACUAGGGUAUGCCAAUUAGUGGUGGAAUCAAAGCCUUAGUGUUUUCUUACAUUUGUUCUCAAUCAUAUUUCUGUUUAAGCAUUGUUAAUUUUAAUUAUUCUUUGAUACAAAUCCAAUAUUUAUUUCAAUUUGUUAAGUAAUAGUUAUAGGAUUAAAUUGUUAAAUCAACUCCGGUAGAUUCAAUCUCGUAUUUACAUAUUUUCACUACAACUGAUUUGUGCACUUGCGAGUAAAUUUGAUUUGAAUUAAUCUAUUUAUUAGGUUAGUUUAAAUUCACAUCACUGUUUUUUCUUACCAUUUCAUAGUGAUUUGCACUUUUUGAAGAUGCUCUUAUAUGUACAGUAACGGAAGUUUAUUACUUUAUUUUUUUGUAAAUCAUUCGUCUAUUUUCAUGUCAUACCCGAUAUCUUAACGGGUCGUGUCGUGUAACACCCGUUAAAAUAAAUGGGUAAAAUGACCCGACCCGAAAUCGACCCAAUAAUAUUAACAGGUAAUAUGAACCAACCCGUUACCCAUUAAGGAAAAUAUAUUUUAAACCAAUAAAUAAUCAAAUAAAAAACAUAAUACUAAAUAAGUAUAUACAUACUAUAUUGUCGCAUCCAAAACAUAAAAACGCAUUUUUCUUUUAAGUAUAUUUUUGCUUACCGAAAUUGAUCAAAUGGUAAAAUUGGAAAAUAUUGGAAUAGAGAAGGGGUUUUUUCGUCCAAAAAAAUUAUAAUAAUAUAAGUGAAAUAGAAUCCAACGGUACAUAUUUACUCUCAUUUAUCUUACGAUGAAACGUGAUAUCAAAGAUCUGAACCGUUCAUCUUCUUACAUCAGCCAAAUAAUCAUGUUUUCAAAAAAGAAAAUUUUAAAAAUGAAAUUCAGUAAGAAGUAUAAAGCAUAAAUGAAAAUUAAUGGUUAAAUAUAAAUUUAAGGUUUAUGGAUUAUAAUGUUGGAUUUCGAAGCUGACCCCUUCAUGAAAGUUGUAAAGCUCAUCACUAUGAGUGAUUGUAUAUAUAUAUAUAUAUAUAUAUAUUACAUUUUUACACUUCUACCAUAAUUAUUAUUAAUUUUAUUAAUUUUUCCCUCAAAUAAAAAACAUUAUUCAUGAGGGUUUGGAGGAUUUUAAAAAUCUAAAUGAUAAUAUAAGUGUAACCAUUAUCUACUCGUGAAUGAAUAAUAAUGAAUCACGAGUGUUUAUAUAUUCUUUCAUAUUUUUCAUACUUGUAUGUAUGUCUUCUUAGUUCUUCUCAAUACAAAUACUAUACUAGUUUAUUUUAAUUUUGUACAACAUGUUAAGUAAAAUUUAUCCCAGUAAUGAUAAUGAUAAUAAGGAAUUCUCAUAAUAAAAAUAAAUAACAACUAAAACUUUUUUUUAACUUAUAUAGAAUAAUAAUACUAAACUAUAUAUUUAAUAUAGAAUAUAUUGUAUAUAUUAAUAUGACUAUUGUAUUUUAUAAUAAAUCUUUUUGUAAUUAAACUUUAAGAUUAUCAAAAUAAUUUUUUUCUUAAUGGGUCGAAAUGGGUUACCCACGUGUUACCCGCGUGUAUACCCGUUAUUAACAUGUCACCCAAUAAUGACCCGAUUAGUUAUCGUGUUGAUCUGAAACUUGUUAUUUUUGUGUUGUUUUCAUGUCGUGUCAGAAAUUGUCGGGUCUAACUCUGGGGAUUUGUUUCUCCCUUGAACUUGUCUUUUUUUUUUCUUUUUUUUUUUCAUUGAAUAUUUACUAGUGAUUAAUCCAAUUUUGUUAGUCAAAUUACAAGAUGUAAAUAUUUAUCUCUUUAAAUGCCAUCUGAAGAAGGUUUAAUUAAGUUCUCACCUACUCCAACAUUUGGAAAACUCAAAUUUUAGGUUCUAAAUUUAUCCCAAUUUGCUCCAACUCUUGGGGGGAAAAUAUGAGUUUUAACCCAAAACUCAUUUCUAAGCAAAAUUUAACCCAGGAUUCCUCCUGGGUUAGUGGAGCUAGCCCACCAUAUAUGUGUACUUGUUUUAGUUUUAUAUUUAUAAAUUCAUUAAAUCCAACGACUUAAAUCUAAUAUGAUAAAAUACAACGGUAAAAAAAUGAUCUACCAGUCUAAAUUUAAAUCCAAUGACUAAGUUAAUUAUAAAAAAAAAUUCGUUUUGAGCGUUUCAUAUCCUUCAUAGCGUUUCACGAGUUUCAUAGUGUCGGUUUAGUAAUUUUUCAAUAUUUAUUGGAAUCUAAAUAUUUUUUAAGUUAAAAUGUUCAUAGAAUUAAAUUAGGACAGUCUACAUCAUUUUUUUAAGUUACUUUAAGAAAAAAAAAAUUAUCCUAAAUUCAUUUUUUAAAAAUCGCAUACUAAAAAUUUAACCCAUAAGGGUUGGAGAAGAAAAGUUGUUUAUAGGUUAAAAAUUGAAAGUUUUAACCUAAAGGUUGGAGAUAGUCUUAAAAAUUAUCAUGUUAUUGUUGGACAUUUUAAGAGUCUCAUAAUAACUUGAGCUUUUAAUAUAUAUUAUAAGCCUUUAUAAUUCUUGUUCUAAAUGGAUGGUCACUCAGUCGUACAAGAAUUACAUGAUAAAACACAAUGAUGGAUGUGCAUUUUCCUGCAAUAUCUUCUAUGUGCGAUUAAAAUGAGCGGUUGUCGAUGUUCAUAAAGUAGUAUGGCUAUAGAUCUUUUAAUAAAGAAAAUUAACGAAAAGUUCAAAGAACUUUAGUUUUAAUGAAAAAGAACAAAUAAAUGUGUAAUGAAUAGUAUCAAAAAAGAUAAAAAUAUGAAUUUUCGUUAAAAAUAAACAGUACCGUAAGUGUUUCGUUAAAACUCAUUUUAAUAUUUGCAAGUCUUUAUAAUUCUUGGACUAAAUGAACUGUCAGUCAGUCGUGAAUGUUAAUUAAAAUCUUCCUGCAUAUACUUUGCUCGGUUCAAUUUUCUGGUUGUGUGAUUUCUAUUGUCUUGUCUGAUUGAGUGAGUCAGUCUCUUUCCUAGUCGAGUGGUUUCUUCCACAGCUAUGAUUCCUAUUUCUAAUUCUCCACGCUUUCUAUUGGCUUCACUGCGUCAAGUGUCAGGGAGCGGGUUUUGCUUCUCCACCUGUAUGGUGAGGGGCCGUGAAAAUCACGUUAGGUGAACUGCACCAAUAGAGAACUUUGAUCAAUGAGAUAUAAAUGUAGCUUUCACAUUUCACGUUCAUAUAUUUCCACUAGAGAUGCUCUAUCGAUUUCCUUGAACGCUUUUCAAACUAUUUUCUACCAGUUCUAGCCUUGUUAAAAGGAAUAAUUUAUAUUUCAAACUUGAAAAAUUUGUACAAGUUUAUAAAUGGAUUAACACACUAACAGUUUGGGUGUCCUUUUCCCUUCAAUUACUUUUCUUUAAUAAAUUAAUGACUAAAUGAGGGAUUUGAUUGUCAACUUGCAUAGUACAUCGAUGUGAAGUCUUUUGUUAUAUAAUUAUAGACUUAAUUAGAGAACGAAAGUGCAAUUAAGUGAGAAAUGUUUUGUGGUCUUUCACAAAGCACAUGGCUACAGAUGUGGAGUCUUUGAUUAAAAAUAUUUGUCACAUGACAGCAUUGGCAUUAGGCGUGGAGUCUUUUUUAACAAUUAAAAGUUUUGUAACCUGUAAAUGACUUGGUUUCAUAAGACCUACAUCUAGAUGACUUAGUUGUUAAGACUAAUGUAAGACUUUCUAUUGAUAUUUCUUGAGGGUACCUUUUGAGAAAUGUGCUGGGCCUCACUACAAUUUUUUUUUCACUUAUUAUUUAGGUUUCGGCUUAAAUAUUCUACUAUAAAUACAUUUGUGAAUUAAUAACUGGUAAAAGAACUUCCAAAUGUCUUGUUAAGAUUUUCUUAAUGUUACAGAAAAUAUUUUAUAAAAAUGAAACAUUUGCAUUUUCACAAAAAAAAAGUGGGUUAACUCUCACAGUUUUUUGUUGGUUUUUUUAAAUUUGUAUAAAAAAAACUUCCUUAAGUCCAUUUGUUUUCACAUUUGCCUUACAAUGAGGUACUUAAAAUUAAUCUAUAACUUUUCGUCGAUAUCCUUGAGUAUAGACCCUUGUGAAGGCAAAAAUUUGGGCCUCACUACAAAUUAUUUCAUUUAUAUUUUAGGUUUCAGCUUCAAUAUUCCCUUAAAACUAAAUUUGUGGCUCAAUAAUUGGUAAAACCACUUCCAAAUGUUUAUAAAUAUUCUCCUAAUACAAACGGACAAUAUUUUGUGAAGAUUAAAGAUUUGCAUUUCUCACAACAACGUGGUUGCUCACUGUUUUCGAUCAGUUUUCCAAAUUCAUACAAAAAUUAUCAUUAAAUCUAUUAGUUUUCACCUUUGCCUCACCGUGAUGUUUCUAAACUUAAUGUAAGACUUUUUUGUUGAUAUUCUUGAGUAUAGACCCCGUUUAGGCAAUGUUUGGCCUCACUACUAUUUUUUUACUUAUUUUUUGGGUUUCGAUUUAAAUGCUCUAUUAGAAAUACAUUUGUGGAUCAAUAAUUGGUAGAUAUCCACCCCUCUAGCAUCAUGUGUUUUUUGGUUGAGGCUUAAUUCGAAUAUGUUUUCAAUGAAUGGCGUGGUUAAGAGGUCGGUUUGCAAAUGACGUAAUCGGCAGCGCGUGAUUAGGUUGUUGCUGUUAGGUGGUUCGACAGGCUCGACCUUGAACAAUGUGCAAGCCCAAUUGUCUUUGGUUUCGUUUUGGUCAGCAGCUGCGGCCAGGACCAAUAGCUUGUUUUGGUCCACCCUUCUCAAGUAGUUGCCAAUGUAGGAGCAUUUGAUAUGCACAUAAUUCUUGUCGGCGUAGUCCUCAUUGUUUGGCUUCUCGGUGAUGAACUUUAUGAACCUGCUGUUUUCAUUAUCCUCGAAAAACUGGACAAUCUCAUUAAGGUCGCUUUCUGCAUCAAGUUGAUAGCGCAAAUACUUGUUUUUGGUAUUUGCUUUUAGCAGAAAAGGGCUUGGUAGUACAGGUGGAGCCAUAUCGUAGUGUAGUUGGGAUUGGGAUGCUCUCUCUUUUUUAUUCUCUGUUGAUGAUCUAAUUUGUUUGCUGUGAAUGUGAUGCUUAGUUCAAACCUGCUAUCCUAUGCGUAAGAAAUUAAGCACAAGCUAGCUCAAGUUAUGGUCUUUAAUUAAUAUUAAUGUCGACAAAUCAGUUUCCCAUCUCUUUCAUUGAUAUGAAUAAGGCUGAUCUCAUUGGUGUGACGCAAUAUUUAUUAAAUUAGCUGAUCGGGUUGAUUUCUUUGUAUAACUCUUCUGCCAAUUCUGCAACUUGUAGAUGUAAUUCCCAUUACAAAAAAAAAAAAAAAAAAAAAUCCGAAACUCAUAUAAGAUAAAUAAAGACUUUUUAUAUCAUAAAAUAAGACUUUCUAACUUGUACAUGACUAUAGAAUAGAAUUAUAUGGGAUAGAUUUCUGUAUUCCAUAAUUCUGAAUAAUAAGGUACAUACAAUGCUUGUUACAAAGGGAAACAAAUAAAGGACAUAAAACCUUUCCUAAACAAAAACUUAAUAAUUACAAAAUAUUUACAUUCAUUUUCUUCUAAAUAUUUACUUUUCCAAUACUCCCCCUCAAGUUGGAGCAUAAAUAUCACUCAUGCCCAACUUGACAAGCAAAUCACCAAACCUUCUACUACAUACAAUGUGGGUAAGAACAUCUGCAAGCAGUUCAUUUGAAUUCACAAAUGGUAUUGACACAAUCUUCUUCUCCAGCUUUUCUUUGAUAAAAUGUCUAUCAACUUCAACAUGCUUAGUCCUGUCAUGCUGUACCGGAUUCUCGGCUAUCUCUCUAGCGGACUUAUUAUCACAAUACAACUUCAUUGCCUUCUUUUGUUUGAAACCAAGACUCCAAAGUAACAUUCAUAACCAUAACAUCUCGCACACACCAUGUGCCAUUCCCCUAUAUUCGGCUUCAGCGGAAGAUCUUGAUACCACAUUUUGCUUCUUACUUCGCCACGUAACCAAAUUACGUCCAACGAAUGUAAAAUACCUAGAUGUAGAUCUUCUAUCAGUCACAUCACCUGCCCAAUCAGCGUCUGUAAAUCCCUCGAUCCUCAUAUGUCCAUGACAUUCAUACAAAAUUCCUUUAACCGGAGCAGACUUCAAGUAUGCCAAGAUUCUCAUUACUGCCUCCAUAUGAUCCAUACUUGGUGAAUGCAUAAAUUGACUGACCACACUUACCGCAUACUCAAUAUCUGGACGAGUGUGAGAUAGAUAAAUCAAUCUCCUCACCAGUCUUUGAUAUCUACCAUUAUCAACCGGUUCCUGAUCUGGAUAAAUCCCCAAAUAAUGUUUCUCUACGAUAGGAGUGUCCACAUGCUUACACCCCAACAUGCCUAUUUCCUUUAAUAAAUCCAGAACAUAUUUACGUUGAGACAAGAAAAUACCUCUAGAUGAUCAAGCGACUUCCAUGCCAAGAAAAUACUUUAAGUCUCCCAAACUCUUCAUCUCAAAUUUUGCAGCUAGGUUUUGUUCAAGCUUCACCAUCUCUUCCAAAUCAUCACCAGUUAUUAUCAUGUCAUCAACAUAAAUGAUUAAAGCAGUCACUUUACCACUUCCCCGUUUCACAAAUAAUGUAUGAUCCGAAUGGCUUUGAUAAUACCCAAUCCUCCUCAUAACCUGAGUAAAUCUACCAAACCACGCACGAGGUGAUUGCUUAAGUCCAUAGAGUGACUUUCGCAAUCUACACAGUCCGGUUUUCCCUUUGGCAUUGUACCCCGGAGGAAAAUCCAUAUAUACCUCUUCUUCCAAGUACCCAUGAAGAAAUACAUUUUUCACAUCAAACUGUUUUAGUGGCCAAUUUAAGUUUGCAGCUAAAGAAAUCAGAACACGUAUCGUAUUCAUCUUUGUUACUGGAGAAAAAGUUUCCUGAUAAUCAAUGCCAUAAGUUUGAGUAUAACCCUUUGCUACUAACCUUGCUUUAUAUCUGUCUACCGAUCCAUCCGCCUUGUAUUUAACUGUAAAGACCCAUCUACACCCAACUGGCUUCUUUCCUUUGGGUAGCUUCAUUAUCUCCCAUGUAUCAUUUUUAUGUAGUGCCAUCAUUUCCUCAUCCAUUGCAGCAGGCCAUUUAGGAUCCUUCAAUGCCUCCUCAACUCGGGUUGGUACUUGGAUUGCUUCCACAUUGUUAACCCAGGCUUGACGUUAUGAUGCAAGGUUCGAGCAUGACACCUAGUUAGCUAUUGGGUACUUCACUUUCCCUUCAGGAGAAAACCUGUCAGGAGGAACACCACGAUUUUUCCUUGGCGACAAUUGAUAUGUACUCAUAAUGUUAUCUUGAUUAGUUACAUGAGCAUUAGUAGUGCUUACCUCAGGAAUAUUCAGAGAAGACACAUAGGGUGGCACUAUCGAGCUCGAGAGAGAGGGGGUUGUGGGUUUGGUAGCUACUUGCUGUUGGAGCGGCGUACCUGGAUCAGCACUUUCCAGUUGAGCCCUUGCAUCACACUCGGUAAUUUCCUAGGAAACCCUUUCAUCACACUCGGCAGCACCCUUUCCCGCAUCACACUCGGCCUAUUGCCGAGAACCACUAUCCACAUUCUUGGCACUUCCUUGCUAAGAGUCUCCGUUACUAUCACCAAAUGGUCCCCCUAAGCUACUUAUUUCCAACCACCUGAGAUCAUCACUAGUAGUCUGCCCUGGUGAUCGGAAAGUGUUGAAACCGAAGCAUCAAAGAACUCGGAUUUAGAAAAAGUAACAUCCAUGGUCACAUACAUAUGGUGAGUUUCAGGAUGGUAGCACUUAUACCCUUUUUGUUGAGGAGCAAAUCCUAUAAAAACGCACCUAUGAGCACACGGAUCUAACUUACUCCGAUGAAUCUUGUGGAUAUGAACAUAAGCUACACACCCAAAUACACGAGGAGGAAGAUGAUUACUUGAUACGAUGGGUACAAAAUCGGUCAAUACUUGAAAAGGUGUUCUAAAGUCCACAACCCGAGAAGGCAUACGAUUAAAAACAUACACCGCAUAAGUGACGGCUUCAUGCCAGAGCCGUUUAGGUACAGAUGCACCAAUGAGCAAAGCACGGUUUCCAUUAUUCACACAAACCCUUCCAUGACUUCUCGGCUGCCUUGCUUGUAGUUUUCAGGAUAUGACGAUUCUUUCUCUCAGCAACCCCAUUUUGUUGUGGGGUACGAGAACAAGUAGUCUCAUGUAGGAUUCCUUGCUCCUAAAGAAAGCCAGACAACAUGGAACCAAUAUACUCUCCUCUAUUAUCAGAACGGAGAACUUUAAUAACAGAGAAUAUUGUAUUGCUACCAUUUGAGAAAAAAGACCGAAACACCAUACUCACAUCACUUUUAUUUUUUAUCACAUAAAUCCUCAUCAUACGAGUGCAAUCAUCAACAAAAGUAAUAAACCAUUUAACUUUAGACGUAGUACUAACGAGAGAGGGACCUCAAACAUCUAAAUGCACAAGAUCAAAAGGAAACAAUCUUUUAUUCAUACUAGGAGGAAACGAAGCGCGAUGACUCUUCGCGAGAAUACAUACUUCACAAUGCAAGUUUGAUUCUUUUAUUUCAUGAAAUAAACUAGGCAACAUACGCCUUAAAUAACCAAAGGAAGCAUGUCCCAACCGACAAUGCAAUAACCACACUUCUUGUAAAUUAUUAGUACGAGAUGCUCGAACCGUAUUGGCUCUGCCAGGAAUGACGUUAUCCACAUAAUAUAACCCCUCUCUUUUAAUGCCAUGCCCAAUUAUCUCCUUGGUCUGAAUAUCCUGAAGCAAACAAAACAUUGGAUACAUAAGUACAACAUAAUCUAAUUGCUCAGUAACUUGAGGAAUAGAUAACAAAUUAUGAGAUAACGAGGGAACAAGCAAGCAGUGAUGAAGAGGAAGGGCCGGCGUGAGGUGCACUGUGCCAGCCCCCAAAACCAGUGCUGUUAUUCCGUUGGCAGUUGCUAUAUAUUUCCGUGGACUUGUUGUCAUACUAGAAAAUAAAUUCUUAUCAAAAGUCAUAUGAUCAGUUGCAUCCGAGUCUAGAAUCCAAUCUGUAUGAUGUUCCAUAUCAGAGGCUAAAAGAACACGCCCCAUACUACCUGGAGUGGUCGAGGUUUCACUAAGAGUGGUCCUGGUCAACAAGCUUUGACUUGGAUCACUUGAGGAGGGCACGACAUCCUUGGUGGUAGUGGCAAUGGAUGCUCGGCUUCCACUUGCUCCAUUACUGGCUCGUUCCUUGGAACGUAAUUUCUUCUUCAAUUCGGGGAACCAUUUUGGUACUUCAUGUUUCUGAAAACAUGUAUCCUCUGUAUGACGAGUUUGACCACAAAAAGUGCACUUCAGAUCAUCUUUAUUUUCCCGAGUGAAUGACCGAGAAUUGGCCAUUGGAGAUGGGUUAAAAAACUGGCUACCCGAAGGUGGCCAUGAUACCAUAGCUAUAGGAGAAGCUCCUCAUUGGUUCUCCACACCACUACCUCCCAUCAUAGUUGCAUGGCGUUGUGCUUCUCGCCUAAUAAUGGAGAACACCUCAUCCACAUAUGGUAAAGGUUGAGUUCUUAAAAUAUCACUACACACUUUAUCAAAAAUAUCAUCAAGCCCUGCUAGGAAAACAUACACACGAUCCAGUUGAAUUUCUUCUAGGAGUGUAAUGCCUUCAAGUCAACAACACAUUCUAUCUUGAAUGGUCUCCUUUGAUCCAAGUCUUGCCAAACUGCUUUGGGAUCGGCAUAGUAUACCCCGAUAGGUCUCCCUUCCUGGCGAAGUUGGAAUGACUUCACCUUCAACUCAUAAAUAUGAGAAAUAUCAGACUCAUCAUAAUACGUUCGAGCAACCUUGUCCCAUACUUCUUUAGCUGUAUGAAGAUGAAUGACAAAGCCUAUGAUGGUAAGAUCCAUGAAGUUAAUCAACCACUCUUUCACAAUUGCGUUCCCCAUCUCCCAAGCUUCAUACUCAGUAUUAUUCUCCUUAGGCUCCUUGAAGCUCCCUGUCACGAACCCUUUCUUACCACGUCUAGCGACAUGCAUCUCCAAUACCUUGGACCAUAGAGGAUAGAUUGUCCCAUUCAGCUUUACAGUACUUGGUACAGCCAAAGCAUCACUCUGGAUAACAACCGGAUUCAGAGUUGAGCCGUGGGUAGAGCCAUAUGCCCCACCCUCCAACUUCAGUCCUGCCGCACCUUCUUCUCCUGCCAUUGAUCACGGGACACCACAAAAAAAACACGCACACACGCUAUAGCAGUACACGGCCCCCUGUACUGCACUUAGCUUUUCUGCAACAAGGAUGCAACAUAAAAACCCAAACACCUUUCCUUCUCACGACAUAAGCAGCAUGAUGGUGGGAUUAGGGAUUAGGGAUUAGGGUUACAGUUGGCUCUGAUACCAAAUAGAAUUAUACGAGAUAGAUUUAUGUAUUCCAUAAUUCUGAAUAAUAAGGUACAUACAAUCCUUGUUACAAAAGGAAACAAAUAAAGGACAUAAAACUUUUCCUAAACAAAAACUUAAUAAUUACAAAAUAUUUACAUUCCUUUUCUUCUAAAUAUUUAGUUUUCCAAUAUAUAGUUACAAGAUUGAACACAUUGAUGGGUGUGCAUUUUCCAUCAACAUCUAUUCUGUGCGUGUAAACUGAGCGUGGGAGUCUUUUUUAGCAAUUAAAAGUUUUGUAUCAUUUGAUUGACUUGGUUUGAUAAGACCUACAUCUAGAUGACUUGGUUCUGAAGACUAAUGUAAACCUUUAUGUUGAUAUUUCUUGAGUGUGAAACAUUGUUUGAGAAACGUUUUGGGCCUCAUUACAAUUUUUUUCAUUUAUUUUUUAAGUUUCGGUUUAAAUAUUCUACUAUAAAUAUAUUUGUGGAUUUAAUAACUGGUAAAACCACUUUCAAAUAUCUUUUUAAGUUUUUCUUAACGUCACGAAUUUUUUUUUUACCAAAAUGAAACAUUUGCAUUUUUUCACAAAAAAUGUGGUUUGUCAAUUUUGUAAAUUUGUAUAAAAAUCUUCAUUAAGUCCAUUUGUUUUCACAUUCACCUUACCAUGAGGCGCUUAAAUUAAUUCAUAACUUUCCAACGAUACUUGAGUAUAGACCAUUGUUAAGGCAAAGAGUUGGGCUUCACUACAUUUUUUUUUAAUUUAUUUUUUAGGUUUCGUGUCACAUCUUGGCCCGGGCCCCCACCACAUCACGGGCACGACUUCGCCGUAGCACGAUAUUGUCCGCUUUGGGCUCCGACCACGCCCUCACAGUUUUGUUUCUGGGAACUCACACGAGAACUUCCCAUGGGUCACAUAUCAUGGGAUUGCUCUCGUGCGAACUCGCUUAACUUCGGAAUUCCAAUGGAACCUGAAGCUAGUGAGCUCUCAAAAGGCCUCGUGCUAGGUAGAGAUGAGAAUAUACAUAUAAGGCUUAUAGGAUCCACUCCCCUGGGCUACAUGGGAUGUUACAUUUCGGCUUAAAUAUUCUAUUAAAACUAAAUUUGUGGCUCAAUAAUUGGUAAAACUCUUUCCAAAUGCUUUAUAAAUGUAUUGUCCUAAUGCUAAUGAAAAAUAUUUUGUGAAGACCAAGGAUUUGCAUUUCUCACAAAAAAAUAUGGUUGCUCACUGAUUUUCUUCAGUUUUGCAAAUUCGUACACAAACCAUCAUUAAAUCUAUUAUUUUUCAUCUUUGUCUCAGUGUGAUGUUUCUAAGAUUAAUGUAAGAGUUUUUGUUGAUAUUCUUGAGUAUAUACCCCGUUUAGGCAAUGUUGGACCUCACUACUGUUUUUUUUAUUCUUUUUUGGGUUUGGGUUAAAAUAUUCUAUUAGAAAUACAUUUGUGGCUCAAUAAUUCGUAGAAACACUUUUAGAUGCCCUAUAAAGAUUUUCUUAAUGCUCUUGAAAAAUAGAAAAUUUGCAUUUUUCACACAAAAAACGUGGGCUAACACUCACGAUUUUUAGGCGAUUUUGCAAAUGGAUUGUCUGUUAGUCGUACAAGAUUAUAAUUCUUACAUUAAAUGGGGUAAAAAUCUUAAGCCUUUUAUAAUUCUUGUUCUAAAUGGAUUGUCUGUUAGUCGUACAAGAUUAUAAUUACAUGAUAAACACACUGAUGGGUGUGUAAUUUCCUGCAAUAUCUCCAAAGUGCGAUUAAAAUGAACGAUUGUCGACUUUCAUAAAGUAGUAUGGCUAUAGGUCUUUUAAUAUUGCAAGCUUUUAUAACUCUUAUAAUAAAAAUUUGUACAAGUUUAUAAAUGGAUUAACAGACAAAUAGUUUGGGUAUAAAUGAAGACUAAAUGAGGGACUUGAUUCUCAACUUGCACACUACAUAGUUGUGAAGUCUUUUGGUAUAAUUAUAGACUUAAUGUCUCGUUCAUUAAGGUAUUGGUCUCUAAAAGAACUGGAUUUAGAGAACGAAAGUACAAUUAAAUGAGAAAUAUAUUAUUCUUUCACAAAGCACAUGACUUAAUGUAUGGCUUUACGUUAAUUUACCCAAACCAUGUAAGGCUUUACGUUAGUAUUCCUGAGUACAAGCCCCAAUUUAUGCAAUGUUUUGGGCCUUACUACAACAACAACACACAACAACAACCAAGCCUUAUGUCAUUAAGUGGGGUCUACUGUACACCACUAUGAUCGGGUUUAUCCCAAAUCUUUCAUUAGCUACAAAUACUUCAUAUCAUUUCCUAGUCUUUUUCCAAGUCUUCCUAACUUUUCCUCCACGCCUUUUGCCCUGAGCCUCUAUCUCAUCGUCGCCUAUUCUACCAUAGUAUUUGUAGAUAUUCAAUUCAUGUACCCAAACCAUCUUAACCAAUUUUCUUUCAUCUUAUCUUCAAUGGAGACCAUACUACUUUACCUGUCACGCCCUGAUUCCGACAUUCAUCCAGGAUUGACGCGUGACGUCACCCAUUACAUGUAUAUAUAACGUACCCUGCCUCUGAGAUAUGUACAAAGCACAACUCACGGUCCAACUGCGUAGUAAUUUUUCGUACACUUUAUGGAUGCAUCUAACCAUCUCGUUAGACUGCCUACGUACCUUAAACAGGGAUCAAGCCAUUCGUAGUUCGUCUUUCACUACACUCAAACAAUCAUCACGUAAUACCACGAUUCGGGUAUGCAACAUCUCAAGGAACAUUUGACGAAGCACAACAAUAUUCUCUAGUCAUCUUGCCAUUCACACACACAUAUGCUUCCAAACACCAUUCAAUAAUCACAACAAUCAAUAACACAUACAAUACAUCGAAAUGCAGGGUUAGAGUGACAUAAUUUGGCCGAAGCCUACAUCUCUGAAGCUGAAAUCAAAUCCAAGUAACAAACAAGUCAAAUGAUGUGAUGUCAGACCACUUAACGAACCCGCAAAGUCAAAGGAAUUCCAAACCUCUCAAUGGAAUUUGAGUGGAUACGAUCCCGGACCAUCACUUAAAUGGAAUCACAGAUUAGAAGGGAUUUCAGACCAUCACUUAAUGUAAUCCAAGUGGAUACGAUUCCAGACCAUCACUCAACAGAAUUGCAGAUUAGAAGGGAUUCCGAACCAUCACUCAAUGGAAUCCAAGUGGAAACGAUUCUAGACCAUCAGUCAAUGGAAUCACAGGUUAGAAGGGAUUCCGGGCCAUCACUCAAUGGAACCCCAGCGGAAACCCAGUUCCGGAUUACUCAACAGAACCGAGCGGAAGUCUAAGAAAUAUAGCAACGGCUUGAAGAAAUAAUACAAGAACCAAGUACUCAAUUUAGAAGGGUUGAACGAAACAAAAGUUAAAUAAGGAAACAAGAUGGGAAACAAAUUCGGUGUCGAUCUAACGGUCGGAUCUUCAAUUCAUAGAAUAAUCAAGUGGCGGCCGACUAGGCGGUCAACUAUGAAACUAUAUUAAAUAUCGGGAUUUCACUAAACAAAUGUCAUAUAUGGAAUCGGGGUAUCAAAAUUAGCCUAGGAUGGUCAGGUGGGGUCUUGACCCAUGAUCCGAUGCAUGUAGUGGCCUAUCGUGCCUGUCUCGCCAAAAAAUUCAACUAUUUCAAGAAAAUUACCAAAUUUUAUAGGCAUGUAGAUCUCAAUGAGGGGAGUAAUUUUCAUACCUGAGCUAAAGUCCAAUUCGGAUGGAAAGUGCUCGGAAUUUCCCUCGAUCCACCGAAACCCUAGAAUUUGGGUGUCCUCGAUUCAACCUCCAUAGUAGCUCUGACGCCUCCACCACUGCUUGUGAUUUGUUCCUAAGGUUGAGGGGAGUCUUAUGGUGGUGGUGGUUGACAAAGUUACCUUCAGAUUUGAUAGAUCGCCACGACGAACCUCGUCGCACCCACUGUGCGGGUUUCACAAUUUCAAGGCCAAAUUCCAUUUAUUUUGGGGUGGAAUAGUUAGAGGGGAGGCCAUGGAGUGUUCCCCCAGGAGGUUGUUUGAUGUGGUUCGCCGAAAAAAACUGAUGGAAAACGGUCAGAAAUGGCUACACAAACUGGGUCAGGUCACGAAGGAAAAUGGGUCAAAUGGGGGAUCCGAUUCCCUCAUUCUCUCCUCCCUCCUUUCCCCAUCUUGCUCUCCUCCCCCAAUGGUCACUCCACCCUCCUUUUCUCUACUGCAACAUCAACUUCCUCUCUCUUUCUCUUGCUGUCAUCUGGCAGCUUCUAAUUUUUUUUAUUUUUUUCAAAAACUUCUAACGUCCAUAAUGUCUCCUUUCUCGUCCCAAUUCACGAACGGCCUUUGCCUAUAAGCUCGUGGGGUCGAGCUCAAUUAGAAAACAUUAAGAGUGAUCUCCAAAGGUCUACGGAUUUUAAAUGAUUAUUUUCAAAAAUUCAAACUUUGUAAUUAAGUAAAUAAAAUAUAAAAUUAAUUUAAAUUUGCGAAAAUACUAUAAAUCUUGCAAAUACGAAAUACGUAAAUUACAAUAGUGAAAUCUAGGAAUGAAAUUUCACAUUACCUCGGAUGUCCUCGUUGUUAAUCCAAUCAUUUUGACACCCCGACCCCAAUAACACAAGUUAGGAGAUCGAGAUAUCCUGCCUGUCACUAAAUUGACCAUAUGGCCCCAUUGAGGGAUGACUUCACAAGCCAACUUAAUAACGAAACCAUAGUAAGAUAAUUACGAUGUGAGUGAAUUUGAAUCAAAACAUUCAUUGAUAAUAAAUCAAAAGUUGCUACAAAUUUUCCUAAUCAACCUCCCCACUUGGGAACAUAUAUUCAAGGUUUAGAUCCCAUUAUUAUCACAUCACAUCAGAGCAGCUAGGAGUUUCAUAUAACAGUAAACACAUAACAGUGUAGUGCUAUCCGUCAAGUGUGAGGUUUUAUCACAAAAGGCCUCGGUGUUAGAUAGAGUGAGGAUAUGAUAUUUAUACUCUUCUACACUUAGAGAUAUAGUUGAUGUGGGAUAUUUCAACACUUAUAUAUAUAUAUAUAUAUAUAUAUAUAUAUAUAUAUAUAUAUAGUAAAACCAACAUACAUAAUAAUACUACCAGAAUAAUGGUCACAAUCAAUUCAUCUCGCACAUCAUAUCAAAGAAAGUAAGUCAUUCAUAAAAUCAAAGUAAUAGAAUAUGAUUUUAUCAAUAUCGUAGAUGAUUCUUAUAAUCAUGUAUACGCAUGUUGGUGCGACUUUGAUUCCAAUGAUCUCUCUCUUUUAACAACUAACUAUAUUUAUUUCAUAAACGCUAUAAUUUGUAUAUAUAAAAAAAUGAUUUGAUCAUAUUAAUUCUGCAUAGUCCCCUCAAGUUGGAUAGUAAAUGUCAAAAAUAAGGCUUUUUAGUCAAAAUGGAGUCCUUGAGAUUUGCCUAACUCAUCACCUUGGUCUCUGAGAUUCAAAAUCAUAGAAGUGGUCCAUGAGAUAGUCCACCAUCAAUAAUUUUGGUCCUUCGGUGAAAAAUUGUGUUAAAUAAUAAUUAAAAUGACAAAAUUACCCUCAAUGUAAUAAACAAUAGGCCAACAUGAUGUAACAAAAAUUGAGGGUAUUUUUUUUUUUCAUUUUAUCCUUAUUUUAUGGAGAUUUUUCACGGAAUUCCAAAAAUGAUUGAUUGUGGACAAACUCAAGGACCAAUUCCAUCGAUUUCAAAUCUUAGGGACCAAAGUGAGGAGUUAUGCAAAUAUCAAGAACUAUUUUAACUAAAAAAAUUAUUAUUUCUAAUUUCCUAAAGCCCUUCGGAAGAUAUCUGCCAAUUGUACCCGAGAAGAUAUGCAGGAAGGAGGAAUUUAUAAAGACAUGGGAUACCUGCUCUUCGCUGCAAAAAAUGACACUUAAGGGCCAAUUUUCUCGAGUUUUUCACCACCGUUUUUACCGUUUGCUGCAAAAAAGAAAUACUCUCCCCUUGCGAGCUCCGUCGUCAAUUCCCCACGUGAACUUUGAGUCCCUCUGAAAAAAUGAUUAACUGAAAUUUGAAUUUUUCAAACAUUGUGUUUGGUUAUAUCUAACGAUCCCUAAUUCCAAAUUUAUGGUUUAGAUAUAUAAAAAAGAUAUCUUGGGUACUUCGUCGCUAUCCAUUAAGCUCCCCAAUUUCAAGCAAAGCAAAAAAAUCUAAUUGAGUUGAGUUUUGAACAUGCAGAUUAGUUAGACAGUUGAAUUACCAAUCUUUAUUAUUAUUGCAACAAACACACGGAUUACACUAAAAGCUAGUUAAUCAUACACUUGUAGAUGACUUAUCCAAACACAAAGAUAAGACAUGAAUUUAUUAUUAUUGCUAUAAACACACGGAUUACAGCGAAAUUCAAAAACUAAAAACAAGGAAAAAAGUAGUGAUGAAAACCAAUGCCACUUUCACGGGGAACACGAUUGCAUUCGCACAUGCAAAAAGCCUUUUAAACCCAUAGGUGACCCAAAUGGGACAAGUGAAGUCUCGUAAGGGUUUCAGAGAUGUUACCCACAAACAUCAUGCAUACUGAUCAUCAACAUCUGACUUGGGAGAUUGAGUAGAUAUCCACCCAUCCAGCAUCAGGUGUUUUUUGGUUGAGGUGUAAUUCGAAUCUGUUUUCAAUGAACGGCCUGGUUAAAAGGUCGCUUUGCAAGUGACGUAAUCGGCAGCGCGUGAUUAGGUUGUUGCUGUCAGGUGGUCCGAUUGGCUCGACCUUGAACAAUGUGCAAGCCCAAUUGUCUUUGGUUUUGUUUCGGUCAGCAGCUGCGGCCAGGGCCAAUAGUCUGUUUUGGUCCACCCUUCUCAAGCAGUUGCCGUUGUAGGAGCAUUUGAUAUGCAUGUAAUUCUUGUCGGCGUAGUCCUCAGUGUUUGGCUUCUCGGUGGUGAAUUUUAUGAACCUGCUGUUUUCAUUGUCCUCAGAAAACUAGACAAUCUCAUGAAGGUCACUUUCUGCAUCAAGUUGAUAGCGCAAAUACUUGUUGUUGAUAUCUGCUUUCAGCAGAAAAGGGCUUGGUAGUACAGGUGAAGCCAUAUCGUAUAGUGUAGUUGGGAUUGGGAUGGUCUCUCUUUUUUGUUCUCUGUUAAUGAUCUAAUUUGCUUGCUGUGAAUGUGAUGCUUAGUUCAAACCUGCUAUCCUAUUUAUAAGAAAUUAAGAACAAGCUAUCUCUAGUUAUGGUCGUUAAUUAAUAUUGAUUCCGACAAAUCAGUUUCCUAUCUCUUUCAGUGAUAUGAACAUGGCUGAUUUCAUUGGUAUGGCGCAAUAUUAUUUGUUAAAUUUUCUGUUCGGGUUGAUUUCUUUGUGUAACUCUUCUGCCAAUUCUGCAACUUGUAGACGUAUUUCCCAUUACAAAAUAAAAAAAAAAAAAAAUCCAAAACUCAUGUAAGAUAAAUAAAGACUUUUUAUAUCAUAAAAUAAGACUUUCUAACUUGUUUACAAGACUAGUGACAAGAUCAAACACAUUGAUGGGUGAGCAUUUUCCAUCAACAUUUGUUCUAUGCGUUUAAACUGAGCGUGGAGUCUUUUUUAGCAAUUAAAAGUUUUGUAUCAUGUAAUUGACUUGGUUUGAUAAGACCUACAUCUAGAUGACUUGGUUCUGAAGACUAAUGUAAAAAUUUAUGUUGAUAUGUCUUGAGGGUGAAACAUCAUUUGAGAAAUGUUUUGGGCUUCAUUACAAUUUGUUUCUUUUAUUUUUUAAGUUUCGGCUUAAAUAUUCUACAAAAUACAUUUGUGGAUUUAAUAACAGGUAAAACCACUUUUAAAUAUCUUGUGAAGUUUUUCUUAACGUCGCGGAAUUUUUUUUACGAAAAUGAAACAUUUGCAUUUGUCACAAAAAAUGUGGUUUGUCAGUUUUGUAAAUUUGUAUAAAAAUCUUCAUUAAGUCAAUUUGUUUUCACAUUCACCUUACCAUGAGGCACUUAAAAUUAAUUUAUAACUUUCCAUCGAUACUUGAGUAUAGACCCUUGUUAAGGCAAAGAAUUGGACUUCACUACAAUUUUUUAAUUUUUUAAUUUUUUAGGUUUUGGCUGAAAUAUUCUAUUAAAACUAAAUUUGUGGCUCAAUAAUUGGUCAAACUCCUUCCAAAUGCUUUAUAAAUAAAUUGACCUAAUGUUAACGAAAAAUAUUUUGUGAAGAUUAAGGAUUUGGAUUUCUCACAAAAUUUGUGGUUGCUCACUAUUUUUCCUUAGUUUUGCAAAUUUGUACACAAAUCAUCAUUAAAUCUAUUAGUUUUCAUCUUUGCCUCAGUGUGAUGUUUCUAAAAUUAAUGCAAGAGUUUAUGUUCAUAGUCUUGAGUAUAUACCCCGUUUAGGCAAUGUUGGACCUCACCACUGUUUUUCUUUAUAUUAUUUUUUGGGUUUGGGUUAAAGUAUUCUUAAUGCUCUUGAAAAAUAGAAAAUUCGUAUUUUUCACACACAAAAACAUGGGCUAACACUAACGAUUUUUAGGUGAUUUUGCAAAUUUUUACAAAAAUAUUAUCAAAUCUUAAGCCUUUAUAAUUCUUGUUCUAAAUGGACUGUCUAUCAAUCGUACAAGAUUAUAAUCACAUGAUAAACACACUGAUGGGUGUGUAAUUUCCUGCGAUAUCUUCAAAGUGCGAUUAAAAUGAGCGAUUGUCGACUUUCAUAAAGUAGUACGGGUAUCGGUCUUUUAAUAUUGCAAGCUUUUAUAACUCUUGUACUAACAAUUUGUACAAGUUUAUAAAUGGAUUAACAGACUAACAGUUUGGGUAUAAAUGAAGACUAAAUGAGGGACUUGAUUCUCAACUUGCACAGUACAUACGUGUGAAGUCUUUUGGUAUAAUUAUAGACUUAAUGUCUAGUUCAUUAAGUUAUUGGUCUCCAAAAGAACUGGAUUUAGAGAACGAAAGUGCAAUCAAAUGAGAAAUAUAUUAGUCUUUCACAAAGCACAUGGCUGCAGAUGUGGAGUCGUCUUUUAUUUAUUUAUUUAUUUGAACAAACGAUUGUAUCUACACUAAGGGGUAGAAGAGUGGGCUAAACCUUAGAAUGGGCUUACAAUAAUAAUGUGGUUCAACUUCACCUUUGACGAUAAUUGAAUCUAAAACCUUUCACUUACAAAUGAGGAGGUAUACCACCAGACCGUAGUACUAAGUAACAUGAUAGCAUACGGCUAUAGGCGUGGAGCCUUUGUUAGCAAUUAAAAGUUUUGUAACAAGUAAUUGACUUGGUGUCAUAAGGCCUACAUCUAGAUGACUCGGUUUUUAAAACUAAUGUAAGAGUUUCUAUUGAUAUUUCUUGAGGGUGAAACACCGUUUGAGAAACGUUUUGGGCCUCAUUAUAAUUUUUUUUUUUCACUUAUUUUUUAGGUUUCGGCUUAAAUAUUCUACUAUAAAUACAUAUGUGGCUCAACUAUUGGUAAAACCACUUACAAAUGUCUUGUAAAGAUUUUCUUAAUGUCACGAUAAAUAUUUGACGAGAGUUAACACUCAUUGUAUUUUGUUGGUUUUGCAAAUUCUUAUGAAAAUCAUCAUUUAGUCCAUUUGUUGUCACAUUCGCCUUACUGUGAGGUACUUAAAAUUAAUGAAUAACUUUCCCACGUUCAGGCAAGGAUUUGGGCCUCACUACAAAUAUUUUUUUCAUUUAUAAUUUUUAGGUUUCAAGUUAAAUAUACCAUUAAAACUAAAUCUGUGGCUCAAUAAAUUGUAGAAACUUUUCCAAAUGCAUUACAAAUAUAAACCUUUCCAAAUGCAUUACAAAUAUUCUCUUAAUGCUAACGCAAAAUAUUUUGGGAAGAUAAAAGAUCUGCAUUUCUCACAAAAACAUGGUUGCUCAUUGUUUAGUCGGUUUUGCAAAUUCAUAUAAAAAUCUUCAUUAAAUCUAUUAGUUUUCACCUUUGCCUCACAAUGAUGUUUCUAAAAUUAAUAUAAGACUUUUUUUAUGAUAUUCUUGAAUAUAGACCCCGUUUAGGCAAUGUUCGGCCUUACUGCUAUUUUUUUACUUAUUUUUUGGGUCAUGGUUUAAAUAUUCUAUUAGAAAUACAUUUGUGACUCAAAAAUUAGUAGAACCACUUUCAGAUGCCCUAUAAAGAUUUUCUUAAUGCUCACAAAAAAAUAGAAAAUUUACAAACACAAAAAAUGUUGGUCAUGAUUUUAGGCGAUUUUGCAAAUUAGUACAAGAAUCAUUAUUAAAUAUAUUUUUUUCAACCUUAUCCUCACCAGGAUGGUUUUAAAAUUAGUGUAAUAAUUUCGGUUAAUAUUUCUUGAGAUGUAACCCCAUUUUAGCAAUGUUUUAUGCCCAACUAAUAUGUUUUCGGUUAAUUUUAGGUUUCAACUUAAAUAAUCUAUUAGAAAUGCAUUUGUGGCUCUAUAAUUGGUAGAACAACUUUCAAAUGUCUUAUAAAUAUUUAAUUAAUGUUCAGUGAAAUAUUUUGUGAAAAUAUAAAAUUGCAUUUUAGACAAAAAAAAAAGUCACGAUUUUUAUACGAUUUUGAAAAUUUGAACAUCGAUAUUUUUACAUUAAGAGGAGGGGGAGUUUGGCUAAGCCACACAAAUGGCAACCUAAUUUGGUAUCAAAUUCGCCAUUCACGAGAUUCGAACCUAAGACCUCCCACUUCCAUGUGGAGAGGAAUACCACCAGAUCGUAGUACUGAGUGGCAAAAAAUCAUCAAUAAAUCCACUUGUUUUCACCUUCACCUUUCCAUGAUGUUUUAAAACUAAUGUAAGGCUUUACGUUAAUAUUCUUGAGUACAAGCCCCAAUUUAUGCAAUGUUUUGGGCCUUACUACAACAGCAACACACAACAACAACCAAGCCUUAUGCCAUUAAGUGGGGUAUACUGUACACCACUAUGAUCGGGCUUGCACCAAAUCUUUCGCUAGCAAGAAAUACUUCAUAUCAUUUCCUAGUCUUUUUCCAAGUCUUCCUAACUUUUCCUCCACCCCUUUUGCCUUGAGCCUUUAUCUAAUAGUCGCCUAUUCUACCAUAGCAUUUGUAGAUAUUCGGUUCAUGUACCCAAACCAUCUCAACCAAUUUUUUUUCAUCUUAUCUUCAAUGGAGACCCCUCCUACUUUACCUAUCACGCUGCGAUCCUGACAUUCGUCCAAGAUCGACGUGUGACGUCACCCAUUACAUGUAUUUAUAACAUAACCCGCCUCUGAGAUAUGUACAAAGCACAACUCACAGUCCAACUGCGUGGUAAUUUUUCAUAUACUUUAUGGCUACAUCUAAUCUCCUCGUUAGACUGCCUACGUACCUUAAACAGGGAUCAAGCCAUUCAUAGUUCAUCUUUCACUACUCUCAAACAAUCAUCAUGUAAAUCACUAUGUCUUAACAUAAUACCACGAUUCAUGUAUGCAACAUCUCAAGGAACAUUCGACAAAGCACAAUAAUAUUCUCUAGUCAUCUUGCCAUUCACACACACAUAUGCUUCCGAACACCAUUCAAUAAUCACAGCAAUCAAUAACACAUACAAUACAUCGAAAUGCAAGGUUAGAGCCACAUAGUUUGGCCGAAGCCUACAUCUCUGAAGCUGAAAUCAAAUCCAAGUAACAAACAAGUCAAAUGAUGCAAUUUCGGACCACACAACGAAAUCCAUCAACAUUGGGUUCCGAACCACUCUACGAAAUCACAAAGUAGAAGGGAUUCUGAACCUCUCAACGAAAUCAAAGUGGAUACGAUCCCGGACCAUCAUUUAACGGAAUCGUGGAUUAGAAGGGAUUUUAGACCAUCACUUAACGGAAUUCAAGUAGAUACGAUUCCGAACCAUCAUACAUUGGAAUUGCGGAUUAGAAGGGAUUCCGAACCAUCACUCAACGGAAUCCAAGUGGAUACGAUUCUAGACCAUCACUCAAAGGAAUCGCAGGUUAGAAGAGAUUCCGGACCAUCACUCAAUGGAACCCCAGCGGAAACCCAGUUCCGGAUUACUCAAUGGAACCGAGCGGAAGUCUAAUGAAUAUAGCAAUGGCUUGAAGAAACAAUACAAGAACCAAGUACUCAAUUUGGAACGGCUGAACAAAACAAAAGUGAAAUAAGGAAACAAGAUGGGAAACAAGUUCGGUGUCGAUCCAACGGUCGGAUCAUUAAUUCAUAUAAUAACCAAGUGGCGGCCGACUAGGCGGUCAACUAUGAAACUAUAUUAAAAUAUCGAGAUUUCACUAAACGGAUGUCAUAUACGGAAUCAAGGUAUCAAAAUUAGCCUAGGAUGGUCAGGUGGGGUCUCGGCCCAUAAGCCGACGCACGAGUUGGCCAGCCGCGCCCGACCCGCCGAAAAAUUCAACUAUUUCAAAAAAAAAAUAACCAAAUAUUAUAGGCAUGUAGAUCUCAAUGAGGGGAGUAAUUUUCAUAACUGAGCUGAAGUCCAAUUCGGAUGGAAAGUGCUCAGAAUUUCCCUCGAUCCACCGAAACACACGAAUUUGGGUGUCCUCGAUUCAACCUCCAUAGUAGCUUCGAUCCCUCCUCCACUGCUUAGGAUUUGUUCCUAAGGUUGUGGGGAGCCUUAUGGUGGUGGUGGUUGAUGAAGUUACCUUUGGAUUUGAUAGAUCGCCACCACAAACCUUGUCACACCCAUCGUGCGGGUUUCACAAUUUUAAGGCCAAAUUCCAUUUAUUUUGGGGUGGAAUGGGUAGAGGGGAGGCCAUGGAGUGUUUCCCUAGGAAGUUGUUUGACGUGGUUCAUCCAAAAAACCGACGAAAAACCGUUACCCGAACUGGGUUGGGUCACGCAGGAAAAUGGGUCAAAGAGGGGAUCUGAUUCUCCCAUUCUCUCCUCCCUCCUUUCCUUUUCUUGCUUUCUUCCCCCGUUGGUCACUCCCCCUCCUUUUCUCUCCUGCAACCUCAACUUCCUCUCUCUCUUACUGUCAUCUGGUAGCUUCUAAUUUUUUUAUUUUUUUUCAGAAACUUCUAACGUCUAUAACGUCUCAUUUCUCAUCCUGAUUCAUGAAUGGCCUUCGCCUAUGCGCUCGUGGGGUUGAGCUCAAUUAGAAAACAUUAAGCCUGACCUCCAAAGGUCUAUGGAUUUUAAAUGAUUAUUUUGAAAAUUUCAAACUUUGUAAUUAAGUAAUUAAAAUAUAAAAUUAAUUUAAAUUCACGAAAAUACUAUAAGAUGCUGCGAAUACGAAAUACGUAAAUUACAAUAGUGAAAUUCAGGAACGGAAUUUCAUAUUACCUCGGAUGUCCUCGUUGUUAAUCAAUCAUUUUGACACCCUGACCCCAAUAACACAAGUUACGAGGUCGAGAUAUCCUGGAUGUCACUAAAUUGACCAUAUGGCCCCAUUGAGGGAUGACUUCAUAAGCUAACUUAAUAACGAAGCCAUAGUAAGAUGAUUGCGAUAUGAGUGAAUUUGAAUCAAAACAUUCAUUAAUAAUAAAUCAAAAGUUUCUACAAAUUUUCCUAAUCAACCUCCCUACUUGGAACAUAUAUUCAGGGUUUAGAUCCCAUUAUUAUCACAUCACAUCAGAGCUAUCACGCCCCAAUCCCGACAUACGUCCAAGAUCGAUACGUGACGUCCCUCAACAUACCCCGCCUUUUGGAUAUGUACAAAAUAUAAUUCAAGAUCCAGAUGCAUAAUAAUUUUGCGUAUACUUUAUGGCUGCAUCUAACAUAUUCGUUAGACUGCCUACGUACCCUCAAUAAGGAUCAAGCCAUUCGUAGUUCCACAAUUGUCAACUCUAAUCUUUCCAACUUCUAACAGAAAAUCAUAAGGCACCAUAUUACACAUCAACCUUACGUCAACAACGAUUAUCAUCUUUCAUACACGCAUGUAAUGUAACCCAUUCUCACACAGAUACUUUCCAAUUCAUCCAUCAUAUAGAUCACUCUGUUUCACAUAAUACCGCAAAUCAUAGUAUGUAACAUAUCAAAGAACCAACAAAGCACAAUGUUAUUCUCAAGUCACAUUAAUCAAUUACUCUAAUCAUAUUAAUCUCAAUCAUACCCAACGUCAUUCCACAAUCAUAUCAAUUAAUUAAUCAUGAAUCAAAGAUACAUGGUCUUAGCAUUUAAUUGUUUAAUCAAUGAAUGCAGUAACAUAUCAUUUCACACAUUUAACCAAGGAACUCUAUCAACUCUGAAGGAUUCACCCAGACAUCUAACGGUUCGUCUGGAAAAAAUCACAACAGCUCAUAAUCAUAAUCUCAUAUAACACCAUGAAAGGUAGGGCUAGAGCAACACAGUUCGACCGAAGCCUACAUCUCUGAAGCUAUCUCGAUCCAAACUCAAUAAAACCCAAGGUGAACACGAUCCCGGACCAUCUCUUAACGGAAUCACGAAGUAUGAGGGAUUCCGAACCAGCUCUUAACGGAAUCCAAGUGGAUACGAUUCCGGACUAUCACUCAACGGAAUCGUGGAGCAUACUGCAUAACCACCACUAAGUGAAACCCAAGUCAGAUAUGAUUUCGAAACAUCACUCAACGGAAUCACGGAGUAGAAGGGAUUCCGAACCAUCACUCAACGGAAUCGCGGAGUAGAAGGGAUUCUAGACCAUCACUUAACGGAAUCCAAACCAGGAUACAAUUCUGGAUCAUCACUCAACGGAAUCGCAGAGUAGAAUGUGUAACAUCAAUAAAUAAAACAAGACAAGGAUCAAGUUACUCAAGGUACAAAGACUCAACGAAACGAGGAUGAAUAAUGACACGAGGGUUGAAACAUGUUUCGAAGGCAACCAACCCCAUAACAAUGGUUAAUGGUCCACUACUAGCCCUCCCAUUUCAUCACCUCAAUCCAAUCAUACAAUACAAACCAUAUUUCCAAUGCACAAGUCAAAUCAUACUUAAUGAAAAUAGAUCAAUGACCAAAAAUAAAAUAACACUUCAAUAGAAUUCACAUUUAAUUAACAUGGGUCUAUGGCAUAUAUACAUAUACAUAUAUAUAUAUAUAUAUAUAUAUAUAUAUAUAUAUAUAUAUAUAUAUAUAUAUAUAAUUCACAUUUCAAUAUGAAAUUCAAAUCACUUUCACAAAUAAUACCCAUCCAUGAAUCAAAUCACAUUUAAUAAAAAUAGAUUGAUGGCCAAUUAUAAAAGAAUCACAUUUUAAUAGAAAACACAUUUAUAAAACCAUGUCAUAUCCACAAAUGAUAUUAAUACUUGUGGAUGCAAAUUUCUUCCCCCUUGAUCUUGGACAAAAUUGCACCUACAAAUUAAAUAACACCUUUGGUUAUGGCCACAAGCCUCACGCGCCCACGAUGAAUGGGGGGGCUUUGGCCGAAGAACCUCCGAUGCCAAAGUUAGAAUUUAGAGAGAAAUAGUGUUUAGAGAAUUUUGGGAUUUUUGCAAGAGUAUUGGAAUGGGUUUUUGGUGGAAAUGGGAGCAUAUAUAUAGGGAUAGGAGGUGGCUUAAUUUAGCAAUUAAUAUAUUAAUUAAGAAUAAUAUAUUAAUUAGUUAAUUAUCAAUAUAAAGGGAAUGUUUUUUUGACUUUCAUGGCAUGAUCAGCUAAUCAAUCAAAUAAUGGUUGAAAAGAUUAGCUAACCAAUGUAAAAAAGGCAAAUUGUGGUAGGAAAUCAAAGGGAAUGGCCGGCCCCCAUUUUGGAGAAGGACCAACGGCUUUUAGGUUGAUUUUUGGCUUUUAAUUGAUAAUUUAAUUGAAAAUUAAUGAGUUUAUUAGGUAAUAAUCCCAUUAAUUUGUCAAUUAACUCAAUUUAUGUGGAAUAUUUGGUAGGUUAUAGAAUGGUUAUUUAAUUAUUUGGCUAGGAGGGAAAGUGAGGUAAAAAUAUAUGAAAUGAGAUAGGUUUUGAAUUGUUACCUAUUUUGGGCAUUUCUGACUUGGUUAAAGAUGUUUAUUCGCUACUCUCGCGUAGGAAUCCCAAUGUGCCUCAAGGGUAUUCUUGUCCUUUUUUAUCCAAAGAUCCACGUGUCGCCUUGUGAUUAUUUUUCGCUCCACAAAUGCCCCCACACCUGUUGGGCUGCUCGUAGGAAAGGGCAGCAGGUGUAGAGAUCUUCUUGCAUCAGGAAACGUAGGAUUGCUUCCUAUUUUGAUGUUGAUUCUCUCUUUAAUUGGAAAUUAGGUCCUUCUAGGAAAAGGAAAUAAAUUUCUCUCAAAGCCUAUUUAAGUCCACCUUAAGUGGGUUAUUAAAUCAACUUUGGAGAGCGAUUUAUUCUACCCUACAAGAGAGAGAUAGCUUAGAGGAUAUUUGUUCCCCCUCCUCUAGCAAUCUUCUACAUCUUGCCCGUGAAAAUGACCGUCUUUCGUUGCUUUCUUCGUCUUCUUCGUGCUGCACCAAUGUAAGAAAAAUUUAAUUUUUCUUGCCUUAUUCUUGGAUAGUGCUAUUGCAGGGUAGCCGUCGGGGUGGUGUGGCACGUUGGCUGGCAGGGGCCAGGAGCUGGCUCGGCAUGGGUUGAGGAGAUGUCGUGGCAGGGACCACUGCUUGGGUAGAUUGGCUUGGCUUGAGCCAGGGGCAGCUUGUGCCGCUGGGGUCGAGGAUUGUGGCGCUGGGGCGCAGUGCUAGGCGAGCCGCAUGACUCAUGUCUUUUGGGCUCUUGGACCUGACUCGGGCCAGGCUGGCGAUUGAGAGAAAUAAGGAGAUUGUGGGUCUCAUGGGCUGCUGGAAUGUUGGGCAUGCAGGCCUCCUGCCUACUGGAAUGCUGGGUUGAGCUCCCCUGCUGAGUACCAUGAAUGUCGUUGGCUGCUUAGUCCUCUUUGCUGAAAGAAAGGUGGGCUGUUCCAGAAAGAGGAGGUAAAGAGGAUCAAGGCGGAUGCAUUGGCUCGUCUGAUCGCUGUCGUGAAGCUUACUAUGAAUGAAGAUGGAAAGAAGAGAUCUUCCCCGCCUGCUCAUGAGAUGCCAGUUAAGAAAAAACUAAAGACUUCUUCUGCUGCUCAUGAGGGUCCGCUUGCUACCGAGAGGUAUGUGAUUGACAUGACUUCUUCCAAUGGGAAGAAAAAUAAAGCUGCUAGAUUUGAGCAUGUGGCGUCUUCCAUGUUGAGAAUGGCUAGUACAAUUGUGGAUAAGAUUGCUCAGCGUAAAGGUUUUAUCAUGCCCCCAGUGCCGAAAUCUGUACCAGGAUGUUCUUUGGGAGCCAAGUCCGGUUCAUCUUUGUAGAGACUUGCUAUUAUGAAGAGUGGUAAGGUGGACUCUGCUGCUAAAGUGGCGCCAAAGCCUGCUCCCUUUGCUGCUGAGAUUGAUUCGCCUCAGAUUCAAGAUCUUAAGCUUGCAAUUUCUGAGCUUCGUUUUGCUGCUUAUGCUAAGAAGGGAGUGGAUGAGCUUCUCUAUUUCUCCAGAAGACUUGCUUGCUUUUAUUUUUAAGGCUUCCAUUGGUGAAGUAGUUGGAAAAGUUAGUGCCCAGACUGGGGCAGCCGGGGGUGAAGCGCCGGAUGAUGCCGCUGCUAAGAGCGUUACGACUGUUGAAGGUGUGGUGACCGAGUAGUCGUGGGAUGUCCAAGCUGCUAUAGUGUAGUAUUUUAGGUAGCCUUUAGGAUUUUCUUUGUUUUUCCUUGUAGCUCUUGUUUUGCUUGAACUCCUUCGGCCUUUGCUAGUUGUUUAUAAACAUGUUUUCCUUCGUUUUUCUUCAUCUUCACUUCUUUUGUUCAUGCCUUAACCUUUAGACUUGAUAGACCAGUGGCAGGCAUGCUACUUUUUUAUAAGCAGACAAGCUCGCGUAGCCUAUGCAGCCGUAGGUGUUGGUGUAGAACUUUGCAAAGUUGUUAGCCAUAGGGUUGGCAGCCGGAUGCCUUACUUACAGAAGCAGACAAGUCCGCGUAACCACUAGGUUGUUAACCUUGACUUUCUUCAAUUCCGUAGGUUGCGUAGCAAGUAUCAUAACACUUUAGGACUUGGUGUAGGUUGUUCCGCGCUUGGCAGAGGUGAAGCUUAUCGACUACGUAGCAUGUCGUCAGUGGAUAAAACUUCGUAUAUGCGCGCUAGCUUGUUUAACCUUUCACAAGAAUGUGCGGUUGCAUAAGUCUAGCGCGGCUUUACUGCUCGAAGGGCAAGCCGUAGGCAGUCUUCCGGGUUAAAGUAUUCAUUAGAAAUACAUUUGUGGCUCAAUAAUUGGUAGACCAUUUUCAGAUGCCCUAUAAAGAUUUUCUUAAUGCUCUUGAAAAAUAGAAAAUUUGCAUUUUUCACACAAAAAAAUGUGGGCUAACACUCACGAUUUUUAGGUGAUUUUGCAAAUUCGUACAAAAAUAUUAUCAAAUCUUAAGCCCUUAUAAUUCUUGUUCUAAAUGGACUGUCUGUCAAUCGUACAAGAUUAUAAUCACAUGAUAAACACACUGAUGGGUGUGUAAUUUCCUGCAAUAUCUUCAAAGUGCGAUUAAAAUGAGCGAAUGUCGACUUUCAUAAAGUAGUAUGGGUAUAGGUCUUUUAAUAUUGCAAGCUUUUAUAACUCUUGUACUAACAAUUUGUACAUGUUUAUAAAUAGAUUAACAGACUAACAGUUUGGAUAUAAAUGAAGACUAAAUGAGGGACUUAAUUCUCAACUUGCACAGUACAUACGUAUGAAGUCUUUCGGUAUAAUUAUAGACUUAAUGUCUAGUUCAUUAAGGUAUUGGUCUCUAAAAGAACUGGAUUUAGAGAACGAAAGUGCAAUCAAAUGAGAAAUAUACUAGUCUUUCACAAAGCACACGGCUGCAGAUGUGGAGUCGUCUUUUAUUUAUUUAUUUAUUUGAACAAACGAUUGUAUCUACAUUAUUGGGUAGAAGAGUAGGCUAAAUCUUAGAAUGAGCUUACAAUAAUAAUGUGGUUUAACUUCACCUUUGUAGAUAAUCGACUCUAAAACAUUUCACUUACAAAUGAAGAGGUAUACCACCAAACCGUAGUACUAAUUAACAUGACAGCAUACGGCUAUAGGCGUGGAGUCUUUGUUAGCAAUUAAAAGUUUUGUAACAAGUAAUUGACUUGGUGUCAUAAGGCCUACAUCUAGAUGACCCGGUUUUUAAAACUAAUGUAAGAGCUUUUGUUGAUAUUUCUUAAGGGUGAAACACUGUUUGAGAAACAUUUUGGGCCUCAUUACAAUUUUUUUUCACUUAUUUUUUAGGUUUCAGCUUAAAUAUUCUACUAUAAACAUAUAUGUGGCCCAAGUAUUGGUAAAACCACUUCCAAAUGUCUUGUAAAGAUUUUCUUAAUCUCACGAAAAAUAUUUUACGAGAGUUAACACUCAUUGUAUUUUGUUGGUUUUGCAAAUUCUUAUGAAAAUGAUCAUUUAGUCCAUUUGUUUUCACAUUUGCCUUACUGUAAGGUACUUAAAAUUAAUGAACAACUUUUCCACGUUAAGGCAAAGAUUUGCGCCUCACUACAAUUUUUUUUUCAUUUAGAAUUUUUAGGUUUCGAGUUAAAUAUACCAUUAAAACUAAAUCUGUGGCUCAUUUAGAAUUUUGGGUGUUGCAGUCCUAUUAGAUUAGGAAUAUGAUUGUGUAAAUCCUAGUAUAUCUUGGAAUAUCUCCUAUAUACCUAUUAGGAGUAGAUAACCUAUUAAAUGUUGUAAUCCUAAAGGGUAAGGAAUUAACCUUCCUACUACUAUAAAUAAAGGCACAAUGAGGUAAAAUGACACACACCCACAAUUACACAUCUCUCUCUUCUUCUUCUCUAUUGCCGCACCUUUCUCUCUCUCUCUCUAUGGCCUCCAUAAUUGUUUAGUAAAUUAUACCUACAACACAUUAUCAGCACGCUCUUGACGCUGCUCUAAAGAGAGUUUAUUCUUCAAUCAGGAGAGUAUUGCGUUUAAUCCUUCUUUUUGUGAUUAAUUUAUUAUUUUAUUGAAUUGAUCUACAUGCUACUGAUUCAUCUUUCUUUGUUGAACGUGAUACAAUGGAUUAGAGAUGCAAUUCCAACUUUCCGAGAAGGAACUUCUACAAAUUCAAAGGCUUUUAUUGUUUUCUGCCAAUCAAAUACGCUUAAAAUAAAAGAAGAUAUUUGAAACGACCUUGAAGCAUGAAAACAUUCCCCAUGAUGCAUGAACCCCCUAUGUUUAUAUUUUGCUUCAGAUCUAUAUAUUCUAUAUGUUCAUAUAUUUGUCAAUAUAUAUUUGUUUCAUGCAUUACGCAAUUAAAUUGCUAUGUGGAAUUGUGAGUCAAAGCAUUUAAAUAAAUUAGAAGCAUAUUAGGGUUUUUCAAACCCUAGAUAUCGAAAAAAAUUCUUUAGGAAAAGCACUAAGCCAAUGUACCAAGCCAGCAGCUUGUCAGCGUCACCAAUGACGUCAAUCUGACAUCUAUCGAACAUCAGCAGCCUCUGUCUGGGCUUGCUGCAUGUGCUUGAGAACCAGGCCUGGACCUGGGUUUCCUUCUGAUGGCCUAUAACUCUUGGCCUACCAACCAGCACGCCUAUACUUGCGAACUAGUUCUGCAUCGAAGCUAAAGCCUAAACGUGUUGGGCUUCACCGUGAAACGCCAGCAGCGCAAGGCUGCUGGGCUAUUUCUAACACAACCCGCGUCCCAAAAAUUGCAAGCCUGCAACUUGCUUUGCAAGAUGGGCUGCACAUCUGAUUUUCCUCAACCCACUAUCAGCCAAAAUGUGCUACUCUCUCUCUCGGCCUGCUACCACAUGCAGCCAUGACCUGAGCUAAAAAAGCCUACAAUUUUUGCAGGACCGUGUAUUGUAGCCAACCAAAGGGUGUUGGGCUACAUUCUUUUUUCGACCCAAUACUAAUUUUUGGCAUUCUAAAUAAUUUUAACUCGAAUGUUAUAAUUAUUUUUGCUUCUAUGAUCGACCCCGAAUGGUCCCGAUAUAUUGAAUUAAUUAAAAGUGACAUGCAAUCCAUUAAUCUAAUAAUUAAUCCAAAAUUAUUGGACUAAAGCCCACUAUUGGACAUUAACGAUUCAAUAAUUUAUUUCUCUUCUUUGAACCAUUGACUCACUUUUGUAGUCCCAAAACACUCACACUGGAGUUCCCGAAGAAACUUAAAUCCACUACACUUGAGUCCUGAAUCACUUGGUUCAUAGGAUUCACUUCAUUGGAAGUGGAAGACAAGGCACAACAAUGAAUCUAACUCGAUCGUUGUAUGAAAUCAUUUCCAUCUCAUGAGAUUAAUUCGGAUUUCUCCCGAGACUUAAAGUUCUUGGUCGAGUAUACUAGUUUGGAUGAGCUAAAUGAAAUUGAAAUGAGAUUAUCAUCGAUGAUGCUUUCACUUAUAUGGUAGCUACAGACAUAAAUGAAAAGCGACAAUAUCGAACCGUGUUCCGUUGAUUAAGUGACAACGUAGAAUUGAAUGGACAACUAAAGUUACAAUCCAGGUUAAAUUCCUUACCAAAGUGUGUAUUGGACCUGUCGUUCCUACACUGCCUAAGGUAAUCCUGUUGUGUUACAAGUGGGAAAUGAAGCGUUAUAAGAUGAAUGAAAUAGUGCAAUAUGAUGCACGCUUUACGGUGCAAGGUUUCUCCAUGGGGAUAUAGAUACAGAGAUUUACAUGUAAGUUCUUGAAGAAUUACAUGGACUAUUUCAAAUGGUUCCAAAACCACAGAACACCCUCUUAACUCGUUUUGAGGCAAUCACUUAUGGAUUGAAAAAUUCGACGGAUGUGGUAUACCCGUCUAAGUGAUUAUUUGAUCAGUCAGGGAUGAAUUAUGCCCUUGCGUGUUAAACUAUGAAGUCUUUUUCCAAAUUGCUAAAGUUACAGUUUAUGUCGUUGACACGAAUCUCACUAAGACUCCGGAAGAGCUUGAGAAAACUGCUUCGCACCUGAAGAUGGAAUUUGAGAUGAAGGAUCUUGGGAAAACUUGUUUAUGCCUUAACCCAAAGUUAAAGCAUUGUUCUGACGGUAUUUUUGGUCUACCGGUCAAACUACACCCCGAAUGUGUUACCUUUGAGUAUACCUAUGAUUGUCCAUACAUUAUAUGAAAAUGAGACCCUUAAAGAGGUUAUGGAAUCUGAAAUUCCAUAUCUAAGUUCAACUUUGUGCUUCGUUGUACUUAGCUCAUCGUAUUUAGACAGGCAUCUUAGCGGAUCCACCCCACUGAUCCUUGAAAUGAUGUUUGCCUUGUUUGUUAUGCUAACGCAGGUUACUUAUCAAACUCACACAAGGCAAAAUCCCUAAAUGAUUAUGUCUUUACGAUUAGGGAUAUCGCAAUAUCUUGGAGGUCCAUGAUAUGACCUUAGUUGCGAAAUCUUUGAAUCGUUCCAAGACUCACCUUACUUCACUAUGUCACAAGUGAGACAUGGUUAGGAGUUCUUGUUGAGCAUAUUCAAAGUACUCGCUGUGUUUUCAUCCAUCGUUGAGUCCUAACGACGAUCCAUGGAGAUUAUGCCGCAUGUAUCAACUUGACCAAGCCAUGAUACAUCAACGAAAUCAACUCCAAGACAUAUUGCAUCCAUAUCUACAUCAGCAAAGCAUCAUGAGAUUGAAUUCAUGCAACCCGAUCCCAGACAACCUUGCCGACCUCUACACGACGUCACUGCCGAAGUCAACCUUCCAGAAGCUUGUCCGAGGAAUUGGUAUGCCUAACUAUUCAUAUGCUAUGCUUGUUGUUCUCAUUUGGAAGUUAUGUCAAACUCAGGGGGAGUAUCCAGAAGUAUACUCACUUGAUCUUAAUGUACUCUUUUUCCCUAAGAUUAUGAGCAUUUUUUCCACUGGGUUUUUGCUACCUAACUAGGUUUUAACGAGGCACCCAUCUUGGGCUGAUCAUACCCUUGAGAGCUCUUCUACUUGCUUCCAAAUGACGUAUAGUUUUGACUUAAUGCAACUUCUCACUUUUCUCCUUAGUUUAUGGGUUUUUCUCCCACCUUGGGUUUUACCAUACCGAGGUUUGUGAGUUUUACUUGUUAUUCAUUCUUCCGUUGAUUUGAGAUUCGCAUUCGCUCAUUGUGCCGACGACUUCAUCAACUGUACUUGCUUCGUCAUUGAAGACCUGUUGCACUAUUUACUCGAGUAUUUAUACACUAAAGGGGGAGUGUUGCAGUCCUAUUAUAUUAGGAAUGUGAUUGUGUAAAUCCUAGUAUAUCUUGGAAUAUCUCUUAUAUUCCUAUUAGGAGUAGAUUGCCUAUUAAAUGUUUGUAAUCCUAAAGGGUAAGGAAUUAACCUUCCUACUACUAUAAAUAAAGGCACAAUGAGGUGGAAUAGCACACACCCACAAUUACACAUCUCUCUCUUCUUCUUCUCUAUUGCCGCACCUUUCUCUCUCUCUAUGGCCUACAUAAUUGUUCAGUAAAUUAUGCCGACAACAUUGGGAAGAUAAAAGAUCUGCAUUUCUCACAAAUACGUGGUUGCUCACUGUUUUUAGUCGGUUUUGCAAAUUCAUGUAAAAAUCUUCAUUAAAUCUAUUAGUUUUCACCUUUGCCUCACAAUGAUGUUUCUAAAAGUAAUGUAAGACUUUUUGUUGAUAUUCAUGAAUAUACGCCCCGUUUAGGCAAUGUUCGGCCUCACUACUAUUUUUUUACUUACUUUUUGGGUUUUGGUUUAAAUAUUCUAUUAGAAAUACAUUAGUGACUCAAAAAUUAGUAGAACCACUUUCAGAUGCUCUAUAGAGAUUUUCUUAAUACUCACGAAAAAAAUAGAAAAUUUGCAAACACAAAAAACGUGGGUCAUGAUUUUAGGCGAGUUUGCAAAUUCGUACAAGAAUCAUUAUUAAAUAUUUUUGUUUCAACCUUAUCCUCACCACGAUGGUUUUAAAAUUAGUGCAAUAAUUUCAGUUAAUAUUUCUUGAGAGUGAAACCCCAUUUCAGCAAUGUUUUAUGUGCAACUAUUAUGUUUUCAGUUAAUUUUUGGGUUUCAGCUUAAAUAAUCUAUGAAAAAUGCAUUUGUGGCUCUAUAAUUGGUAGAACAACUUUCAAAUGCCUUAUAAAUAUUUAAUUAAUGUUCAGUAAAAUAUUUUUUGAAAAUAAAAAAUUGCAUUUUAGACAAAAAAAAAAAGUCACGAUUUUUAGACGGUUUUGAAAAGUUGUAUAAUUUUUUUAAUAUAUCGAUAUUUUUACACUAAGGGGAGGGGAAGUUUGGCUAAGCCACACAAAUGAUAGCCUAAUUCAGUAUCAAAUUCGCCAUCCAAGAGAUUUGAACCUAGGACCUCCCACUUCCAAGUGGAAGGGAAUACCACAAGAUCGUAGUACUGAGUGGCAAAAAAUCAUCAAUAAAUCUACUUGUUUUCACCUUCGCCUUUCCAUAAUGUUUUAAAACUAAUGUAAGGAUGUUUUAAAACUAAUGUAAGGCUUUACGUUAAUAUUCUUGAGUACAAGCCCCAAUUUAUGCAAUGUUUUAUGCAAUUUAUGCUAUGAUCGGGUUUGCACCAAAUCUUUCGUUAGCUACAAAUACUUCAUAUCGUUUCCUAGUCUUUAUCCAAGUCUUCCUAACUUUUCCUCCACCCCUUUUGCCUUGAUCCUCUAUCUCAUAGUUGCCUAUUCUACCAUAGCAUUUGUAGAUACUCGGUUCAUGUACCCAAACCAUCUUAACCGAUUUUCUUUCAUCUUAUCUUCAAUGGAGACCACUCCUACUUUACCUAUCAUGCCCCAAUCCUGACAUUCAUCCAGGAUCGGCACGUGACAUCACCCAUUACAUGUAUAUAUAACAUACCCCGCCUCUGAGAUAUGUACAAAGCACAACUCACGGUCCAACUGCAUAGUAAUUUUUCAUACACUUUAUGGCUGCAUCUAUCCUCCUCAUUAGACUGCCUACGUACCUUAAAUAGGAAUCAAGCCAUUCGUAGUUCGUCUUUCACUACACUCAAACAAUCAUCACGUAAAUCACCAUGUCUCAACAUAAUACCACGAUUCAGGUAUGCAACAUCUCAAGGAACAUUCGACAAAGCACAAUAAUAUUCUCUAGUCAUCUUGCCAUUCACACAAACAUAUGUUUCCAAACACCAUUCAAUAAUCACAGCAAUCAAUAGCACAUAAUAUAUCGAAAUGCAGGGUUAGAGCCACAUAGUUUGGCCAAAGCCUACAUCUCUGAAGCUUAAAUCAAAUCCAAGUAACAAACAAGUCAAACGAUGCGAUUUUAGAUCACUCAAUGAACUCGCAGAGUAGAUGGGAUUCCAAACCUCUCAAUGGAAUCCGAGUGGAUAUGAUCCCGGACCAUCACUUAACGAAAUCACAGAUUAGAAGGGAUUUCAGACCAUCAUUUAAUAGAAUCUAAGUGGAUACGAUUCCAGACCAUCACUCGACGGAAUUGCAGAUUAGAAAAAAUUAUGAACCAUCACUCAACAAAAUCCAAGUGGAUAUGAUUCCAGACCAUCGCUCAAUGGAAUCACGGGUUAGAAAGGAUUUUAGGCCAUCACUCAAUGGAACCCCAGCAGAAACCCAGUUUCGGAUUAUUCAACGGAAUCGAGCGGAAGUCCAAGGAAUAUAGCAACAGCUUGAAAAUACAAUACAAGAACUAAGUACUUAAUUUAAAAGGGCUGAACGAAUUGAAAGUGAAAUAAGAAAACAAGAUGGGAAACAAGUUCGGUGUCGAUCCGGUCGACUAGACGAUCAACUAUCAAACUAUAUUAAAAUAUUGGGAUUUCACUAAAUGGAUGUCAUAUAUGGAAUUGGGGUAUGAAAAGUAGCCUAGGAUGGUUAGGCAGGUUCUCGGCCCACUCGCCGACGCACACGGUGGCUAGUCACGCUCGACAUGUCGAAAAAUUCAACUAUUUAAAAAAAAUACCAAAUUUUAUAGGCAUGUAGAUCUUAAUGAGCGGAGUAAUUUUCAUACAUGAGUUGAAGUCCAAUUCAAAUGGAAAGUGCUCUGAAUUUCCCUCGAUCCAUCGAAACCCUAGAAUUUGGGUGUCCUCGAUUCGACCUCUAUAGUAGCUCUAACGCCUCCUCCAUUGCUUGGGAUUUGUUCCUAAGGUUGAGGGGAGCCUUGUGGUGGUGGUGGUGGUUAACGGAGUUACCUUCAGAUUUGAUAGAUCGCCACCACAAACCCUGUUGCACCCACCGUGCGGGUUUCACAAUUUCAAGGCAAAUUCCAUUUAUUUUAGGGUGGAAUGGGUAUAGGGGAGGCCAACGAGUGUUUCCACCGGAGGUUGUUUGACGUGCUUCGCCGAAAAAUCCGACGGAAAACCAUAAGAAAUGGCUACCCAAACUGGGUCGGGUCACGUAGGAAAAUGGGUCAAAGGGGGGAUCUGAUUCCCUCAUUCUCUCCUCACUCAUUUCCCCUUCUUGCCCUCCUCCCCCAUUGGUCACUCCCGUGUCCUUUUCUCUCCUGCAACCUCAACUUCCUCUCUCUCUCUUGCUGUCAUCUGGUAGCUUCUAAUUUUUUUUUUCUUCAGAAACUUCUAAUGUCCAUAACGUCUCCUUUCUCGUCUCAAUUCAUGAACGGCCUUCGCCUAUCCACUUGUGGGGUCGAGCUCAAUUAGAAAACAUUAAGAGUGAUCCAAAGGUCUAAUUAUUUUAAAAAAUUAAAACUAUGUAAUUAUGUAAUUAAAAUAUAAAGUUAAUUUAAAUUCGCGAAAAUACUAUAAAAUCCUACGGAUACAAAAUACGUAAAUUACAAUAGUGAAAUCUAGGAAUGGAAUUUCACAUUACCUUGGAUGUCCUCGUUGUUAAUCCAAUCAUUUUGACAACCCAACUCCAAUAACACAAGUUACGAGGUCGAGAUAUCCUGGCCGUAACUAAAUUGAUCAUAUGUCCCCAUUGAGGAAUGACCUCACAAGCCAACUAAAUAACGAAGCCAUAGUGAAUUUGAGUGAAUUUGAAUCAAAACAUUCAUUAAUAAUAAGUCAAAAGUUGCUACAAAUUUUCCUAAUCAACCUUCCCACUUGGGAACAUAUAUUCAGGGUUUAGAUCCCAUUUUACAUCACAUCAGAGCAGCUAGAAGUUUCAUACAACAGUAAACACAUAAAAGUGUAGUGCUAUGCAUAAUCAAGAGUGCGAUCAUGCAAAUAUUACUAACAAAAUAAAUAUGCAGUAGAGGAAUCAUCACCCAAAAUCCAAAGGAUGAUACCUCACUGCCAAGCCCACUUGCCACCACUGAGGUUCUCAUGAUUCUCGCUAUGUCCUGAGGGGUCAAUAAACAAAGUAUGAGUAGAUCAAGUUCUAUCUCGUCAAAAUCAAUCGAAUAACCUCCGUUUUGAAAUCACCUAUUGUAGAAUUAUCAAAAAGACGAGCAUAGGGCCCACAUCCAACAAUAUUGAUAUCGUCCCAACUUGGUAAUUACUACCCGCACAAUCCAUCAGGUGUGAGGUUUUAUUACAAAAUGCCUCAGUGUUAGAUGGAGUGAAGAUAGGAUAUUUAAACUCUUCUGUACUUAGAGAUAUGGUUGAUGUGGGAUAUUUCAAUACCUAUAUAUAUAUAUAUAUAUAUAUAGUAAAAACUACAUGCAUAAUAAUACUACCAUAAUAGUUGUCACAAUCAAUUCAUCUCGCACGUCAUAUCAAAGAAAGUAAGUCAUUCAUAAAAUCAAAGUAACAGAAUAUGAUUUUAUCAAUAUCGUAGAUGAUUCUUAUAAUCAUGUAUACGCACGUUGGUGCGACUUCGAUUCCAAUGAUCUCUCUGCUUAACAACUAAAUAUAUUUAUUUCAUAAACGCUAUAAUUUGUAUAUAUAAAAAAAAUGAUUUGAUCAUAUUAAUUAUGCAUAGUCCCUUUAAGUUGGAUAGUAAAUGUCAUAAUUAAGGCUUUUUAGUCAAAAUUGAGUCCUUGAGAUUUGCCUAACUCAUCACCUUGGUCCUUGAGAUUCAAAAUCAAUAGAAGUGGUCCAUGAGAUAGCCCACCAUCAAUCAUUUUGGUCAUUCGGUGAAAAAUUGUGUUAAAUAAGAAUUAAAAUGACAAAAUUACCCUCAGUGUAAUAAACAAUAGGCCAACAUGAUUUGACAAAAAUUGAGGGUAUUUUUAACAUUUUAUCCUUAUUUUAUGAAGAUUUGUCAUGGAAUGACGAAAAUGAUUGAUUGUGGACAAACUCAGGGACCAAUUCUAUCAAUUUCAAAUCUCAAGGACCAAAGCAAGGAGUUAUGCAAAUCUCAAUAACCAUUUUAACUAAAAAAUUAUUAUUCCUAAUUUCCUAAAGCCCUUGGGAAGAUAUCUGCCAAUUGUACCCGAGAAGAAAUGCAGGAAGGAGGAAUUUAUAAAGACAAUGGAUACCUGCUCUUACUUGCAAAAAACGACACUUAAAGGACAAUUUUCCCGAGUUUUUCACCGAUGUUUUUACUGUUUGCUGCAAAAAACAAAUACUCUCCCCAUGCAAGCUCUGUCGUCAAUUCCCCUCGCGAACUUUGAGUCCCUCUGAAAUAAUGAUUAACUGAAAUUUGAAUUUUUCAAACUUUGUGUUUGGUUAUAUCUAAUGAUCCCUAAUUUCAAAUUUAUGGUUUAGAUAUAUAAAAAAGAUAUCUCGGGUACUUCGUUGCUAUCCAUUAAGCUCCCCAAUUUCAAGCAAAGCAAAAAAUUCUAAUUGAGUUGAGUUUUGAACAUGCAAAUUAGUUAGAAAACUGAAUUACCAAUCUUUAUUAUUAUUGCAACAAACACACGGAUUACACUAAAAGCUAGUGAAUCAUACACUUGCAGAUGACUUAUCCAAACACAAAGAUAAGACAUGAGUUUAUUAUUAUUGCUAUAAACACAUGGAUUACAGCGAAAUUCAAAAACUAAAAACAAGGAAAAAAGUAGUGAUGAAAACCAAUGCCACAUUCGUGGGGAACACGAUUACAUUUGCACAUGCAACAGGCCUUUUAAACCCAUAGGUGACCCAAAUGGGACGAGUGAAGUCUCGUGAGGGUUUCCAGAGACAUUACCCACAAACAUCAUGCAUACUAAUCAUCAACAUCGGGCUUGGGAGACUGAGUAGAUAUCCACCCCUCCAGCAUCGGGUGUUUUUUGGUUGAGGCGUAAUUCGAAUCUGUUUUCAAUGAACGGCCUAGUUAAGAGGUCGCUUUGCAAGUGACGUAAUCGGCAGCGCGUGAUUAGGUUGUUGCUGUCAGGUGGUCCGACAGGCUCGACCUUGAACAAUGUGCAAGCCCAAUUGUCUUUGGUUUCGUUUCGGUCAGCAGCUGCGGCCAGGACCAAUAGUCUGUUUUGGUCCACCCUUCUCAAGUAGUUGCCGUUGUAGGAGCAUUUGAUAUGCACAUAAUUCUUGUCGGCGUAGUCCUCAUUGUUUGGCUUCUCGGUGGUGAACUUUAUGAACCUGCUAUUUUCAUUGUCCUCAGAAAACUGGACAAUCUCAUGAAGGUCACUUUCUGAAUCUAGUUGAUAGCGCAAAUACUUGUUGUUGAUAUCUGCUUUCAGCAGAAAAGGGCUUGGUACAGGUGGAGCCAUAUCGUAUAGUGUAGUUGGGAUUGGGAGGGUCUCUCUUUUUUAUUCUCUGUUGAUGAUAUAAUUUGCU
rnacentral:lncRNA from 1 species